rnacentral:lncRNA from 1 species
CCAUGGUCGACAAGGCAUGCAGCACUGAGGCAACCAGCGUCACCUUCAUCGAGCGCUUGUUCACGGAGCUCGCCGAGGUCGGGGAAAAGAAGGAGGAAGUGUUUAAUCUAGAAACUUCUGGAGGGCAGGAUGCCCUGAAAGAAUCCGUCGACAAGCAUGGUGGCUGCCCAGGCGACAAGACUGUCAAGGACUAUUCUACCCAAUGUGGCGCCGACUGCGACAAGGCAUGCAUGGAUCCUACUUGCACCGACCACUGCUACGUCGACUGCCCAUACAUGGCUGCGAGAUUUGGUUACAUCAUGGCCACCCCCGCCAAUAAGAAAGCCAUAGAGCAAGACAUGGAUUGCUUCAAGCAUUGCGCAAAGGAAAAGGAUAGCUCAGAUAACAAGUGUCGCGAUACAUGCAAGCUGAUUUCUUCUACCCCUACACCCGCCCCGGCCAAAGCCGCUUGAAAAUGCAUCUAUUUAUUCCUUCUUUUGGCGAAUUGAAAAUGCUUCUAUUCUAUCAUCGUAAUUUAUUCAUGUUCCGCAUGUAUUCAUCUUUUUGUUUUGUUUUGCCUAUUCUAAAUCAAUAAAUAAAAGCACGGUACUCGGAAUAAUUUUCUCUGUAAGUCUCAAAUGUCAUGUUUGAAUGGCACUAGAACAUCGCCUCGCAUAAUAAAAUUAGAGGAUUUGUAACUUCCCAUUACCCUAUAAAUAUAGGGUAAUGUCUUACACGGUUUAUAUUUGGUAAAAUGGUGAUGAGAUAAAUCCAAAUAAUGUGUUGGCAACCCAGUGCACUAGUUCACUCAAUCAACCUCAAAUUACAACCUUAGGUGGUUGGAUCAAGGAACUAGAGAAUAUGGGGAUCCUAGGGAAGGAACUAGAAGAGGAGGAAUAAGAAUUGUAGCCAGUCGGAUAAGUCAACCAAGAAGAGGAAGACACCUUCAAGUGUUGUUGUAUAUCGCUCAAUACGAGUGCUAACGCCAGAUCGACCAUUAAUGGUAUUAGGGUAUCGUCAUAGCUAUCAGUUAAUCAUCUGGCAAACGAUCACAUACUCUUUUUUCACACCUAUUUCUUCUUAGUCUAGUUUUUACCUACUUUUUCUAUCGAGGUCGGUUUUUAAGUCAAAACAAUGUCGUGGAAUUCAAAUAAAUGUUCUUGGAUCCAAAUAAAUGGUUAUGAAUUCAAAAAAGUGCAUGAAUUCAAAAAUGUUGGUUAAUUCAGAAAAAUGUGCAUGAAUUCAUGAAAAUGUUCACCCGUUUGAAAUAAGAACAUUAACUCAAAAAUUAUUUAUAAAUAAAAAAAUUGUUCUUAGACUCUAGUUAUUUUUGAAAAUUGCAAACAAUAUUUAUUAAAUGUUCACUUUCUUGUAAUUUCUAAACGUUAUUCAAUUUUUUUGAAACAUGUGUGCUUCCUGGAAAAGGACAAAAACAAUGCUUCCAAGGGAAGCAAUGAUUUGUUUUUGCAAGAAACACAACUAUUUUUUAAAAGGAAAAAAUAGUGCUUGCACAAGAAACACUAUUUGCCUCUUGUGGAAGCACUUAAUUCUUUUGUUUCUUCAAAAAAUGAAAAAACAUGCUUCCAUGAAAAGCACAAUUUUAUUUCUCGCGGAAGCACAUAUUUGCAUGCACGAGAAUCACAACUCGCUAUAAAAUAUGUGAUUCUCGAAAAGAGAAAAAAAACUGGAGUGAAUAUCGUACGAAAAUGUUUACAAAAUUUGAAAAACACAAUCGUGCAUUUUGCUAAAUUUGAAACUGCUCUUGAACCAUAAGGAAAUAGAAAGUGUGUUCUACAUGAAAAAGUUGCGCCUCGAUGAUAUCUUUCUAGAACUGUAUCAUUUGCUUCAGUCCGGCGCAGAGGUUUAGAAAAAACACAAAAAUACGCUCGCUGCCAGUCGUUGGGUGCCCAAGAUGUUUUAAAGUGCACUUAACCCGUUAGGAAUCUCGAAAAGUGUUCAACAUGGCGAAGUUGCGGAUUUUCUAUAGCUAUCCAACGAUACAAUGAACCAAUAUGCAUGUCACUAUUUGUAUAGAAAAUGAAAUUCAUUUAUGAAACAACCGUAAAAUUAUCUCUGAUGAAGAAUUACUUAUUCUGCACUCUCGAUGAUGAAUAGUAUUACUAUAUAUAUUUGACCUACAAGAGUUGGUUAUGUACUUAUAUCUACUUUUUAAAUAGUAUUAUUUUAGAACUUCUUUUAUUUACAGUUAAUUUAGUUUAUUGGCUGGCUGUAUAGUUUAUUGCACAUAUCUAUUAUUUUUAUUUAUAAAGUGAUUUCUAAAUAUCUGCAAAUCUUAAAGGCAACUAACAGUCUUUUCCUCCUUACCUUUACUCUUUAGAGUCAUGCCAUAAUUGUAAUACAUAUCAUACUUUUAUAUCGCUAUAUUCCUUGCAACAUAUAAAAUGACGCUUUUCUACUUUAGAGCUCUUUGUUAGCAUCCCCUUUUACUUAUAUGUUUCUGGAGCAUGCUCAGCUAUGCUAAAUCAUCAUAUUUGUUGGUGUGCAACCAUGUUUUCAUCAACAAGUUCGAGGGCGAGGAUAUACGCUUCUGGAUUCUCGUGGAGAUCCUUGAACUUCUUAUGAAUGUACCCAAGGAAAGGUCAUUACUUCGAAGGCAUCAUUGGUUUUCCCUAAACCAUAUCGUUCUCCUCACAUGCGAUGACGAGUGACUUACCUAUGUCUGACAUAUGUAUUAUUAAAUUCAAAGUGCCGAGGAGUCAUUCAGAUUUGCUUAUUACUCCCUCCUUCCCAAAAUUCUUGUCUUAGAUUUGUCUAGAAAAUUCAUAUCUAGACAAAUCUAAGACAAGAAUUUUGGGACGGAGGGAGUACUUACCACGAGAUGCAUACGAGGAGAUGUUGUGUUCUUAAAACUGAGUCACUAAUCAGAUGUGUCAUAAUAAUAUUAUUCACGGCGGCCGUGGAGGUAAUUUUCAAUUCUCAACAUUAUUAUUCUAAAAACCAAGGUUAUGAAACAACAUAGAAAACUUAAUACAUUAGUGUUUAGCUGGAUACAAUCCUAAAAAAGGACAAUUUUGCACUGGAAACAACUUGAUAAGUAUGAGGUUUUUUGGCACAACCAUUGAACAACAGACUCACAAAUUUAUAUUUCCAAUAGCUUCUAUUUUUAGAUUCAGGUUACAUGCAUGACAUGUUUUAGAGUAGGAUCUUCUUUCCAUUCUACUUGAACUAUUUUUUUCUAUGUUGACAUGUGAGAGGUGAGUUGAUUUUAGUUUAUGUGUAUGCUUUCGAAUUUUGUCACAUGCUGAGGGUUUACAUUACCGACACUAGAUAAGUAGCUAGCACAUAUUCCUUAUUUUGGGUGUUUUAGGUCCCAACCAACGCCAAUAGGAGGAAUGUUGUGGCGAUAGUUUUUUAGAAAAUAAUUUCCAAAAAACAGGUCUUUGUGUUAACCAGCCCCAAGACUACAGUUAGUUGGUAGACAGUCACUUGAUAUAGAAUAUCCAAGCAAAAUACAAAAUCUGGUUUACAAUACCAUAAAGGUCUACUAGUUUGGACAAAAGUCUAAGGUUGACUGUGGAAGCGACUCGAGGAAUCUCUAGUGUCCAUGGGACUCCAUUCCCAAAGGAACAACUGACCUGGAUAAAUUCUUACCUCACAAGGCUGCUAUCCUGGACUCCUAGGUUCCGGGGUCGACAACAUCAUGCUCCUCUCCAUGCAAUCUGGCUAGGACAAUAACCAGGGACAAGCCAAUGAGUACUUUGAAUGUACUCGCAAACAUCAAGAAAACUGAUAAGUUAAAGCAGGUGAGAUGCAUGCAUGGUCCACUAAAAUAACUCUAUCAUGCCAUAAGAAUUUAUUCACGGAUGCAUUCGUGCAUAUAAACUUCCUCCACCAAUGUUAUAUAAACAAGCAAGGAAGGAUAACAAUGAACAAGUAAUUGCAUGUGUGUCGCAGUCGGGCGUCAGAGCGACAACGCCUAAAGGAUUCACAUGCAAGUAAUAACAGUUGCCAGAGUCGGGCGUCUCAGCGACGCCACACAAAGUGCUUGUAUGAAAGAAAUAGUAGUUGCCACACUCGAGCGUCUGAGCAACACCACAGAAAGGGCUUAUAAGAAAUAAUACGAGUAUGCCACACUCGAGCGUCUAAGCGACACCAUAGAAAGGGCUUAUAAGAAAUAAUAACAAGCAUGCCACUAUCGCGCGUCUAAGCGACACCACAAAAAGGGCUUAUAAGAAAUAAUAAUAAAUAUUGAAUAUCCAGGAGGUAGAAUCUUCCCACAGAUAUUCAACCAACAUAAUCAUAGGGAUUAGUCCACAAAAAAAACAAUAGUCAUGAUCAUCCACCAUAUUUCGUGAUUUGUCUCACGAUGUCAUUAACUUCCUUCGAAGAUCGACACACGAACCGACACUUGACUAGUCAACUAGUCGUCCUUGACCGUGGACACGACUACUCGAAUAGUUUUGACUCUGCAGAGGGUGUACUCUUUACCCACAUCCCACGGGUUUCAAGAGUCCCUUGGACUAAUCCUACGCAUGGUAUUUUAGAAGUAAACACUCAUAACUAGUACAAACCCAUUUUCUCCCACGAAUACCGACAUCACUCGGACUGCGCUGCGAGAGAAAACCAUAAGACGGGGAAGGCUCCAACCUCGACUAGCAUGGGAUCCAAUUUAUACCGCGCGCUACAAGGGAAUGGCCAUUCCCUAUCGGUCCGAGACCGGAGACACCCAUACCCCCUGACUGGAUGACUGGAUUUAGUCCAGGGCCAUGGAUACCUUCAUCUCGUCCUCUCUACUUGGUGUGUCCCUGGUAAUAGAUUUACGACCUACUAGACCGUAUUCCCUUUCGAGAAGACCCGCGGUAGCAUGAAAGUUAAGGUCACACAUAGAGAAGACUCGAACUACAGUCGACUUAGGAGGUUUAAUAUUUUCCUGCAAGGGUUAGUACCACACAAUCUUGCUGAAGGUAUUAUUUGAGGGUUACUACCAUCAAACACCAACAAGCUUUCACUGACCACUCUCUACCCACGAGAUGUCAGCCCAUGGUCUUAUUUCCACCACGACACACCUUACUCCGAGGUUGUCCAGACCAACAUAGCAUACGAGGUAUGAGGCAGUACCCACUCACCACUCGCCAUCCACAAACUUAGCAACAAAAAAUAUCCAUCACAUGUUGUCAUGCAAGGUAUGAUUUCAUGCGAUAUUUUUAUCAACAUAAACUAAAAUCAUGCAAUAGAUGUACCACAACAAACAUCACACAACUUGAUGUAAAUAAGAGUUCAAGAUGCUUGCCUUUGGAGUUGAGGAGUGUGAUGUGCACAACAAAUUCUUGAAGUGAGUCCCCUCUCUGCAAAUCCUAUUUUGACAAAUAUCUAAAUUAACGCACAAAUUUAAAACAGCACAUAAAAGUUGUUUGAAGUUUUUUGAAAUAAAUUUGUAAAUAAACUAGAGGAUAUUUUAUAUAGGUAGGAAAAAGAAUGAGUUGUUUUGGAGUUUUCUUUAAAAAGUUAGAGCCAUUUAAAGACCCUGGUCAAAUCUGUUUUUUAAGGAAAGGAAUAGAAAACACUUUGGACCAAAUACGCUUUCCAGAGAGGCAGACGUACCAAGGGAAAAUGCUUCGGCCAAAAUACGCAUUAGUGAGAAGAAAGCGCACCAGGGGAGACUACGCCACUCGGAGGCAACGGAUGGCUCACCGACAGGCGGGGCCAUGAUGACGAGUUGAUGGAUAUACUUCUCGCCCCUCGUUGGUUACCCCAAGUGGAAGGUGGAGAUGUAUUCAGCAACAGAUUUCCCUUACACGGGGACUGUAAGGUUUAUCGAACCAGGAAGACUCCGAGGAUCAAAAAUUAGGUGUCUGUUGCUCUGGCUCUAGCAGAAGACGUGGACCUGCACACACAACAAAUAACUUUGCUCCCAACGAGUACAGAGAGGUUAUCAAUCUCUCCGGCCUUGUAGUUUGCAAAGGACCAAAACAUAAGCGGGAAUAGUGAUAGUGAUUGCAACGGAAAAGUAAAUGAAAGCAGUAAAUGGUGGAGGUGUAAGCAAUGGUGGUGAUAUGGACCUGAGUCACAUGAUGUUCACUAGUGAUGUCUGAUACGUCUCCAACGUAUCUAUAAUUUUUUAUGGUUUCAUGCUAUUAUCUUGUUAAAGUUUUGAUGUUUUGUAUGCCUUUUAUAUCUUUUUUGAGACUAACUUAUUAACUCUGUGCCAAGUGUCAGUUCCUGUUUUUUUCCUUGUUUUUGACCCCUUUCAGAGGAGGAUUUUAAACGAAGUCCAAACGGAACGAAACUGCCAAAAAGAUUUUUUCCGAAACAGAAGAAGAUCGGGAAGCCUGAGAAUCAAGGCAGGGGGCCAGCAGGGAACCCACAAGCCCCCUAGCCGCGGCCAGGGGGGCCGCGCCUCCCAGGCUUGUGGGCUCCCUGGGCCACCUCUACCCUAGGUCUUUCGCCUAUAAAUUCCCUAAAAUCCCAGAAAAAAUCAGGAGAUCAUUGAAACUACUUUUCUGCCGCUGCAAGCUUCUAUGUAUGCAAGAUCCCAUCUGGGGCACAUUCUGGUGCCCUGCCGGAGGGGGGAUUCGGAUACGGAGGGCUUCUUCAUCAACACCAUGACCUCUCCGAUGAUGCGUGAGUAGUUCACCAUAGACCUACGGGUCCAUAGCUAGUAGCUAGAUGGCUUUUUCUCUCUCUUGGAUCUUCAAUACAAAGUUCUCCAUGAUCUUCAUGGAGAUCUAUCCGAUGUAAUCUUCUUUUGUGGUGUGUUUGUCGAGAUCCGAUGAAUUGUGGAUUUAUGAUCAGAUUAUCUAUGAAUCUUAUUUGAGUUUCUUCUGAUCUCUCUUAUGCAUGAUUUCAUAUCCUUGUAAUUCUCUUUGAGUUGUGGGUUUUGUUUGGCCAACUAGAUCUAUGAUUCUUGCAAUGGGAGAAGUGCAUGGUUUUGGGUUCAUACCGUGCGGUGACCUCACCCAGUGACAGAAGGGGUAGCGAGGCACGCAUCGUGUUCUCGCCAUCAAGGGUAAAAAGAUGGGGUUUUCAUCAUUGGUUUGAGUUUAUCCCUCUAUAUCAUGUCAUCUUGCUUAAGGCAUUACUCUGUUCGUCAUGAACUCAAUACACUAGAUGCAUGCUGGAUAGCGGUCGAUGUAUGGACUAAUAGUAGUAGAUGCGGAAAGUAUCGGUCUACUUGUCUCGAACGUGAUGCCUAUAUGUAUGUUCAUUGCCUUAGAUAUCAUCAUGACUUUGCGCGGUUCUAUCAAUUGCUCGAUAGUAAUUUGUUCACCCACCGUAAUAUUUGCUAUUUUGAGAGAAGCCUCUAGUGAACACUAUGGCCCCCGGGUCUACUCCACACAAUAUUUUCAGCCUUCUCUUUUUCUUCGUUGCACUUUCCGCCUUAAGAUCUCACUUUGCAAUCAAUCUUGAAGGGAUUGACAACCCCUUUAUAGCGUUGGGUGCAAGCUCUUUUGUGUUUGCGCAGGUACUCUGGACUUGACGAGAUUCUCCUACUGGAUUGAUACUUUGGUUCUCAAAUUGAGGGAAAUACUUACUGCUCCUGUGCUGCAUCGCCCUUUCCUCUUCAAGGGAAAAACCAACGCAAGCUCAAGAGACGACAGAAGAUUUUUGUCACCGUAGCAAUGUCUCUCUCCCAAAAGACGCUAAACAACUAUGCAUGGGUAAACAACUUACAGCUUGGGAAUUGACAUAAUUAUGAACGCACCGCAAUGCUAAUCAUUCUACAAGAAAGUUAGAUGCUCAAAAGUAAUUGGCAGUACGCCAAGACAAGUAGACCAUUUAUUCAUCAGCAUCUACUUACUAAUCAUCCACCUUAAGAUAUCUAUCCAGAACAUCUCGCUAGUAUUAAGUUGCGAGCCCCACCCAAAGUGUAAACUCAAAGCAACGAACAACUUCAUUAACGAACUUUGUGUAAGGUCAAGUAGCCUUGCAACCGUGGUCACAAGCACCAUUGUUUUCUCCCUGGUGGCAACAUCAUAUCCCCUAGUCUCAUGUUUCUUUCACUCAAGCAAGACAUCAGGGGGCAUGAACCCACAAUCAUGCAAAACGUUCCCUCUUGGAGUUAUAAUCUACUACUCGGCCAAAGCAAUACAAAGCAACGGAGAACAUGCAUGAAUCACUAAAGACCAAAUAUAAAAGGAUAAUCAAAUAUAUAACUCAUCACAAUCUGACGAUAAUCUCAUAAUCCAUCGGAUCCGAGCAAACCGAGCAUAGCAAUAGCAGGAAAAUUACGUAGUUGCCUUGAUCAUGUAGGGCAGCUCACAAGGGCUAAACAUUGAAGCACAAGAUUGGAGAGAAGAUAUCACACAUCUACUGGUCAUGGAUUCAUAGUCAAAGGAGGACUACUCACAUCAUGUUUGGGAAGCGUCCAUGGCGGUGGAGAAGCUCUAGGAUGUCAGUCCUCCCUCCGGCAGGAUGUCAGGAAGAGAUCUCCUGACGCUCCCGAUCUCGGAAGCGUUGCCACGGCGGAACAGUGGAGAAAUUCACGAUUUUGGAUAUGAUGGAUGGGUUUUCGAUCGGAAAGGUAAAUAUAGGCUGAAGGAGGGCACCACAGGAGGUGUGACCCACCCAGGAGACCUGUGGGCACGGCCAGGGGCGAGGCCAUGCAUGGAGGCCGCCUGGGCAGCCCCUGGCUCCCCUCUGGGCCAUCUUUGUGCUUCGUGAAGCUUCCGUCGCGCUGAUUUUUAUAUAUUUUUCUCCGGAUUUUUUAAGCUGUGGAAAUUUGGGCAAAAGCCCCUGCAAAAGAGACAUCAGCAGACAGAAACUUGCACUGGGUGCACUGAGUUAGUAGGUUAGUCCAAAUAUGAGUAAAAAGAUAUAAAAGUGUAGCAAAACAUAUAACAAUGUCACCAAAAAGAUCAUGGAACAAGAAGAAAUUAUAGAUAAAUUUGGGACUAUCAACAUCCCCAAGCUUAAUUCUUGCUCGUCCUCGAGUAGGUAAAUGACAACACAAAUAAUUUAUGUGGUGACAUACUAAUAUACAUAUAAGAACUUCAAAGGAAAGCAAGUAAAUAUGCAAUUCAAGUUAAUACAAUAACAAGCUAGAUUCUAUAUCUAGUAUUGAAAAUAGCAAAGUAAAAACAUAAAGGUGCAAGAGCUCUCGCUGUCCGUGACUCGAAUGUCUCCAAAUGGUGUUUGCGUGCAAGAAAUGGGAGAUGGAUUUAGAGCAUAAAAUAUACUUUUUAAUUGAGAACUCAAUCUACUAAACUUCACACUUGGUCUCCUUCAGAAUCUUAUUUUGACUCAUCCCCAGACCACUAGUCAGGCACAAGUCAAAAUGAUCCUCUCCCUUUCGACUUUGAGCACUCAUGCAAUUGAUGAGCGCAAGCAAGAUAGGUUGGCACUUAGGAUGGCAAAUAGAAUAAUGAUGGGGAAGGAAGACAAAAAGGGUGUGAAAGGCUCACAUCAAUGAGGACAACCAUAGGCGAGAGGAAGCCAAAUGAUAGAUAUGAUGUGAGGAGUAGGGAUUGCCAUCCAACGGAUGCACAUAUGAGCUAAGGUAAGCUCUCCAAUGGAACUAGUGGGGGUGUGUCCAACUUGCUUUCUCAUGAAUACCUAGAGCUCAUUUUAGGACGCUCAUCCUUGGAAUAUACAAGCCAAGUUCUAUAGUAUAAGGGUCCCCACAAAGUUAUGCAUGAAUGAUAAUCUCUAUGGAGUACAAGUAUAACAAUCGAGUACGAGUGUGGAUCUUUCAAAAGGAAUAGUAGUGUUGCCCCCUUCUAUCUUUUUUAUUUAUUUUUUCUUUCUUUUAUUUUUAUUUUUUUGUUGGCCUCUUUGGCUCUUUCUAUUUAUCUCUCAUUUGGCCUCUUUUGGAUCUUUUCAUGUGUCCUCUUUAGGAUCUUUUAAUUAGUCCUCUUUGGGAUCUUUUCCUCACGUAAGGGCAACACUCUAUGUUUUACAAGGGUAAAAAGAAGAUCUUCACACUUUAUAAGAAGUACUCAACAUAAAGACAAAUAAAAACUAUCGUGAUGUAUGCAAAUGUAUGCGUGUGCUAGUGUAGCAGGAUAUGCAAUGAAACUAGCGCAUCAUGUAGCAAUAAUAAGGGCAAGACCCAACCAGCAUGCAGCUCCUCGAUCAAGCAAAAGCAUGUAUGACAUGAAGAUCAAGUCAUGAGAUGGUGGAUGUUGCAUGGCAAUGUAUCUCGGAAAGGCUAUGGAAAUGCCUUAAUAGGUAGGUAUGGUGGCUGUUUUGAGGAAAGAUAUAAUGAGGCUUAUGAUGAUAGAGCGUAUCAUGCCAAGGGUUUGGAUGCACCGAUGAAUUUUGCACCAACUCUCAAGAUGAGAAAUGGCAAUGCACGGUACCGAAGAGGCUAGCAAAAUAUGGAUGGUGGAAGUGCCAACAAUCGAAUACUCGCAUUAGUCUAAAGAACUCAUAGAAUUAUUAUCAGUAACACUCUAUCUAGUUAGGAGAUUCACAAAGAGACAAGUAUCCCAAGGAUGAGUGUUUGGGGGUUUGGUUAUCCUUGCGCAUCCUCGACCAAUGGUAAUGUGAGGGUACUCUAUAUAUUCCAACCCCUCCAGAGGUUAGCGAUCAAUCUAGUAGCUAGAGUUCUCAACUAAUUUCUUUUUUAGUUUUUGAAAAUACACAUAGAUUUCCAAAAAUACGACACCUAUCACUAAUAGGCUCAAGCUCUUGGCACCAAUAGUCCAAACAUUACUCAAAUCAAUACCUGAAAACUAUUGCAAGUUACUACUAUACUUAAAUAGCAACCUCAAUUACCUACUCAUGCAAGACACACAACUCAGUGCAACAAGCAAACUCUCUAAGCAAAAUAAUCAUGAUAACUCAAGAGACUUCCAAAAGCAACCUAAAUAAAAUCUAUUAAAAAUAUAUAGCCUGAAAACUAAGAGCUAAGCAUGACAGCAGCUAUGAAACGAUAAAGAACACACCAAAAAGAUAAGCAUGAAAACCUAUGUUGUGUUCUAGGGUGGAGUGGAGCGUGUUUCUCUCCCUAGCAAAGAAGGCUAGGUUCCAACUUGUUAUGAACAGCAAAGAAAACUAAAACAAACUAAAAAGUAAAGAACGAGACGCUUGAAGCAUAGCACAUAACAUAUGAAGUGAUAAAAAUAUAACAUGGAGAUGGACGAACUGAUGAUUGUUGAUAGAGAAGGGGCUGCACGGGGGCAUCCCCAAUCUUAGAUGCUUGAGUCUCGUUGAAUUAUUCUUGGGGGUGAAUGGGGGCAUCCCCAAGCUUGAGCACUUGACACUCCUGGAUCUUCUUUCAUCAUCUUGCAUCGCAUACUUGAAAACUCCCUUCAUACGAAACUCAUCAUAAGCUGAUUAGAGUGGUUAGCACCCAUAAUAAAAUAAUUUAUUUCCUGCUGAAAAUAAAGAUUUUCAUGAAAAGCUACUGUUUCUCAUGAUUUCCAAAAGGUUUUUGCAAAGGAAAAGAAAGUUUAAAAUUUGCAAAAUGAUGAAAACGCAAAACAUGGCAAAAUAUGAGAAAAACAGAACAACAGGUAGUAAAUAAUUGUUUAGGGCACUUCUGCAACUCAAAUCAAUAGACAUCAGAAAGAAAAUUAUAUGGAGCAUACUGUAAAAGAAAUCAGAUCAAAAAGAUGAUCUGGUGAUUUUUGGGGUAUUUUUUGUCAAGCCGACAUAAUCUGUUUCUGGACGGCACGUCACAACUUUUGAACUUUCUUGCGAUCGGAGGCUAUAAAUUGGCACAAAGCUUGAAAAUAAAGAUACAAUGAUGUUGCUACAGUAGUAACAAGCAUCAAGACCACUAAAACUAAAAGUAAAAAGAAAUUGGGUUUCCUCUCAACAAGCGCUUUCUUUUAUGCCUUUGAGCUAGGCAUGAUGCAAAAAGGAGGAUCAAAAUUCACCAAAGUCAUUGGAGUCAUCGAAACCUUCAAACGGAUCCUCAACAAGUUCAUCCUUAUUUUUCCUAGGGAACGGGUACGUACCUUUCGCUUUCCCACAUAAGCGUAUGUGUCCUUUACCUAUAUCAAUGAAGCAUUUCAUGGCUCGGAGGAAGUCCCUUUCAAGAACUAUGUUUCCUUGGUUUGGCUUCAUGAUGAAGAAAUCAACCGUUGCAUUCCUUUUAGAGAAUGUAACCUCGACAUCUUUUACAUUUCCCUGGAUCUCAGAAAUAUCCCAAUUAUCAUGUUCAUGAUAAGAUGAAAAAUUGUCUAUGUUUAAAAACCUUAGAUAAUCAUAAACAAAUUUUGGCAUUGUGGAAACCAGGGAUCCAAUAUCACAAUAAGCAACGAAAUCUUGGAUAGAGAUGCUAAUUCUAACAAAAGGCUCCCAGUCAUCAUCUAGUUUCAAAAUCUUUUUCUUAUCAACCAUGGGUUUCUCUCUUUCUCUUAAGUCUAGAGCAUCUAUUUUCCUUUCCAUGGAAGAAAUUCUAUCUAUAAUAGUGUCGAAUCCACGACCAUAAUCAAGGUAUUUAGAUAGACCUUGUAUAAUAUCAAGAGCUCUAGCCUGAUCACACUCUAAAAAAAUCUCCUUUAGCUAUAAUAUCAAGAGAGUGUUUACACCAUAUAAAAAACCAAUGAUAAAAAUUUCAAAGCACAAUUAUUAUAGGUAUCCAAGGCAUAAUUCUUUUAUGUGCAUCAGAAAUUCUAUCACAAGCCUCCUUAAUAUUUUCUCCAUUCCUUUGAUGGAAAUCUAGGACCUCAAAUUCCCUCAAAGCAUCAAACCUUAACAUGUUGUACUAAGAAGAAAGGACAACUAGAAGAAAAUCAACUAUUUUUUUUGGUUUGUGGUAUAAGACUCUAAAGAAAAAACUAGAAAGCAAACUAACAAGACUAAAAAGCAAAGGUAAAAGAUAGCGUGCAACUCCCCUAUCUUGAAAACUGGAGUCCCCGGCAAUGGCGCCAAAAAUUUGCUUGAUGACGAGUUAAUGGAUAUACAUCUCGCCCCUCAUUGCUUACCUCAAGUGGAAGGUGGAGUGAUGACCCACAAGUAUAGCAGAUCUAUCAUAGUACUUUCCAUAAGUAAGAGUGUCGAACCCAACGAGGAGCAGAAGGAUCUGACAAGUGGUUUUCAGCAAGGAAAUAUUUGCAAGCACUGAAAUUAUCGGUAACAAGUGAUUGUGUGGUUAGAUGAUUCGUAGCAAGCAACAAAAAACAAAAGUAGCAACGGUGAAGAAAAUUGGCCAGAGAGGUAAUGAGUAGCAUCAAGGAUCUGAACAUAAACUCUUCCACCAAGUAAUCCAACUAGCAUCAACUACAAAGAGUAAUUAACACUACUAGCAACCUUACAAGUACCAAUCGGAGUCGCGAGACGGAGAUUGCUUACAAGAGAUGAACUAGGGUUUGGAGAUGAGAUGGUGUUGAUGAAGAUGUUGAUGGUGAUGAGUCCCCUCCGAUUAGAGGAGUGUUGCUGAUGACGAUGGCGACGAUUUCCCCCUCCGGGAGGGAAGUUUCCCCGGCAGGAUCGUCCUGCUGGAGCUCUAGAUUGGUUCUGCUCAUGUUCCGCCUCGUGGCGGCGGCGAAUCCUCGAAAAAUCCUCCUCUUGAUUUUUUUCGGAACGAAACCCUUCAUAUAGCAGAAGAGGGGGGCCAGAGGGCCAGCUGGGUGCCCACAAGCCCCCUAGGUGCGGCCAGGGGGGUGGCCGCGCCUAGCAGACUUGUGGCCACCUGCUGGCGCCCCUCUGGCACUUCUUCGGACCAAUAUUUUUUAUAAAUCCCGAAAAAAAUCCUCGUUUAAUUUUACGGCGUUUGGAGUUGCGCAGAACAGGUAUCUCAAACUUGCUCCAUUUUCAGGCCGGAAUUCCAGCUGCCGGCAUUCUCCCUCUUCAUGUAAACCUUGCAAAAUAAGAGAGAAAGGGCAUAAGUAUUGUACCGUGAAGUGAAAUAACAGCCCAAGAAGCGAUAAAUAUCAACAUGAAAGCAUGAUGCAAAAUGGACGUAUCAACUCCCCCAAGCUUAGACCUCGCUUGUCCUCAUGCAAAAGCCGAGCUCAAUAAAUAUGACCACAUGUUAAGGGAGAGAGGUGUCGACAAAACAAAAUGCGAACAUGCAUGCAUCAUGAUCAUGAUCAGAACAACAAUACCAACAUAUAAUCUCUCAUGCUAAAGUGACAAUUCCUUCACAAAGUAAAGUACGGAUCAAGAACCUUACCGAGAAAUAACAACUGAUAGUCUAUAGUCAUUGAAGCAAUUUCAAUUUAUCACAACAUCAGAAAGAGUCAAAUAAGAGCUUGUAAAGCAAAUCAACAUACUCAAUCAUCUUUUCAUUCUCUACAAUUGCUACAACUCACGUGCUACUCAUUUGUUCAAAGUUUCAGCUGGACACAGAGAAAGAUAGGGGCUUAUCGUUUUGCCUCCUAACUGCUUACCUCAAGGGUAAUGUCAACAACAAUAAUUCAUGAAUGCUUACCUCCAAGUUGGCAUAUGAAUAUAGAUCUUUCCCUAGCAUAUGACGUUAGCCAAGAUAAAGGCGAAACAAGGAAUUGGUGAAGAUCACCAUGACUCUUUCAAGGGAAAAAAGUAAAGGUACAAGAUAGGCCCUUCGUAGAGGGAAGCAGAGGUUGUCAUGCGGUUUUGAGGUUUGGAUGCGUGUCCUCUUAGUGCGGAGGAACGUCACUUUAUAUUGUCUCCUGUGAUAAAGAACUUUAUUAUGCCGUCUGUCGCUUUUAUGUCUUCCUCAUCACAGGUUCAUACAAAGCUUAUUUUCCACACACUAAAAGAUCAUACAUAUUAGGGAGAAUUUUUUAUUGCUUGCACCGAUGACAACUUACUUGAGGGAUCUUAUUCAAUCCAUAGGUAGGUUUGGUGGACUCUCAUGGCAAAACUGGGUUGAAGGUUUGUGGAUGCACAAGUAGUAUUUCUACUUGGUGCGGGAGUUUUGGCUAAAAUGAGGUGGAAGCAAUCGUCACAGGCUAAGGGAUCUCUAAUCACAUAACAUUGUUCAGAACCAAGCAAACACAAUUCAUUAUGUUGUCUUCCUUGUCCAACAUCUACUUCUAGGCAUGCAAUAGUUUAGUGAGUGUUCACAAUCAUAGAUGGUGUCAAAGAUGAUGUAUUUAUAUGUGAACCUCUCCUUCUUUAUCACUUCCUAUUAAUUGCAACCAUGACCAAGGUCUACGUUUGUCUACCCUCAACAAGUUUCAAUCAACAUUCUUUUUAUAUGUGAAGCCAUCACUUCCCAUAAGAUCAUUACAUGAUCUUUCAUGUUUUUGUUCUUUUCUCACUCUUUUGAUCAUGGCAAGAGGCAAAGCCCUUCAACUAAGACACUCUUUAUUAUAUGGCUCACGAGCUCGAAUACAUCGGGGGUGACACAAAACAAAACUAAAGACUAAAACACUAAGACUUUUAAUCUACUAGAGAAAAAGAAAACUGAAAAGGAACAAAUUAAAACAAAGGUAAAGGCAAAAGAUGUGAUGGUGAUACGAUACUGGGGCAACUCCCGCAAGCUUGGCACAAGCCAAGGGGAUUGCCCAUACCCAUUCUUAGUUGUCUUCCUUUGAAGGUCAUGGUGGUGGUGUUGCUUUGUCCUUUGAUUCCAAGAGGGCCAUUAAUCUUUCAUUUAUACCUUGAAGAUCUGUGAUAUGUUACUCCAGCAAAACAACUUCACGAGUGAGAUAAGUAUUGCGAGCACGAGUUGUUUCAUAAAACCUCAAGAGUUUAAUCAAGGAUGGAGACAGUUAGUAGAGGUAGGGUUGGAGGAAAACCACUUCUUCAACUUCUUCCUUGUUGAGCACAGAUUGAACUUUGUCCCAUGCCUGAUUCUUCUCCUUAGUUUUGCCCUUGGCCUCUUUAGGUAGCCUUUCCCUAGCCUCCAUUCUUCUCAGAUCAGCAUUUACUUCUCCAUAGACUUGAGGGAGAUUGUUCUCCCUCACAGAUUCCUGAGACGACAUCUUGCUUUAAAUCUGCGGCAGAAAACAGGCUCGAAACGAAAACAGAGGAAAUCUGCGUGAUAUGAGGGUCAGACCUUACGGGAGAAUAUAUAAUGAUUUUUUCAGACCAGAAGGAUUACUCCGCACGAAAACAAAGUCCGAGAGGCACACCAGGUGGCCACAAGCCCCCUAGGCGCGGUGAGGGGGUGGGCCCGCGCCUGGCAGGCUUGUCGCCUCCUUGCGCGCUUUCCGGACUACUUCCAAUUUUUCCAUUUUUUCAAAUAUUCCAAAACGGAGAAAAAUUCCUACUGGAAAAGUUUUGGAGUGUGUUUUCUUACCGAAUCACAUACCUCUUCGUUUUCGGAGUCUGAAACAGGCUGGUAAAUAUCCCUUAGGUAUUCUUCCGGAGUUAUGGUAUUGAUGAUAUUGCUUUCAACAUUUAUGGGAGUACCUGAGAUAUAAUGCUUGAUUCUCUGGCCAUUUACCACUCUCGGACAAUUACCUGCCAUGUUGUUGAUCUUGAUAGCACCGGAAUGAUAUACUUCCUGAAAAAUAUAGGGACCUUCCUGCUACGUCAACAAAAGUCAUUCCCCGGCAGUGGUGCCAGAGAUCCUUCUGUCGACCCUUGAGCUCGCGUUGUUUUUUCCCUUGAAGAGGAAAGGGUGAUGCAGCACAAGAGCAGUAAGUAUUUCCCUCAGUUUGAGAACGAAGGUAUCGAUCCAGUAGGAGGGUCUCGUCAAGUCCAGAGUACCUGCACAAACACAAACAAGCUUGCACCCAACGCUUCAAAGGGGUUGUCAAUACCUUCAAGAUUGUUUGCAAAGUGAGAUCUGAAGGCGGAAACUGCUACGAAGUAAAAUGUGUAAUGCUGAAAAUAUGGUGUGGAGUAGAACCGGGGGCCAUAGUGUUCACUAGAGGCUUCUCUCAAAAUAGCAAGUAUCACGGUGGGUAAACAAAUUACUGUCGAGCAAUUGAUAGAACCGCGCAAAGUCAUGACGGUAUCUAAGGCAAUGAUCAUACAUAUAGGCAUCACGUUCGAGACAAGUAGACCGAUACUUUCUGCAUCUACUACUAUUACUCCACACAUCGACCUCUAUCCAGCAUGCAUCUAGUGAAUUGAGUUCAUGACGAACAGAGUAACGCUUUAAGCAAGAUGACAUGAUGUAGAGGGAUUAUCUCAAACCAAUGAUGAAAACCCCAUCUUUUUACUCUUGAUGGCAACAUCACGAUGCGUUCCUCUCUACCCCUUUUGUCACUGGGUGAGGUCACUGCACGGUAUGAAGCCAAAUCCAAGCACUUCUCCCAGUUCAAGAAUCAUAGAUCUAGUUGGCCAAACAAAACCCACAACUCAAAGAGAAUUACAAGGAUAUGAAAUCAUGCAUAAGAGAGAUUAGAAGAAACUCAAAUAAGAUUCAUAGAUAAUCUGAUCAUAAAUCUACAAUUCAUCGGAUUUCAACAAACACACUGCAAAAGAAGAUUACAUCUGAUAGAUCUCCAUGAAGAUCAUGGAGCACUUUUUAUUGAAGAUCCAAGAGAGAGAAGAAGCCAUCUAGUUACUAGCUAUGGCCCCGUAGGUCUAUGGUGAACUACUCACGCAUCAUAGGAGAGGUCAUGGUGUUGAUGAAGAAGCCCUCCGUAUCCGAAUCCCCCUCCGGUAGGGCACCAGAACGUGCCCCAGAUGGGAUCCUGAUUUUUUUGGGAUUUUUAGGGAAUAUAUAGGCGCAACCCCUAGGGAGGAGGGCGUCCAGGGGGCCCACAAGCCUGUGGGCUACGGCCUCCCCCCUGGCCGCAGGGUGAAGGCUUGUGGGGCCCCUGGGGCCCCCUGCCUUGGCUCUCAAGUCUCCUGAUCUUCUUCCGUUACGGAAAAAUUCUUUUCGGGGAUAUUAUUCCAUUUGGACUCCAUUUCAAAAUCUCCUCUCAAAGGGGUCAAAAACUUGGAAAAACAGGAACUGGCACUUGGCACUGAGUUAAUAAGUUAGUCCCAAAAAAUAUAUAAAAGGCAUGCAAAACAUCCAAAGUUUGACAAGAUAAUAGCAUGUAACCAUAAAAAAUUAUAGAUACGUUGGAGACGUAUCAAGCAUCCCCAAGCUUAACUCCUGCUCGUCCUCGAGUAGGGAAGUGAUAAAGAAUGUAUUUUUGAUGUGGAAUGCUACCUAGCAUAGUUGUCCUUUGCAACUUCUUUCAUGUGUCAUGAAUGUUCAGAUCCGUAAGAUUCAAAACAAUAGUUUGGUAUUGACAUGAAAACAAUAAUACUUCAAGCAAACUAGAAAGUUAUCCCUACAAAAUCAUAUAGUCUCGCUAUGCUCCAUCAUCCUCACACAACUAAUGUAAAUCAUGCCCAACCUCGGUAUUGGCCAGGUAAUUGUUUUCGCACUCUUACUUUCUCAAACUUUUUAUAACUAUCACGCGAUACAUGAGCGUGAGCCAUGGAUAUAGCACUAUAAGUGGAAUAGAGUGUGGUGGUGGUUGUGAGACAAAAAGGAGGAGAUGGUCACAUUGACUCGGCGUAUCAAAGGGCUAUGGAGAUGCCCAUUAAUAGAUAUCAAUGUCAACGAGUAGGGAUUGCCAUACAACAGAUGCACUAGAGCUAUAAGUAUGUGAAAGCUCAAAAGGAAAACUAGUGGGCGUGCAUCCAACUUGCUUGCUCACGAAGACCAAUGGCAAUUUUGAGGAAGCCCAUCAUUGGAAUAUACAAGCCAAGUUAUAUAAUGAAGAUUCCCACUAGCAUAUGGUAGUGACAAAGCAAGAAGCUCUCAAUCAUGAAGAACAUGGUGCUAUUAUGAAGCACAAGUGUGGACAAAGAUAGUAGCAUUCUCCCUUCUCUCGUUUUCUCUUUUUUUCAUUUGGGCUCUUAGGCCUCUUUUUUUCUCCCCCUUUUUUUUGUUUUUCGGCUCUUUGGCCUCUUUUUUUAUUUUCUCAUGUGGGACAAUGCUCUAAUAAUGAUGAUCAUCACACUUUUAUUUACUCACAGCUCAAAGCUCACAAUGAUGAUGACUCUAUAGGAAAUGCCUCCGGCAGUGUACCGGGAUGUGCAACGAUCUAGCAUGGCGUAUGACGUUGAAAACAUCUCGCUAGCUAUCUUACGAUCAUGCAAUGGGAAUAUGAGAGUGACGGCACAAGUCAUGAGACGGAACGGUGGGAGUUGCAUGGCAAUAUAUCUCGGAAUGGCUAUGAAAAUGCCAUAGUAGGUAGGUAUGGUGGCUGUUUUGAGGAAGGCAUAUGGUGGGUUGUGCACCGGCGAGAAUUGCGCGGCACUAAAGAGGCUAGCAAUGGUGGAAGGUGAAAGUGCAUCUAUACCAUGGACUCACAUUUGUCAUGAAGAACUCACAUACUUGUUGCGAAAGUUUUUAUUUGUAAUCGAAACAAAGUGCUAAAUGCAUACUCUGAGGGGAAGGGUUGGUAGGUGUUAACAAUCGCGCGAUCCCGACCUCGACACAAAGGAUGACAAUCAAUAGAUCAAUUAUGCUCCGAUUUCCUAACAUAGCGGUUCACCAUACGUGCAUGCUACGGGAAUCACUAACUUUAACACAAGUAUUUCUAGAUUCACAACACCCUACUAACAUAGCUCUUAAUAUUACCAAAUCCACGUCUCAAAACUAAUUGAGAGGAAUCAAGACUUCUCUUUCUACUCAAUGCACAUGAAGAUGGAGGUUUUUGCAUCCUCUUUGGGUACCUAUCACAUUUGGGACUACUUUCAUAGCAUAAGCCAACUACCAAAUCACGCACCUCCGCGCUCUAAAAGAUAUAAAUGAAGCACAUAGAGCAAAAGUAUCUAGCUCAAAAGAUAUAAAUGAAGCGCUAUGAGCAUUCUAGCAAAAUCACGAUGAGUGCAUGUCUCUCUCUAUCAAAAAGGUGUGCAGCAUGGAUGAUUGUGACACAACAAAAAGAAUAGACUCCUACGAUACAAGACGCUCCAAGCAAAACACAUGUCAUGUGGUGAAUAAAAAUAUAGCUCCAAGUAAUGUUACCGAUGGAUUGAAGACGAAAGAGGGGAUGCCUUCCCGGGGCAUUGAUGUUUGCUGUGUACCCUGGCAAUGGUGCCAGAAAUACGUCUCCUACUGCACAAAAGACCUUCCAACGGCGCCAGAGAUAGGCAGGUCGACGGGAGAAUACUUGGCUUGAUCUUUAUGUUGUGGCUACGCCUUAAGGGACUUCCUAGGCAAGUAUGCAAUGGAUUUCCGCCGUGGCCAUGGAGCUUUGCGUUGGUGUUCCCUCGAAGCGGAAAGGGUGAUGUAGCACAAUGACGGUAAGUUUUCACUCAGUUUGAGAACCAAGGUAUCAAUCUGGCGGAAGAGUAUCCCAAGAUCCUGCACAAACACAAAAGCUUGCACCCAACGCUAUGAAGGGGUUGUCAAUCCCUUAUAGAUUGUUUGCCAAGUGAGAACUGAAAGCAACAAAGUAAAAAAGAAAAGUAAAAGCAGAGUUGGAAACGAUGGAUGUGAAUAGACCCGGGGGCCGUAGUGUUUACUAGUGGCUUCUCUCAUGAAAGCAAGUAGACGGUGGGUGAACAAAUUACUGUCGAGCAAUUGAUAGAACUGUGCAGAGUCGUGACGAUAUCUAUGCAAUGAUUAUUUCUAUAGGCAUCACGUCCGAAACAAGUAGACCGAUACUGUCUGCAUCUACUACUAAUACUCCACACGUCGACCGCUAUCUAGCAUGCAUCUAGUGUAUUAAGUCCAUAAGAACAGAGUAACGCCUUAAGCAAGAUGACAUGAUGUAGAGGGAUAAUCUCAAACCAAUGAUAAAACCCCCAUCUUUUUACCCUUGAUGGCAACUGCUUGAUGUGUGCCUUGCUGUCCCUACUGUCACUAGGAAAGGUCACCACAUGGCAGAACCCAAAACCAAGCACUUCUCCCAUUGCAAGAAUCAUAGAUCUAGUUGGCCAAACAAAACCCAAGACUCGGAGAGACUUACAAGGAUAUCAAAUCAUGCAUAUAAUAAAUCAGCAAAGACUCAAAUAUAUAAAAUAUAUAAUCUGAUCACAAGUCCACAAUUCAUCGGAUCUUCACAAACACACCGCCAAAGAAGAUUACAUCGGAUAGAUCUCCGUGAAGAUCAUGGAGAACUUUGUAUUGAAGAUCCAAGAGAGAGAAGAAGCCAUCUAGCUACUAACUACGGACCCGUAGGUCUGAAGUAAACUACUCACGAGUGAUUGGAGGGGCGAUGAUGAUGAUGAAAAGCCCUCCACCUCCAAAGUCCCCUCCGACAGGGCGCCGGGAAGGGUCUCCAGAUGAGAUCUCGCGGAAACGGAAGCUUGCGGCGGCGGAAAAGUAUUUUCGAGGCUCCCCUGAUUUCUUGCGGAAUAUUUGGGAAUAUAUAGGCGCAACACCUAGGUCAGGAGGCGGCCAGGGAAGCCACAAGCUUGCCCACCGCCGCCUCCCCCUGGUGUCUGGGUGGGAGCUUGUGGGCUCCCUGGGGCCCACUUGGCCUGGCCCAAAGGCUCCCUGGACUUCUUCCGUUCGGGAAAAAAUCAUUUCGGGGUUUUUCUUCCGUUUGGACUCCGUUCCAAAAUCAGAUCUGAAAAGAGUCAAAAACACGGAAAAACAGGAACUGGCACUUGGCAUUGAAUCAAUAAGUUAGUCCCAAAAAAGAUAUAAAAAGGUACAUAAAACAUACAAAGAAGGCAAGAUAACAACGUGAAACCAUAAAAAAUUAUAGAUACGUUUGAGACGUAUCAAGCAUCCCCAAGCUUAACUCCUGCUCGUCCCCGAGUAGGGAAGUGAUAAGAAUGAAUUUUUGAUGCUUUCCUGCUACCUAGCAUAAGUGUCCUUUGUAAUUCCUCUUAUGUGACGUGAAUGUUCAGAUCCUNNNNNNNNNNNNNNNNNNNNNNNNNNNNNNNNNNNNNNNNNNNNNNNNNNNNNNNNNNNNNNNNNNNNNNNNNNNNNNNNNNNNNNNNNNNNNNNNNNNNUAGGAACCAACGCGCUAGAUUAGGAGUUAGGUACCCCUUCGGUUUUUAAGUAAAAACCCGAACGGUUUUCUGCCUCACUUACUUUUAGCCGUAGAUUUUCUUAAGUUUCGGCCGUUUGCCCAUUAUAACCUCAGCACACACCCCGCACCAAAUCAGGGAUUGCCACGUGUCUGUUAGUAUUUGAUUUCUUUUUCUGUUUAGUUCCAAAAACAGAAAAGUUUCAAUUUUGUUUUGAGCAUAGCUUUUGAUGCCAAAGUCCAAUGAGUUUGAUUCCUUUUCCAGUAGAUCCCAAUUUUUCUUUAGUUUUUAAAAACAUAUAAUUUGUCUAUGUUUGAAAUUUUCAAAUGUGAAUUAGGUCAGAUUUAGUUUAAACCUUGUUUUGCUUAUUCCAGGAGUUUAAAAAUGAUUUAGAGUUGAUUCUUUUUGCUACUGCUUCCUAGUGAUUAUAUAUUACUGUGGUAGAAGUUUAAAAAAAAUUUAAAUAUUUUUACUUGGGUUUUUAACAGAAACAAGUUUCUGCCUUAGUGACGUGUAGUGAAUUCUUUCACUUAGGCCAUAGCAACUCUUUACUUGUGAUGUUAUUUUUACUUGUUGUUUGAUUGUAGUGCUUAUGGUGUGUAUUUGUUUGUAUCGGUAGAUCACCCGGAGUGCGAAGCUUGUUACUUAUAAGCGCUCGAUCAAGACAACUAUCAUCAAGGCAAGUCAUUUUGAUCAUCCGGUCUUCAAACACCCUGAAGUGCGAGGACAUACACGGAGGCGACCAAAUCUUGUGGGGAACGUGUGCAAAAACUCUGUAGAGUGCCCAACCUAAUCGAUUAGCCGUGUCCACGGUCAUGGACAACUUGAGCCGAAGGCAUUGAAAUUCCCCUGAACUCUCGACACAACUUAANNNNNNNNNNNNNNNNNNNNNNNNNNNNNNNNNNNNNNNNNNNNNNNNNNNNNNNNNNNNNNNNNNNNNNNNNNNNNNNNNNNNNNNNNNNNNNNNNNNNAACAAUAAUACUUCAAGCAAACUAGCUAGGUAAUCAUGAACUUUCAAAAUAACAAGGCCAAGGAAAGUUAUCCCUACAAAAUCAUAUAGUCUCGCUAUGCUCCAUCAUCCUCACACAACUAUUGUAAAUCAUGCACAACCCCGGUAUUGGACAAGUAAUUGUUUUCGCACUCUUACUUUCUCAAACUUUUUAUAAUUAUCACACAAUACAUGAGCGUGAGCAAUGGAUAUAUCACUAUAGCAAUUAUAUCUUUUUUGGGACUAAAUUAUUAAUUCAGUGCCAAGUGCGAGUUCCUGUUUUUUCUGUGUUCUUGGCUCUAUUCAAAUCUAAUUUUGGAACGGAGUCCAAACAGAAUAAAAUCCCCGUAAUGAUUUUUCACGAACGAAAGAAGAUCAGGGGGCCUGUGGGCCAAGCCAGGAGGGCUCCUAGGAGCCCACAAGCCCCCACUCCGCCACCAAGGGGAGGCGGCGGUGGCAGGGCUUGUGGCCUCCUUGAGUGCCCCCUGACCUAGAUCUUUGGCCUAUAUAUUCCCUAAAAUACAGCAAAAAAUCAAGGGAUCCACGAAAAUACUUUUCCGCCGCUGCAAGCUUCCGUUUCCGCGAGAUCUCAUCUGGAGACCCUUCCCGGCGCCCUGCUGGAGGGGACUUUGGAGUUGGAGGGCUUCUUCAUCAUCAUCAUCACCCCUCCAAUGACUCGUGAGUAGUUCACUUCAGACCUACGGGUCCGUAGUUAGUAGCUAGAUGGCUUUUUCUCUCUCUUGGAUCUUCAAUUCAAUGUUCUCCAUGAUCUUCAUGGAGAUCUAUCCGAUGUAAUCUUCUUUGGCGGUGUGUUUGUCGAGAUCCNNNNNNNNNNNNNNNNNNNNNNNNNNNNNNNNNNNNNNNNNNNNNNNNNNNNNNNNNNNNNNNNNNNNNNNNNNNNNNNNNNNNNNNNNNNNNNNNNNNNGUGGAUCUAGAAAUACUUGUGUUGAAGUUAGUGAUUCUCGUAGCAUGCACGUAUGGUGAACCGCUAUGUGAUGAAAUCUGAGCAUGAUUAGUUAUUGAUUGUCAUCCUUUGCGUGGCGGUCGGGAUCGCGCGAUGGUUACCUACCAACCCUUCCCCUAGGAGUAUGCGUUGAAUGCUUUGUUUCGAUUACUAAUAAAACUUUUGCAACAAGUAUAUGAGUUCUUCAUGACUAAUGUUGAGUCCAUGGUUUAGAUGCAUUUUCACCUUCCACCAUCACUAUCUUCUUAGUGCCGUGCAACUUUCGCCGGUGCACAAAACCCACCAUUAGCCUCCCUCAAAACAACCACAAUACCUACCUACUAUGGCUUUUUCAAAGUCAUUCCGAGAUAUAUUUCCAUGCAACUACCACCAUGACAUGUGCCACCACGUCUACAUUGCCAUUGCAUGAUCGUAAGAUAGCUAGCAUGAUGUAUCCAUUAAUGUCUAUGCCAUGCUAGAUCAUUGCCCCGGUACACUAUCGAAGGCAUUCCAUAUAGAGUCAUUGUUGCUCUAAGUUUUGAGUUGAAAGUGUGAUGAUCAUCAUUAAUGGAGCAUUGUCCCAUGUGAGGAAAUAAAAGAGGCCAAAGAAGCCCACCAAAAAAAAGAGGCCAAAGAGCCCACCAAAAAAUGAGAGAAAAAGAGAGAAGGGACAAUGCUACCACUUUUUCCACACUUGUGCAGAUUAAGCACCAUCAUCUUCAUGAUUGAGAGUCUCUCGUUUUGUCACCACCAUAUAGCUAGUGGGAAAUUUUCAUUAUAUAACUUGGCUUGUAUAUUCCAAUGAUAGGCUUCCUAAAAAUUGCCUUAGGUCUUUGUGAGCAAGCAAGUUGGAUGCACACCCACUAGUUUUCUUUAAGAGCUUUCACAUACUCGUAGCUCUAGUGCAUCAUUUUAUGGCAAUCCCUACUCAUUCACAUUGAUAUCUAUUGAUGAGCAUCUCGACAGCUCAUUGAUAUGCCUAGUUAAUGUGACCAUCUUCUCCUUGUUUUGUCUUGCAACCUCCACCACACUCCACACCAUCUAUAGUGCUAAAACCAUGGCUCACGCUCAUGUAUUGCGUGAGAGUUGAAAAGGUUUGAGAAAGUAAAGGUGUGAAACAAUUACUUGGCCAAUACCGGGGUUGUGCAUGAUUUAAAUUCGUUGUGCAAUGAUGAUAGAGCAUAGCCAGACUAUAUGCUUUUGUAGGGAUAACUUUCUUUUGGCCUUGUUAUUUUGAAAGUUCAUGAUUACCUUGCUAUUUUGCUUGAAUUAUUAUUGUUUCCACGUCAAUAGCAAACUAUUGUUUUGAAUCUAAUGGAUCUGAACAUUCACGUCACAUAAGAGGAGUUACUAACGACAUCUAUGCUAGGUAGCAUGAAAGCAUCAAAAAUUCAUUCUUUAUCACUUCCCUACUCGAGGACAAGAAGGAGUUAAGCUUGGGGAUGCUUGAUACGUCUCAAACGUAUCUAUAAUUUUUUAUGGUUUCACGCUGUUAUCUUUUCAUCUUUGGAUGUUUUAUGUACCUUCUAUAUAUUUUUUGGGACUAACUUACUAAUUCAGUGCCAAGUGCCAGUUCCUGUUUUUUCUGUGUUUUUGGCUCUUUUCAGAUCUGAUUUUGGAACGGAGUACAAACGUAAUAAAAUCCCCGAAAUGAUUUUUUCCCGAACGAAAGAAGAUCAGGGGGACUGUGGGCCAAGCCAGGAGGGCUCCUAGGAGCCCACAAGUCACCAGGGGGGAGGCGGCGGUGGCAGGGCUUGUGGCCUCCCUGAGCGCCCCCUGACCUAGAUCUUUGGCCUAUAUAUUCCCUAAAAUACAGCAAAAAAUCAGGGGAUCCACGAAAAUACUUUUCCGCCGCCGCAAGCUUCCGUUUCCCCGAGAUCUCAUCUGGAGACCCUUCCCGACGCUCUGCCGGAGGGGACUUUGGAGUUGGAGGGCUUUUUCAUCAUCAUCUCCACCCCUCCAAUGACUCGUGAGUAGUUCACUUCAGACUUAGGGGUCCGUAGUUAGUAGCUAGAUGGCUUCUUCUCUCUCUUGGAUCUUCAAUACAAAGUUCUCCAUGAUCUUCAUGGAUAUAUAUCCGAUGUAAUCUUCUUUGGCAGUGUGUUUGUCGAGAUCCGAUGAAUUGUGGAUUUGUGAUCAGAUUAUCUAUGAUAUAUAUNNNNNNNNNNNNNNNNNNNNNNNNNNNNNNNNNNNNNNNNNNNNNNNNNNNNNNNNNNNNNNNNNNNNNNNNNNNNNNNNNNNNNNNNNNNNNNNNNNNNAACUUUUGUUGGUUGACCUAAGGGUCCUUUUCAAUUGCAAUCUUUCUCCUGAUGCUUAAUUGACUCGAGUGACCGAUAAAGAAAAUUACUUUUGUAAUUGCAGACAAGUGAAGCUACACCUGGAACAGAAGAUUGGGAGCUCCCUGCUGUGGUAUACCCCCCCUCCAUCCCGCCCCCCCCCCCCGNCCCCCGCCCCCGACGGCCUGUAGAUCCUAGACGUUCCAGGCAUGCCUCUUCCCCUUCCUGCCAUGUACAUAGCUUACUUGUUAUGUUGUCGCGAUUAGAUAAAUUUCUAUGAACAUCGUCAUUCUAUUUGAGCGUAUUGGUUGGUGAUUAGUCGAAAAAGGAAUAAAUUGGAGAAGAAAAAUUGUAGCUUUAUUCUACUAUAAAAAAUCCAGGGGGCUCCUAAUCUGCAAUAGCUUACUCAUUGGCUCAGGAACAUGAACAUAUACUGCUAUGCUUUAUAUGCCUACUUUUUUAAGUUUUCUUUAACUUUUGCAUAGUCUUUUGUUACCAAGUAGAACAAUCAGGACAUACAUAANNNNNNNNNNNNNNNNNNNNNNNNNNNNNNNNNNNNNNNNNNNNNNNNNNNNNNNNNNNNNNNNNNNNNNNNNNNNNNNNNNNNNNNNNNNNNNNNNNNNGAAGAUCCAAGAGAGAGAAAAAGCCAUCUAGCUACUAGCUAUGGACCCGUAGGUCUAUGGUGAACUACUCACGCAUCAUCGGAGAGGUCAUGGUGUUGAUGAAGAAGCCCUCCGUAUCCGAAUCCCCCCUCCGGCAGGGCACCAGAAUGUGCCCCAGAUGGGAUCUUGCAUACAUAGAAGCUUGCAGCGGCAGAAAAGUAGUUUCAAUGAUCUCCUGAUUUUUUCUGGGAUUUUAGGGAAUUUAUAGGCGAAAGACCUAGGGUAGAGGUGGCCCAGGGAGCCCACAAGCCUGGGAGGCGCGGCCCCCCUGGCCGCGGCUAGGGGGCUUGUGGGUUCCCUGCUGGCCCCCUGCCUUGAUUCUCAGGCUUCCCGAUCUUCUUCUGUUUCGGAAAAAAUCUUUUUGGCAGUUUCGUUCCGUUUGGACUUCGUUUAAAAUCCUCCUCUGAAAGGGGUCAAAAACAAGGAAAAAAACAGGAACUGACACUUGGCACAGAGUUAAUAAGUUAGUCUCAAAAAAGAUAUAAAAGGCAUACAAAACAUCAAAACUUUAACAAGAUAAUAGCAUGAAACCAUAAAAAAUUAUAGAUACGUUGGAGACGUAUCAGACAUCACUAGUGAACAUCAUGUGACUCAGGUCCAUAUCACCACCAUUGCUUACACCUCCACCAUUUACUGCUUUCAUUUACUUUUCCGUUGCAAUCACUAUCACUAUUCCCGCUUAUGUUUUGGUCCUUUGCAAACUACAAGGCCGGAGAGAUUGAUAACCUCUCUGUACUCGUUGGGAGCAAAGUUAUUUGUUGUGUGUGCAGGUCCACGUCUUCUGCUAGAGCCAGAGCAACAGACACCUAAUUUUUGAUCCUCGGAGUCUUCCUGGUUCGAUAAACCUUACAGUCCCCGUGUAAGGGAAAUCUGUUGCUGAAUACAUCUCCACCUUCCACUUGGGGUAACCAACGAGGGGCGAGAAGUAUAUCCAUCAACUCGUCAUCAUGGCCCCGCCUGUCGGUGAGCCAUCCGUUGCCUCCGAGUGGCGUAGUCUCCCCUGGUGCGCUUUCUUCUCACUAAUGCGUAUUUUGGCCGAAGCAUUUUCCCUUGGUACGUCUGCCUCUCUGGAAAGCGUAUUUGGUCCAAAGUGUUUUCUAUUCCUUUCCUUAAAAAACAGAUUUGACCAGGGUCUUUAAAUGGCUCUAACUUUUUAAAGAAAACUCCAAAACAACUCAUUCUUUUUCCUACCUAUAUAAAAUAUCCUCUAGUUUAUUUACAAAUUUAUUUCAAAAAACUUCAAACAACUUUUAUGUGCUGUUUUAAAUUUGUGCGUUAAUUUAGAUAUUUGUCAAAAUAGGAUUUGCAGAGAGGGGACUCACUUCAAGAAUUUGUUGUGCACAUCACACUCCUCAACUCCAAAGGCAAGCAUCUUGAACUCUUAUUUACAUCAAGUUGUGUGAUGUUUGUUGUGGUACAUCUAUUGCAUGAUUUUAGUUUAUGUUGAUAAAAAUAUCGCAUGAAAUCAUACCUUGCAUGACAACAUGUGAUGGAUAUUUUUUGUUGCUAAGUUUGUGGAUGGCGAGUGGUGAGUGGGUACUGCCUCAUACCUCGUAUGCUAUGUUGGUCUGGACAACCUCGGAGUAAGGUGUGUCGUGGUGGAAAUAAGACCAUGGGCUGACAUCUCGUGGGAAGAGAGUGGUCAGUGAUAGCUUGUUGGUGUUUGAUGGCAGUAACCCUCAAAUAAUACCUUUAGCAAGAUUGUGUGGUACUAACCCUUGCAGGAAAAUAUUAAACCUCCUAAGUCGACUGUAGUUCGAGUCUUGCCUAUGUGUCACCUUAACUUUCGUGCUACCGCGGGUCUUCUCGAAAGGGAAUACGGUCUAGUAGGUCGUAAAUCUAUUACCAGGUAGACACCAAGUAGAGAGGACGAGAUGAAGGUAUCCAUGGCCCUGGACUAAAUCCAGUCAUCCAGUCAGGGGGUAUGGGUGUCUCCGGUCUGGGACCGAGAGGGAAUGGCCAUUCCCUUUUAGCGCGCGGUAUAAAUUUGAUCCCAUGCUAGUCGAGGUUGGAGCCUCCCCCGUCUUAUGGUUUUCUCUCGCAGCGUAGUUCGAGUGAUAUCGGUAUUCGUGGGAGAAAAAUGGGUUUGUACUAGUUAUGAGUGUUUACUUCUAAAAUACCGUGCGUAGGAUUAGUCCGAGUGACUCUUGAAACCCGUGGGAUGUGGGUAAAGAGUACACCCUCUGCAGAGUCAAAACUAUUCGAGUAGUCGGGUCCACGGUCAAGGACGACUGGUUGACUAGUCAAGUGUCGGUUCGAGUGUCGAUCUUCGAAGGAAGUUAAUGACAUCGUGAGACAAAUCACGAAAUAUGGUGGAUGAUCAUAACUAUUGUUUUUAUUGUGGACUAAUCCCUAUGAUUUUCUUGGUUGAAUAUCCGUGGGAAGGUUCUACCUCCUGGAUAUUCAAUAUUUAUUAUUAUUUCUUAUAAGCUCUUUUUGUGGUGUCGCUUAGACGCCCGAUAGUGGCAUGCUCGUUAUUAUUUCUUAUAAGCCCUUUCUAUGGUGUCGCUUAGACGCUCGANNNNNNNNNNNNNNNNNNNNNNNNNNNNNNNNNNNNNNNNNNNNNNNNNNNNNNNNNNNNNNNNNNNNNNNNNNNNNNNNNNNNNNNNNNNNNNNNNNNNAACGUUGCCCGGGCAUCGUUUCCAUCUUGCCGCCAUAGUUCCCCUUUUGCUCGCCGUGGCGACACUUGUUUCUUUCUCUUCUUCCCGUGAUGUUUGAACUUGCAUGCAUGUCGCAUUCAUGGCAUAUAAUCUUGUGUUGCAUGCCUCUUGUGCCGUAGCUCCGAUCUAUGCUCCGCAUGUUAACCGUCUAGGAUGACUUGUAGAUUUACCGCUUCACCCCUUGCCAUGCUAAACAACAUUUAAUAUCGCCGAGUAAAUAACCGGGAGUGAACUAAAUAAUUAAUAGUGGAGUUUCGUCGAUAUGUAACUCGUUGCAUAUCGAGCUUCACUUAAUGUGUAGUGUUUGCGUGAGGUGAAUUGCCAUGCCAUCCCUUGCAUUUUAACCUGUUCAUGCAUCAUAUUAGGAUGUGCAUCAUGUUGUGCAUCGUGUGGUGAAUAUUUGUGUUGAUGUUUUAUUCCGGUUUGCUCUGUCUCAAUAGAGUUCCGCAAGCGUGUCGGAAUGUGAGGACCCGUUCGACUACGUUGGUUUGCCGACUCCACCGAGUUGUUCUUCUUCCAAGCGGGAUCUCAGGCAAGAUGACCAUUUCCCAGAUACCAUUACUACCAUUGCCAUGCUAGUUUUACCGCUUCUAUCGUUUAUGUCUCGUUGGCUACAACAUGUUUACAUAUCAGCCUCUCAACAAUGCCAUGAUAACCUUUAACCUGUUCGACCUAGCAAACCACUGAUUGGCUAUGUUACCGCUUGCUUACCUUAUUGUUAGCGUUGCUAGUUGCAGGUGUAGUUGCUUCCAUGUGAUAACAUGGGUCCCUUGUCAUAUCACCAUNNNNNNNNNNNNNNNNNNNNNNNNNNNNNNNNNNNNNNNNNNNNNNNNNNNNNNNNNNNNNNNNNNNNNNNNNNNNNNNNNNNNNNNNNNNNNNNNNNNNUUAAUACAAUUAUAGCAUGAACGAUAGACGAUUAUCAUGAACAAGGAAAUAUGAUAAUAACCAUUUUAUUAUUGCCUCUAGGGCAUAUUUCCAACAGUCUCCCACUUGCACUAGAGACAAUAAUCUAGUUACAUUGUGAUGAAUCGAACACCCAUAGCAUUAUGGUGCUGAUCAUGUUUUGCUCGUGGAAGAGGUUUAGUCAACGGGUCUGCAAUAUUCAGAUCCGUGUGUACUUUACAAAUAUCUAUCACUCCAGUUUGGACAUGGUCCUGGAUGGAGUUGUAGCGGCGCUUGAUGUGCUUCGUCUUCCGGUGAAACCUGGGCUCCUUGGCUAUGGCAAUGGCUCCAGUGUUAUCACAGAAGAGUGUCAUAGGACCCGACGCGCUUGGAACCACUCCAAGGUCGGUGAUGAGCUCCUUCAUCCAAAUUCCUUCAUGAGCCGCUUCUGAAGCAGCUAUGUACUCCGCUUCACAUGUAGAUGCUGCCACGACUUCUUGCUUGCUGCUGCACCAGCUCACUGCCCCACCAUUCAACAUAUAUACGUAUCCGGUUUGUGACUUAGAGUCAUCCGGAUCUGUGUCGAAGCUAGCGUCGACGUAACCCUUUACGACGAGCUCUUCGUAACCUCCAUAAAUGAGAAACAUUGCCUUAGUCCUUUUCAGGUACUUAAGGAUAUUCUUGACCGCUGUCCUGUGUUCUGCACCGGGAUUAUUUUGGUACCUCCCUACCAAGCUUAUCGCAAGGUUUAUAUCAGGUCUGGUACACAGCAUGGCAUACAUUAGAGAGCCCACGGCUGAAGCGUAGGGGACAGAACUCAUCUUCUCUCUAUCUACUGCCGUGGUCGGCGACUUAGUCUUACUCAAUCUCAUACCUUGCAAAACUGGCAAGAACCCUUUCUUUGAGUUUUCCAUAUUGAACUUCUUCAGUAUCUUGUCAAGGUAUGUACUUUGCGAAAUACCUAUGAGGCGUCUCGAUCUAUCUCUAUAGAUCUUGAUGCCUAAUAUGUAUGCAGCUUCUCCAAGGUCCUUCAUUGAAAAACUCUUGUUCAAAUAGGCCUUUAUGCUCUCCAACAUCUCUAUAUCAUUCCCCAUCAACAAUUUGUCAUCCACAUAUAGUACGAGGAAAGCUACAGAGCUCCCACUCACUUUCUUGUACAGACAGGCUUCUCCGUAAACCUGUAUGAACCCAAACGCCUUAAUCACCUCAUUAAAGCGAAUGUUCCAACUCCGAGAUGCUUGCACCAGCCCAUAGAUGGAGCGCUGGAGCUUGCAUACUUUGUUAGCACCUUUAGGAUCGACAAAACCUUCUGGUUGCAUCAUAUACAACUCUUCAUUAAGAUUCCCGUUAAGGAACGCUGUUUUGACGUCCAUUUGCCAAAUUUCAUAAUCAUAAAAUGCGGCAAUUGCUAACAUGAUUCGGACUGAUUUCAGCUUCGCUACGGGAGAGAAAGUCUCUUCGUAGUCAACUCCUUGAAUUUGUCGAAAACCCUUUGCGACAAGUCAAGCUUUGUAAACGGUUACAUUACCGUUUGCAUCAGUCUUCUUCUUGAAGAUCCAUUUAUUUUCUAUGGCUUGCCGUUCAUCGGGCAAGUCCACCAAAGUCCAUACUUUGUUCUCAUACAUGGAUCCUAUCUCGGAUUUCAUGGCCUCAAGCCAUUUGUUGGAAUCCGGGCCCGCCAUCGCUUCUUCAUAGUUCGAAGGUUCACCGUUGUCUAACAACAUGAUUUCCAUCACAGGGUUGCCGUACCACUCUGGUGCGGAGCGUACCCUUGUGGACCUUCGUGGUUCAGUAGUAACUUGAUCCGAAGCUUCACGAUCAUCAUCAUUAACUUCCUCUUCAGUUGGUGUAGGCACCACAGGAACAACUUCUUGCGUUGCGCUACUUUCCUGUUCGAGAGGGGGUGUAAUUACCUCAUCAAGUUCUACCUUCCUCCCACUUACUUCUUUCGAGAGAAACUCUUUCUCUAGAAAGGAUCCGUUCUUGGCAACAAAGGUUUUACCUUCGGAUCUAAGAUAGAAGGUAUACCCAAUAGUUUCCUUAGGGUAUCCUAUGAAUACACAUUUCUCCGCUUUGGGUUCGAGCUUUUCUGGUUGAAGUUUCUUCACAUAAGCAUCGCAGCCCCAAACUUUAAGAAACGACAACUUAGGUUUCUUGCUAAACCAUAGUUCAUACGGUGUCGUCUCAACGGAUUUAGACGGUGCCCUAUUUAAAGUGAAUGCUGCAGUUUCUAAUGCGUAUCCCCAAAAUGAUAGCGGUAAGUCGGUGAGAGACAUCAUAGAUCGUACCAUAUCUAAUAAAGUGCGAUUACGACGUUCAGACACUCCGUUGCGCUGCGGUGUGCCAGGCGGUGUUAGUUGUGAAACGAUUCCAUACUUCCUUAGGUGUGUGCCAAACUCGUGACUCAAAUAUUCUCCUCCACGAUCAGAUCGUAGACAUUUAAUUUUCCUGUCACGUUGAUUCUCAACCUCACUCUGAAAUUCCUUGAACUUUUCAAACGUCUCAGAUUUGUGCUUCAUCAAGUAGAUAUACCCAUACCUACUCAAAUCGUCGGUGAGAGUGAGAACAUAACGAUAACCACCGCGAGCUUCAACGUUCAUUGGACCACACACAUCAGUAUGUAUUAUUUCCAGUAAGUCGGAGGCUCUCUCCAUUAUUCCUGAGAAUGGAGUCUUAGUCAUCUUGCCCAUGAGGCACGGUUCGCAUGUGUCAAAUGAUUCAAAGUCAAGAGACUCUAGCAAUCCAUCAGUAUGGAGCUUCUUCAUGCGCUUAACGCCGAUAUGACCAAGGCGGCAGUGCCACAAGUAUGUGGGACUAUCAUUAUCAACUUUGCAUCUUUUGGUACUCACACUAUGAAUAUGUGUAACAUCACGAUCGAGAUUCAUCAAGAAUAAACCAUUCACCAGCGGAGCAUGACCAUAAAACAUAUCACUCAUAUAAAUAGAACAACCAUUAUUCUCUGACUUAAAUGAGUAGCCGUCUCGCAUUAAGCAAGACCCUGAUACAAUGUUCAUGCUUAAAGCUGGUACUAAAUAACAAUUAUUAAGGUUUAAAACUAAUCCCGACAGUAGAUGUAAAGGUAGCAUGCCGACGGCGAUCACAUCGACCUUUGAACCAUUCCCGACGCGCAUCGUCACCUCGUCCUUGGCCAGUCUCCGCUUAUUCCGCAGUUCCUGCUUUGAGUUGCAAAUGUGAGCAACAGCACCGGUAUCAAAUACCCAGGAGCUACUAUGAGCGCUGGUAAGGUACACAUCAAUAACAUGUAUAUCAUAUAUACCUUUAACGUUGUCGUCCUUCUUGUCCGCUAAGUAUUUGGGGCAGUUCCGCUUCCAGUGACCUUUUCCCUUGCAGUAGAAGCACUCAGUCUCAGGCUUGGGUCCGUUCUUUUCUUCUUCCCGGCAUCUGGCUUACCGGGCGCGGCAACAGCUUUGCCGUCUUUCUUGAAGUUCUUUUUACCCCUGCCUUUCUUGAAACUAGUGGUCUUGUUGACCAUCAACACUUGAUGCUCCUUCUUGAUUUCUACUUCUGCAGACUUGAGCAUCGAGUACAACUCGGGAAUGGUUUUCUCCAUCCCUUGCAUGUUGUAGUUAAGCACAAAGCCUUUGUAGCUUGGUGGGAGAGACUGGAGGAUUCUGUCAAUGAUAGCAUCAUCCGGAAGUUCGACUCCAAGUGAAGUCAGACGACCGUGUAACCCAGACAUUUUGAGUAUGUUCUCACUGACAGAACUGUGCUCCUCCAUCUUACAGCUGAAGAACUUGUCGGAGACUUCAUAUCUCUCGACACGGGCAUGAGCUUGAAAAACUAGCUUCAGCUCUUGGAACAUCUCAUAUGCCCCGUGUUGCUCAAAACGUCUUUGGAGCCCCGUUUCUAAACUGUAUAACAUGCCACACCUGACCAGAGAGUAGUCAUCACUCCGUGCUUGCCAGACGUUUAGAACGUCCUGCGCUGCUGUGGGAGCGGGAGGGUCACCUAGCGGCGCAUUAAGGACAUAAGCCUUUUUACUUGCUUCAAGGAUGAGCUUCAGGUUGCGAACCCAGUCCGCAUAGUUGCUACCAUCAUCUUUCAGCUUGUUUUUCUCUAAGAAUGCGUUGAAGUUGAGGUUGACGUUGGACAUCUACAAUAUUUAUAAAGACAACUUUUAGACUAAGUUCACGACAAUUAAGUUCAUUUAAUCAAAUUAAGUAUGAACUCCCACUUAAAUCGACAUCCCUCUAGUCAUCUAAGUGUUACAUGAUCCACGUUGACUAACCCGUGUCCAAUCAUCACGUGAGACGGACUAGUCACCAUGGUGAGCAACUUCAUGCUGAUCGUAUUCAACCAUACGACUCAUGUUCGACAUUUUGGUCUCUUGUAUUCGAGGUCAUGUCUGUACAUGCUAAGCUCGUCGAGUCAACCUAAGUGUUUCGCGUGUGUAAAUCUGGCUUACACCCGUUGUAUGCGAACGUUAGAAUCUAUCACACCCGAUCAUCACGUGGUGCUUCGAGACAACGAACCUUCGCAACGGUGCACACUUAGGGGAAUAUGUUCUCGAAAUUUUAGGAGGGAUCAUCUUAUUAUGCUACCGUCGUUUUAAGCAACAAGAUGUAAAACAUGAUAAACAUCACAAUGCAAUCAUAUAGUGACAUGAUAUGGCCAUUAUCAUCUUUGCUCAUUCGAUCUCCAUCUUCAGGCAUCGCAUGAUCAUCAUCGUCACCGGCUUGACACCAUGAUCUCCGUCAUCAUGAUCUCCAUCAUCGUGUCUCCGUGAAGUCGUCACGCCAACUACUACUAUCACUACUACUAUGGCUAACCGUUAGCAAUGAAGUAAAAGUAGCAAGCACAUGGCGUUGCAUCUCAUACAAUAAAUUAAGACAACUCCUAUGGCUCCUGCCGGUUGUCAUACUCAUCGACAUGCAAGUCGUGAAACCUAUUACAAUAACAUGAUCAUCUCAUACAUCAUACAUGCAACAUCACAACUUUGGCCAUAUCACAUCACAUGUCAAACCCUGCAAAAACAAGUUAGACGUCCUCUAAUUGUUGUUGCAAGUUUUACGUGGCUGAUUUGGGUUUCUAGCAAGAACGCCUUCUUACCUACGUGACAGCCACAAUGAUGAUAUGCCAAAGCUAUUUACCCUUCAUAAGGACCCUUUUCGUCAAAUCCAAUCCGACUAGAGUAGGAGAGACAGACACCCGCUAGCCACCUUUAUGCACGAUGUGCAUGUCUGUCGGUGGAACCAGUCUCACGUAAGCGUACGUGUAAGGUCGGUCCGGGCCGCUUCAUCCCACAAUACCGCCAGAAAAGAAUAAGACUAGUAACGGCAAGCAAAUUGACAAACCAUCGCCCACAACUUUUGUGUUCUACUCGUGCAUAGAAUCUACGCAUAGAAAACCUGGCUCGGAUGCCACUGUUGGGGAACGUAGCAUAAAUUCAAAAUUUUCCUACGCUUAUUGAGAUCUUCCUAUGGAGAGANNNNNNNNNNNNNNNNNNNNNNNNNNNNNNNNNNNNNNNNNNNNNNNNNNNNNNNNNNNNNNNNNNNNNNNNNNNNNNNNNNNNNNNNNNNNNNNNNNNNNNNNNNNNNNNNNNNNNNNNNNNNNNNNNNNNNNNNNNNNNNNNNNNNNNNNNNNNNNNNNNNNNNNNNNNNNNNNNNNNNNNNNNNNNNNNNNNNNNNNNNNNNNNNNNNNNNNNNNNNNNNNNNNNNNNNNNNNNNNNNNNNNNNNNNNNNNNNNNNNNNNNNNNNNNNNNNNNNNNNNNNNNNNNNNNNNNNNNNNNNNNNNNNNNNNNNNNNNNNNNNNNNNNNNNNNNNNNNNNNNNNNNNNNNNNNNNNNNNNNNNNNNNNNNNNNNNNNNNNNNNNNNNNNNNNNNNNNNNNNNNNNNNNNNNNNNNNNNNNNNNNNNNNNNNNNNNNNNNNNNCUAUAUAUAGGGGGAGAGGCAGGGGGCGCAGCCCUUAGGGUUCCCACCCCUAAGGGGUGCGGCAGCCCUUAGAUGGGAGAGGGGUGGCGGCCAGGGCAAGGGGGAGGGGUGGCGCACCCCUCUGGUGGGCCUAAGGCCCACCUAAAUAGGGUUCCCCCUCUCCCCUUUUUCCNNNNNNNNNNNNNNNNNNNNNNNNNNNNNNNNNNNNNNNNNNNNNNNNNNNNNNNNNNNNNNNNNNNNNNNNNNNNNNNNNNNNNNNNNNNNNNNNNNNNAACGACCUAAGGUUGUAAUUUGAGCUUGAUUGAGUGAACUAGUGCACUCGGUUGCCAACACAUUAUUUGGAUUUAUCUCAUCACCAUUUUACCAAAUAUAAACCGUGUAAGACAUUACCGUAUAUAUAUAGCGUAAUGCGAAGUUACAAAUCCUCUAAUUUUAUUAUGUGAGGGCGAUGUUCUAGUGCCAUUCAAACAUGACAUUUGAGGCUUACGCAGAAAAGUAUUCCGAGUACCGUCCUUUUAUUUAUUGAUUUAGAAUAGCAAAAAAAAAGAUGAAUACAUGCGGAACAUGAAUAAAUUACCAUGAUAGAAUAGAAGCAUUUUGAAUUCGCCAAAAGAAGGAAUAAAUAGAUGCAUUUUCAAGCGGCUUUGGCCGGGGCGGGUGUAGGGGUAGAAGAAAUUAGCUUGCAUGUAUCGCGACACUUGUUAUCUGAGCUAUCCUUUUCCUUUGCGCAAUGCUUGAAGCAAUCGAUGUCUUGCUCUAUGGCUUUCUUAUUGGUGGGGGUGGCCAUGAUGUAGCCAAAUCUCGCAGCCAUGUAUGGGCAGUCGACGUAGCAGUGGUCGGUGCAAGUAGGAUCCAUGCAUGCCUUGUCGCAGUCGGCGCCACAUUGGGUAGAAUAGUCCUUGACAGUCUUGUCGCCUGGGCAGCCACCAUGCUUGUCGACGGAUUCUUUCAAGGCAUCCUGCCCUCCAGAAGUUUCUAGAUUAAAGACUUCUUCCUUCUUUUCCCCGACCUCGGCGAGCUCCGUGAACAAGCGCUCGAUGAAGGUGACGCUGCUUGCCUUAGUGCUGCAUGCCUUGUCGACCAUGGCGGUGCACGUGGCGUCCUUUUUUAUCCCUUGCCACAGAGCUUGGAGUACUCGAUGAGGCAGGUGGGAGUAGCCUUCUCAUGCCCCGAGUCCACCAACACAGGUGAUGUGGCCGCCGCCACCACAAGGGUGAUGACGAGCAGCGACUCGGCCUUGCGCUUGGCAUCCAUCUUGUUGUCGAUUUCUCUUUGAUAGUUGGACCACCAACACUAGUGUUGAUCGAGAUACUUGCAUUGCAUUACAUUUAUAUAGGCGAUGACCCAGGGUCGGGGCAAGUGGUAUGAUAGUGAGGCCAUCAGCCAUUGGAGCUCCAUAGACGCUAAAUUUGGCGAAUGCAUUUUUACAAAACCGGCCAAAACAUCCACCCGACCGAGGUCCAAUUUCUAUUUAGGGAGCAAGAUCUAAUUUUAGUACUAAAGGCAUUCAUAUAUGUGUGAGGUGUGUAUUUUCUACUUAUGUAUUUUAAGAAAAAUCCUCGAAUUUUCUAUAGACGGAAAUUAGGUGUGGUAUGCAUGUGUUGUUGCUAAAUUCAGCUUGCUAGUCCUCCUUUCCUGACUGAGACCGUCCCCUGGUCGUGAAGUGAUGUGACACUCCUCCUCUCUUGGAUGAUACCUCCUAUUUCGUGCCUAGGCACUCGCGAAUUAAAAAUUGAGCAACCGAAACUUCUAAUGGGAUAUCGUGCAUAUGAAAACUAUUUGUCACCUAUUUCAAAGAAAAAAUAUGUAUUCUAUAUUAAAGAACUGUGGUCGAAAUUUGAAAAGAAUCAUUGCAUAUUUGACAUUGUGUGAAUUUCCUAUUAGAGGUAUGGAAAUUUUGUAACAAAAUAUGGUCAUCACAUAUUUUAAUAUUCUCAUAGUUUAAUUAAAAUUGUUCAUUGGGUAAGAAAGUCAUCAAGUUAUUAAAACAUCGAAAAGGGAAAAAAUCUAAGAAAUGAAAAGCUGGAAAUGAAAACAUGGUCAUCUGGUACUAAAAGAUAAUAUGAUAAAAGACAACAUUGUCAAAAAUAAGGAAAAGAAAACUAAGGGUAAAACAAAAAUACAAGAAAUAAGUAGGAGGAUGAAGAUAGAAAAUAAAACAAAAACAUCACAAAUAGAGAAGCACAGAAAAUAAAGGGAGCAAAAAAGUACUAGAGCAGCAACUGCUAAGUGCGCAAAAUAACUAUUAUGUGCACUAUGAGCGGAAUAGAAUUCUUACAAUUGGAUGGCUUACUCGAUGGGAGACCCUAUACAGUGACCUACCUGCUAGAAACUCUAAAAUCACUUGUUAAGGGAUAUCCUUUGUAAAGGUCACCAUCAUCUUGUUAGGCUCUUACAUGUUGUGCAUUGCAUGUGCGCCACUUGUCGCACCGAGAUGUCCUUUUUUUUGUAGAUUUGUUUGUUUAAAAUGUUUAUCUCUUGAACCAUGCAUCUAAAGCCAUAGUUGGUUUCACUGUUGGAUUUGCCACGUCAAGAUUUUCAAAACUAGAUCACAUGUUAAUAGAUUUUGAAUAAAACCUCACAAAAACCUAAAAAACAGAAACCUAAAAACAAAAAAAUUGGGAAAAAAUAAUAACAAAAAAGUUUGAAAAAAACUGAACCCGAAAACAGGAUUGUGGUUUUCACUUUUUUUCUCUUUUCGAGGAUCACAUUUUUAUCCCGAGUUGUGAUUCUCGUGCAACCAAAUAUGUGCUUCCGCGAGAAAUAAAAUUGUGCUUUUCAUAGAGGCAAUUUUUUUCAUUUUUUCGAAGAAGCAAAAGAAGUAUGUUCUUCCACAAGAGGCGAAUAGUGUUUCUUGUGGACGUAGUUGUGUUUCUCUUAAAAAUAAAUCUUUGCUUCCCUUGGAAGCACUGUUUUUGUCCUUUUCCAAGAAGCACACAUGUUUCAGAAAAAUCAAAUAACAUUCACAAAUUACUAGAAAGUAAACAUUUAAUAAAUAUUGUUUGCAAUUUUCAAAAAAUAAUUAGAGUCCAAGAACAUUUUUUUAUUUGGGAAUAAAUUUUGAGUUAAUGUUCUUUUUCAAGCGUGCGAACAUUUUCAUGAAUUAAUGCACAUUUUUAUGAAUUCAUCAUAAUUUUUGAAUUCAUGUUUUUUUCUGAAUUCAUAACCAUUUAUUUGGAUUCAAGAAUGUUCAUUUGAAUUUAUCGACAUUGUUCUGACUUAAAAACCGACCUAGAUAAAAAAAGUAGGUAAAAAACUAAUCUAAGAAAAAGCAGGUGUGAAAAAAGAGUAUGUGUGUUGGGACCCUGAUCCUAAGUCAUACAAUUCCAGCUUGUAACACAUUAUAUCACUUUGUGGCCUCAUGCAUGAUACUCACCACGGCUGCCACCUUUCCUUGGCCGGGACCGUUUGCGUAUUUUGGCUCACGUAUAUGACUAUGUCGCCAACAUUCAUAUGUCAGAAAACCCGGAUAGACAUGGCUAGCUUUAAACCCAAGUGGCACAUCCGUACAGGAACAUGCAUACAUAACCCAACAAAGCAAGUGUCGGUCAACAACGUAGAGGCAAUAAUAAAAUGGUUAUUAUCAUAUUUCCUUGUUCAUGAUAAUUGUCUAUUGUUUAUAAUAUAAUUGUAUUGACAGGAAACAUUAAUACAUGUGUGAAUAAAUAGAUCACAAUGUGUCCCUAGCAAGCCUCUAGUUGGCUAGCUCGAUGAUCAAUAGAUGGUCGUGGUUUCCUGAUCAUGGACAUUGGAUGUCAUUGCUAACGGGAUCACAUCAUAGGAGAAUGUUGUGAUGGACAAGACCCAAUCCUAAGCAUAGCACUAGAUCGUUUUGUUCGUAUGCUAAAGCUUUUCUAAUGUCAAGUAUCUUUUCCUUCGACCGUGAGAUUCUGCAACUCACAGAUACCGUAAGAGUGCUUUGAGUGUAUCAAACGUCACAACGUAACUGGGUGACUAUAAAGGUGCACUACGGGUAUCUCCGAAAGUAUCUCUUGGGUUGGCACGAAUCGAGAUCGGGAUUUGUGACUCCGUGUGACGGAGAGGUUUCUCUGGGCCCACUCAGUAGAACAUCAUCAUAAUGAGCUCAGUGUGACUAAGUAGUUAUUCACGGGAUGAUGUGCUACAGAACGAGUAAAGAGACUUACCGGUAACGAGAUUGAACAAGGUAUAGGGAUACCGACGAUUGAAUCUCGGGCAAGUUCUAUACCGACAGACAAAGGGAAUUGUAUACGGGAUUGAUUGAAUCCUUGAGAUCGUGGUUCAUCCGAUGAGAUCAUCGUGGAACAUAUAGGAGCCACCAUGGGUAUCCAGAUCCCGCUAGUGUUUAUUGGCCGGGGAGGUGUCUCGGUCAUGUCUGCAUGCCUCCCGAACCCGUAGGGUCUACACACUUAAGGUUCGAUGAUGCUAGGGUAGUAGGGAAUUGUUAUACGAGGUUACCGAAGGUUGUUCAGAGUCCCGGUUGAGAUCCCGGACAUCACGAGGAGCUCCGGAAUGGUUCGGAGGUAAAGAUUGAUAUAUAGGAUGGAUGGGUUUGGAUGCCAGAAAUGUUUCGAGCACCACCGGCAACGUGUCGGGACCACCGGAAAGGUUCCAGAGGCCCACCGGGAGGGGCCACCAGCCCCGGGAGGCUACAUGGGCUAAGUGUGAGAGGGAACCAGCCCCUGGGUGGGCUCGUGCGCCGCCACACCCAGCCCAAGGCGCCAAGAGAGGGAAGGGGGAACCCUAAGUCAGGUGGGCCUUAGGCCCACCAGGGGGUGCGCCACCCCCUCCUCCCCUCCUGGCCACCACCUCCUGCCCCAUCUAGGGUUGCCGCACUCCUUAGGGGUGGGAACCCUAAGGGGGGCGCCACCCUGCCCUUCCCCCUAUAUAUAGUGGGGGUUUUGGCCAUUGGAGACAUGUAAAUUUCUCUCUCUCUCGGCGCAGCCCUCCUUCUCUUCUUCCUCGUGUCCCACGGUGCUUGGCGAAGCCCUGCGGGAGACCUUGUUGCUCCAUCGCCACCACGCCGUCGUGCUGCCGGAGCUGUUCCCCAACCUCUCCCUCCUCCAUGCCGGAUCAAGGUGCGGGAGACGUCACCGAGCUGCACGUGUGUUGAACGCGGGGGUGUUGUGGUUCGACACUAGAUCGGAAUCACACCAUGAUUUGAAUCGCAACGAGUACGACUCCAUCAACCGCGUUCUAGCAACGCUUCCGCUUAGCGAUCUUCAAAGGUAUGAAGAUGCUCUCACCCCUCUCUUGUUGCUGGUUUCUCCAUAGGAAGAUCUUUAUAUGGCGUAGGAAAAAUUUUGAAUUUUGCUACAUUACCCAACAAAUAGGCCGAGAGGGGUUGAGUUACCGGAACUCAAUGUGCGGUAGUAGCUAGUCUUGGCACACCAACACAAGAUCUCGGGUGGUGAGUGCGACGUAAGUGAGACAACCCACCAUGUACUCCUACAUGGCCUCUCAUCGCUGGCUUUACCGAAAGAGGUUCACAUACUUAACCCUCAUCAGUAGGACAUGAUCAUUCCAAUUCAUCACCCAGAUGAUCAAACCAGCUCAACUCUAAGCAUAGCAAGCAUAACAGGGUAAUGGCACAACAUGUCUCAUGCAUCUACUAGGUAUGCUAGGUUUCUUGGUUUAGCUCUUUACUGUAACAAUGACAUAUCAUGCAAAGGAAUGGGUUCAUCUACCGAAACACAAGUAGCAGUUGAAUUAUCUUGUCCUAAUGUAUUGAAACGAGAGCAAGAGCGAUAGAGUGCGAUUUCAUUGGUCAGAAGAACUCAACUAUUCUUUGAUGUCAGUGAUAAAUACAUCUCACAAGUCUAUCAACAAGAUCAAACAAGGAAGAAUUUAGGCACGGAAAAUGCUUCACAAUGAUGCAUGACUUUGGCAUGUUAACAUGAUUCUGUUUUUGUCUAAUGCAGGUGGUCAUAAGUUAAAUGGAAGUUAUUUGAUCAUUAUAGAUCAAUUUCAAACCCAUUUAUAAGCAUUCAUAUGUCUUUAUUGAAAUUUUCAUAUUCAACAAGUUUAAGUUGUUCAAACAGUCAUGAAAAUGGUACCAUCCUAUUCCUUGCAUUUUUCGAUAACUUUUCAUAAAUAAUUUACUUCAUUUGGAGCUAUGGUUGAAUUUCUAUGAACUUUUGAAGUUUUGAACAUUUUCUAGAAUUAAAUAAAUCCAGAAAUGGUUUACUGCGUCAGCAAGUCAACCGACCAAGUUCCAGGUCAAACCUGACCAGUAGGGGCCACUGGUCAGUGACCCAGGGCUAAUCCCCGCACUGACCCGCCCUAAUUGGGGGUUUGACCACCUGCGGGCCCGCUGGUUUGUGGCUGAUGGGGGCAAUUUGGACUAAUGGCCACGCCACGUGGGCGCCCAUCGGGGUUUGGCCGACGGCGACCGAAUACGUAGCGGGGGCUCACCGGAGUUGCCCUAAUAGGCGCUACAGAGCACGGAUCCAGGCGCUAAGAGCACUAGGAUGAAGCCCAGGCUUGACCUCACCCAGCAGGAUUUGGCGCCGACGAUAAGUUGGGCGGCCGGAUUUGGCGCCGACGAUAAGUUGGGCGGCGUCAGUGGCGCGGGCUCAGCGGAAGCUGCAGCUAGGGGCACGGGAGGACCACAGGGAUAGAGGAAUGGGCUGUGCGGCUCACCACGAUGAGGAUAGAGCCAACGACGACCUCAGGGAGGCCUUCUAGCUGGCGAAUCGGUGACGAGGUUGUCGGCGACUGGAGGUUGAAGACGACGUCGCUGGCGGCGAUGCAGGGGCGUCCGAGCUCAAUUAUUCCAGCGAGGAAGAGCAUUCGUGUUGGCGGAGGCGAUGAGCAGGUCAGGGGGGCGUAGAAGUGACGAUGGCCGUGGUGGUGCCCGAUGGUGACGGCAGCGCGCUCUGGUCCGAGGGAGAGGGAGCAGAGGGAUAGGAAGAAAGCGAGAGGGAGAGACCAGAGGGGAUAAGGGAGAGGGCAUCGGGGCCUCCGUGGCGUCGCUAGAAGGAGGACUGAGCCACGACGAAGCAGGAGGUGGCCGAGGCUCUCGGGUGCACGCCACGCCUCUCCUCUGCCUACUGGCUGGAGGUAGAAGACGGGGCUGCCCCUGGGGGCUGGGCUAGCCAGGUAAGUGGCGAGGUUUGUUCUUUCUCCUUUUUUCUAGUUCAUUUCUUUUCUACUUUCUGAUAUAUUUUUUUGGCUUUUUAUAUAAAUAUAAAACCAUUUGUAAAUUUAUCUUGAUAACAGUCAUGUGGGCUACAUCUGCAUGAUACGUCCAUUUUGCAUCAUGCUUUCAUGUUGAUAUUUAUCGCUUCUUGGCCUGUUAUUUCACUUCACGGUACAAUACUUAUGCCUUUUCUCUCUUAUUUUGCCAGGUUUACAUGAAGAGGAAGAAUGCUGGCAGCUGGAAUUCUGGCCUGAAAAUGGAGCAAGUUUGAGAUACCUAUUCUGCGCAACUCCAAACACCGUAAAAAUAAACGAGGAUUUUUUCGGGAUUUAUAAAAAAUACUAGGCCGAAGAAGUGUGAGAGGGGCGCUAGCAGGUGGCCACAGCCUGCUAGGUGCGGCCACCCCCCUGGCCGCGCCUAGGGGGCUUGUGGGCACCCAUCUGGCCCUCUGGCCCCCCUCUUCUGCUAUAUGAAGGGUUUCGUUCUAAAAAAAAUCAGGAGGAGGCUUUUUUGAGGAUUCGCUGCCGCCACGAGGCGGAACUUGAGCAGAACCAAACUAGAGCUCCACGAGGACGAUCCUGCCGGGGAAACUUCCCUCCCGGAGGGGGAAAUCGUCGCCAUCGUCAUCACCAACACUCCUCUCAUCGGAGGGGAAUCGUCACCAUCAACAUCUUCAUCAGCACCAUCUCAUCUCCAAACCCUAGUUCAUCUCUUGUAACCAAUCUCUGUCCCGCGACUCCGAUUGGUACUUGUAAGGUUGCUAGUAGUGUUAAGUACUGUUUGUAGUUGAUGCUAGUUGGAUUACUUGGUGGAAGAGUUUAUUUUCAGAUCCUUGAUGCUACUCAUUACCUCUCUGGUCAUGAAUAUGAUAAUUCUUUGUGAGUAGUUAUCUUUGUUCCAAAGGACAUGGGAUAAGUCAUGCUAAUAGUAGUCAUCUGAUUUGGUAUCCGUUCGAUAUUUUGAUGUGUUGUAUGUUGUUUUUCCUCUAGUGGUGUUAUGUGAACGUCGACUACAUAACAUUUCACCAUUAUUUGGGCCUAGAGGAAGUCAUUGGGAAGUAGUAAGUAGAUGAUGGGUUGCUAGAGUGACAUAAGCUUAAACCCUAGUUUAUGCGUUGCUUCGUAAGGGGAUGAUUUGGAUCCACUAGUUUAAUGCUAUGGUUAGAGUUUGUCUUAAUUCUUCUUUAGUAGUUGCGGAUGCUUGCGAGAGGGGUUAAUCAUAAGUGGGAUUCUUGUCCAACUAAGGGCAGUACCCAAGCGCCAGUCCACCCACAUAUCAAACUAUCAAAGUAACAAACGUGAAUCAUGUGAACAUGAUGAAAACUAGCAUGACAGAAAUUCCCGUGUGUCCACGGGAGAGUUUUUCCUCCUAUAAGACUUUGUCCAGGCUGGUUCGUUGCUACAAAAGGAUUGGGCCACUUUGCUGCACCGUUGCAACUUUUGUUACUUGUUGCUUUCUACGAAUCAUCUCACCACACAAUCACUUGUUACCGAUAAUUUCAGUGCUUGCAGAUAUUUCCUUGCUGAAAACCACUUGUCAGAUCCUUCUGCUCCUCGUUGGGUUCGACACUCUUACUUAUCAAAAGGACUAUGAUAGAUCCCCUAUACUUGUGGGUCAUCAAGACUCUUUUCUGACGCCGUUGCUGGGGAGUGAAGCGCCUUUGGUAAGUGGAACUUGGUAAGGAAGCAUUCAAAUAGUGUGCUGAAAUUUAUUGUCACUUGUCACUAUGGAAACUAAUCCUUUGAGGGGCUUGUUCGGGGUAUCUUCACCUCGAACAAAAUCACAAAGAGUUGCUUCUCAACCUGCUGCACCUACUGAAAAUAUUUGCUUUGAAUUUCCUUCGGGUAUGCUUGAGAAACUGCUGGCUAAUCCUUUUGCAGGAGAUGGAACAUCACAUCCAGACAUGCAUCUAAUCUAUGUAGAUGAAGUUUGUGGUUUAUUUAAGCUUGCAGGUUUGCCCGAGGAUGAGGUCAAGAAGAAGGUCUUUCGUUUAUCUUUGAAGGAUAAGGCGUUGACAUGGUAUAGGCUACGUGAUGAUACUCGAUCAUGGAACUACAAUCGGUUGAAAUUGGAAUUUCAUCAAAAGUUUUAUCCUAUGCAUUUAGUACAUCGUGAUCGGAAUUAUAUUUAUAAUUUUUGGCCUCGUGACAGAGAAAGCAUCUCUCAAGCUUGGGGGAGGCUUAAAUCAAUGUUAUAUUCAUGCCACAACCAUGAGCUCUCGAGAGAAAUUAUCAUUCAGAACUUCUAUGCUCGGCUUUCUCAUGAUGAUCGCACCAUGCUUGACACUUCUUGUACCAGUUCUUUUAUGAAGAGAUAUAUUGACUUCAGAUGGAAUUUAUUGGAGAUAAUUAACCGCAACUCUGAAGAUUGGGAGCUUGAAGAAGGUAAGGAGUCAUGUAUGAAUUUCCAGUUUGAUUGCGUUAAAUCCUUUGUUGAAACAAAUACUUUGUGUGACUUUAGCGCUAAGUAUGGACUUGACUGUGAGAUAGUAGCUUCAUUGUGUGAAUCAUUUGCUGCUCAUAUUGAUCUCCCCAAAGAUAAGUGGUUUGAAUAUCAUCCACCUUUAGAAGUCAAUGUAGUUAAACCCAAUCCAGUUGAAGGGAAAGUCAUUGCCUAUAGUGAUCCUAUUGUUCCCAGUGCUUACAUUGAGAAACCACCUUUCCCUGUUAGGAUAAAGAUUCAUUCUAAAGCUUCAACUCUGAUACAUAGAGGCUACUAGAACACCUACACCCCAGAGAAAAUUAGAGUUGAACCUAGCAUUGCUAUUAUCAAAGAUCUCCUGUCCGACGAUGUUGUGGGACAUAAUAUUCACUUCUGUGAAGAUGCUUCUAGAAUUGCUAAACCUCACGCUAGAGACAAACAUAGGCCUGUUGUUGGCACGCAUGUUGUUUUUGUUAAGAUAGGAGAUUAUUGUUAUCAUGGUUUAUGUGACGUGGGUGCCAGUGUUAGUGCAAUACCUCAAUCCUUAUACGAUGAAAUUAAAGACGAGAUUCCACCUGUUGAGAUAGAGCCUAUUGAUAUCACUAUUCAGCUAGCCAAUAGAGAUACUAUCUGCCCUGUGGGAAUUGUUAGGGAUGUCGAAGUCUUGUGUGGUAAAACGAAGUAUUCUGCUGAUUUCCUCGUUCUUGCUACCGCACAAGAUUGCUUUUGUCCCAUCAUAUUUGGCAGACCUUUUCUCAAUACUGUCAAUGCUCAUAUUGAUUGUGAGAAGCAAACUGUUACUGUUGGCUUUGAAAGUGUGGCACAUGAUUUCAAUUUCUCCAAGUUUGGUAGACAACCUCAUGAAAAGGAGUUACCUAGUAAGGAUGAAACUAUUGCCUUCACUUCUAUUGUCGUGCCUCCUACUGAUCCAUUGGAGCAAUACUUGCUUGAACAUGAAAAUGAUAUGCAUAUGGAUGAAAGGGAUGAGAUAGAUAGAGUUGUCUUAGAACAAUAUCCUAUCAUUAAGAAUAAGUUGCAUGUUGAACUGCUUGGGGAUCCGCCCCCGCUAAAGGGUGAUCCUGUGUUCGAGCUUAAACAGUUGCCUGAUACUAUUAAGUAUGCUUAUCUUGAUGAAAAAGAGAUAUAUCAUGUUAUAAUCAGAGCAUGAAGAAAAGAAGUUACGAAAUCUGUGAGAAAGCACCGUGCUGCAAUUGGAUAUACUCUUGAUGAUCUUAAUGGCAUUAGUCCCACUUUAUGCAAGCACAAGAUUAAAACUAAUCCUGAUUCCAAACCAGUUGCUGAUCAUCAACGGAGACUAAAUCCUAAGAUAAAAUAGGUAGUAAGAAAAGAAAUACUAAAGCUCCUGGAAGCAGGUAUUAUCUAUCCUGUUGCUCAUAGCGAUUGGGUGAGUCCGGUGCAUUGCGUCCCGAAGAAGGGAGGCAUUACCGUUGUCCCUAAUGAUACGGAUGAAUUGAUCCCAUAGAGGAUUAUUACUGGCUAUAGGAUGGUGAUCAAUUUUAGGAAAUUGAAUAAAGCCACUAGGAAAGAUCAUUAUCCUUUGCCUUUUAUCGACGAAAUGCUAGAAAGACUGUCUAAACACACAUACUUCUGCUUUCUAGACGGUUAUUCUGGUUUCUCCCAAAUACCAGUUGCACAGUCUGAUCAGGACAAAACCACUUUCACCUGCCCUUUCGGUACCUUUGCUUAUAGACGUAUGCCUUUUGGCUUAUGUAAUGCACCUGCCACCUUUCAAAGAUGUAUGAUGGCUAUAUUCUCUGACUUCUGUAAAAAUAUUGUUAAGGUUUUCAUGGAUGACUUCUCCAUUUACGGGUCUUCUUUUGAUGAUUGCUUCAGCAACCUUGAUCGAGUCUUGCAGAGAUGUAAAGACACCAAUAUUGUCUUGAACUGGGAGAAGUGCCAGUUUAUGGUCAAUGAAGGCAUCGUCUUAGGACAUAAGAUUUCUGAAAGAGUUAUUGAAGUCGAUAAUGCUGAAGUUGAUGCAAUCGAGAAAAUGCCAUACCCCACAGAUAUCAAAGGUAUAAGAAGUUUCCUUGGUCAUGUUGGUUUCUAUAGAAGGUUCAUUAAAGACUUCUCUAAGAUUUCUAGGCCUCUUACCAAUCUCUUGAAAAAGGAUAUUCCUUUUGUUUUUGACGAUGAUUGUGAGGAAGCCUUCGAAAUACUUAAGAAGGCUUUGAUAAGUGCACCUAUUGUUCAACCACCUGAUUGGAACCUACCUUUUGAGAUCAUGUGUGAUGCUAGCGAUUAUGCUGUUGGUGUUGUCCUAGGGCAAAGAGUUGACAAGAAGUUGAAUGUUAUUCACUAUGCUAGUAAAACUCUAGACAGUGCCCAGAGAAACUAUGCCACUACGGAAAAGGAGUUCUUAGCAGUUGUGUUUGCAUGGGAAAAGUUCAGGUUUUACAUAGUUGAUUCCAAAGUCACUAUUCACACUAAUCACGUUGCUAUUAAGUACCUCAUGGAGAAGAAGGACGCUAAACCUAGACUUAUCAGAUGGGUUCUCUUGCUACAAGAAUUUCAUUUGCACGUUGUCGACAGGAAGGGUGCUGAUAACCCCGUAGCAGAUAACUUGUCUAGGUUAGAGAACGUUCUUGAUGACCCACAACCUGAUGUUAGCUUUCCUGAUGAGCAACUGAAUGUCAUCAAUACUUCACGUAGUGCAUCGUGCUAUGCUGAUUAUGCAAACUAUAUUGUCGUGGGUAUAAGCGUGACAAUGGAUGUGUAGGGUACGAAUGAGAUGGGCAGAGUCCUAGCUACGACGAGGUUGUAUGAGUUCAGGCCCCUCUGCGGUGGAGGUAACAGCCCUACGUCUUAGUGCUCUCGGAGCUUGUUACCGAGUGUAAUAUGGAAUACAGUGAUUUGCUAACCCCUUGACCAGUGGGGGAGGGCGGCUUAUAUAGAGUGCGCUCCCCUCCACAACGGUUCUGACUCAGGGGUGGAGUAGUGGCGAUUGAAUGCAUACGUUACAGGUAACGUAUGCUCUAAAUGCUAAUAAACGCACCCGGAAACGUACGGCAGUUUACCUCCAGAGAGAUACGAUGUACCGAGUGUAUCCAGUCGGUUGGCCUGGUGCCCUCUGAAUGCUAGUCUCCGACUAGAUAAUUCUGGGCCUAUUACCGACUGGAUGAUGGGGACUCCUUAAUUCAGUCGGGGCAGACUUAAGGUCCUCUCCUUUGUGUGGGGUAGUCCUCGGGUAGGACAUGUAGGGCAGGCCUAUGACCCUACCCUAGGACUAUGACCCCAUCAUUAGUCCCCGAAUGGAUUGGGGUUGAAACGCCGAAGCAGUGCUUGAGGUUCAGAUCCGACUGUACUAGGUUCGCCUUGGGCGUUGCUUGCCUCUAUCCACUUUAUCUCUCCUGACCAGCGCUCCGAGUGGAGGUGCUUGCAAAACAGACUGUCGAGAACCGAGUGCUUCCGUGGCAUCUUUUGACGCGACCGGUCAACUGAUAGCGGCGGAUUUUCCGGGAUCUCAAAUUUCGGGCUCCGCGCGCUCAGCGGGGACGACGUCAGCGCGCUCGAGUAGCGCCUGACUCCUCGAUCCUCGCGCAUUCUACUCCUCCACUGAUAUCGCCGCGGCCGGUCGGGCGGAGAAGAUUUCGGGCCCGCUAGCGACCCAGUCGACGCUCUAUUUAACUCUGGGCGGCGAGACUCCUCGGUUACGCUCGCCGAAUCUUUCGCUCUUGCCUGCUCCGUCUUCCUCGCCACCCCCUGUGCUCAUACACUCCUUCCUUCUCCUCCUUCUCGAGGGCUCGCCGUCGCCUCCAUGACCAAAGGUCUGACCAGCAAGAUGGAGGCGAGGAAGAAGAAGAACAAGGCGGCGGCUGCUCAACGGCGGCAGCGGCCGUUGCCGGCGGGGUGGUUCCAAGGAGACUUCCUCCCCUCCACGGUGACGGUGGGAUAUCUACUGGAGCUGGUGGAGCACGGAAUGCUCGUGCAUAAGUCCUGGAGGCUGCCGGCGGACGACGAGGUCGAGCCAGCGCCACGGGAGGGGGAGGGCCUCUUGCUCCUCAGCCAUGUUCACAGAGGUUUUUCUUUGCCCCCACAUCCCUUCUUCAAAGGCAUCAUGAAUCACUUUGGUGCUCAACUCCAUCACUUUCCUCCGAAUGCCAUCGCCCAUCUUUCUGCCUUUAUCGUUUCGUGCGAGUGCUUUAUCGGUUGCCCCCCCCAUUGGGGUUUGUUCAAACACAUCUUCUCCGCCCGCUCUCAAACCAUCAAACAUCUUAGUCAGUCGGACGAUAAGAUGCACCUCCUCCAGCUCUGCGGCGGUUUAGGGUUCCAGAAGAAGAGUCGGAGUAGCUAUCCUGCUCUCCAGUUGAGCGAGUCGGUUAGGAACUAGCAGUCGACGUGGUUCUACUGCCAAGACAUCGCCUGCCCGAAUGCAUCGACUGGGCUGCCUCCAUUUAGUCUAGACCGGCCCGCUCCGCCCAAGCAACUCGCGCUCUCGAAGGCCGAGAAGAACGACAUCCAGCCUUUGGUCGAGGCACUCGUGGAUGUCGUCAGGAGGGGGGUCGCCGGCAUAGACCUGCUGGAAAUCUUCCUUGGUCGGCGGAUUCAGCCGCUGCAGGCUCGCGACCACGCUAUGUGGCACUACACAGGGCCCGAGGAUUCCACUCGGACCAACGUAGUGGGCGUACCCGAGGAGAGAGUGACCUCGUGGGUGCUCCAUAUCACGGGCCCUUGUGAGAACCCCAAAGGAGCUCGCCGAGUGAAGCCUUACAGCGUGGACCACCCUCCACCGAAUCAGGUGAGUGACAUGAGCCGAGUGCAUUGAACUGUCUUAAUUCCAGUCACUUGAUUAUAUCUCCGUGUGAUGUCUAAUGUUUCCGACUGAACUUCAUGCAGGCGUGGACGAACUGGUUCUCCCCCAUCUCGAAUGGGAAUCCGGAGGAGGAAGAGGAGGAAGGCAGCCAGGAGGGGAGCGUGGAGAGCGCCGAAUACGUCUCCGACAGCGGGGAGUCGGAGGAGGAGGACAGCGAGGAAGAGGAAGAAGAUGAAUAGCAAGACUCGCCACCUCUGCGGCCAGAGCAUCGGAGCAAGCGCCGGCACGAGCCCGCCGUCCCUUCAGCUCCUCCUGCGUCGUCGAGUGCUCCGCCUGCUGCCCCGGUGGUCCCGAGCGUUCGAGGUACCAAGAGGGCCAGGGACGCAGCCGCUGAGCCCGCAGGCCAGUCUUCCAGGGCGCCCAAGCCGAGUGGGCCCAAACCUCGGAAGGCUCUGCCGCGAAUGAGGGUUGCCAUCCCCGUCACCUCCACGUAAGUGAGUCUAACUUUCGGCUCUUUCUGUUGUCUGAGUGAACUCCUGCUUUAUAAGUCGAAUGGACUUGACUUUCGGCCACUUUUGCAACCUCUCCGGCCGCCAAGGGGACGACCCCAUGGACACGGACAACGUCGUUUCGUCCCAGCCAGGUGUGUUGUAGGAGAGUCGGGUGUUUUAUUCCUGCAGACUGUGCCAUUCUUUCUUUUUCUGAGACGUCGUGUCAUUCGACUUAUCAGGGGCGAUUUGCCUGGACGAGGACGACCAGGGGAGAGCCGACCCCACCGUGGAGCCUCUCCUGGAGCCUGUCCCUGAGGCUGAUCCUCCUGCUGCCACCCUUGUCACCGACGCUCCACCGACCGAAGCGCCUCCACCGACUGAACCGGUGCCGGUGGGGGAGGAACCGACUGGGGCGGACCUUGGGAUGCCCUAGGAACCUCCCACGAUUGCCGGUUCGUCGAAUGUUGAAUUCAGCAUCCGGUGUGUCCCAGAGGAGCAGGUGGGAGCGGCCAAGGGGGCCAUGGUGCAGGCGGAGUUGAUGGCUGGAGAAGCCAAGAGGGCUGACGACUCCGUUGCGGCCUUGUACCAGCGGAGCUUGGAGCUGCGCGAUGAUAUCCGAGUAAGUAGUCUAGUAAGUAUUUACUUUUCUCCUGUAACCCAGUGGGUGUAGUCCCCGAGACUUCUGUCGAGUGCUUGCACCGGCAGUUGUCUUUAUACAUUUUGCCUUUAGUUUGGUUGUGUCCAUAGCCAGUAUUUCCGAGUGCGAGUACUUAUUGCAGUCGGAGCGCUCUUGCGGUAAGAGUCUCCGAGAGUAAGUUGCACGCAGGUCGAGUAGUAUUGGCCUCGGAGGCGUAGGUGAAAACGUGCACCUCAAUAGGGCGGGCCUGCUUUAGGUGCAUGCCAGUGGGGUCACUCUUAGUGAACCCACUGGGUGUAGUCCCCGAGACCGCUGUCAACUGCUUGCGUGGGCAGGGGUCUGAAGAACUUAGCCUGUGAACUAACAAACUUGCUGAUAACCCUGUGUUUCUUGGUGCAGAAAAGUUGUGAAAUGGGAACGACUUAUGAAGCCGUGAGAGCGGAGAGGAACCAGUACGCUGGUGAACUUGAAGCUGCGAUGCUUGCCAUGGCCGGCAUGAAGGAUGCUCUGGAGGGAUGAGAGGAGUCCCUAGAGGAGGCUCGGGAAGCAAACAAAGUGUUGAUAGAGGAAGUGGAGAGACUGAAGAAACAGAGGACUCAGCUGCACAAUCAAAUGGCCAUUCGGAACAGACGAUACAUAGCUCAGGAGAAGUAUGUCAACGACUGGGCUGUGCAGAUGAUGACUCGUCUGGCUGGUAAGUCGUAUGUUCUGCCGAGUGCUUGUACCGUGUGCCGUACACUCGGUUUUUAUUGUCUGCUUGUCCGUUUGUUGCAGAUUUUUGCGGCGACGCUGAAGCUGAAGCGGCGGCUGUGGAGCGGUCCAUUAAGGAGAAUGUGCCACUCAACGAGGACGCCAACCGGGAUCUGCUCCGGGCGCAUAUCCACGUAGGUAAAGUAGGUCCUUUCAUCGGCCGACUGAGAGAAGUCGUCGGCAGAAUUGACAAGGAACUUUGGCCAGAAGACGAGUCGCGGCAGGAGAUGGAGACCCUGAUGGCGCGACUGGAGGAGAUUCCGAGCCGAGUGCAAUCGUGGAAGAAAUCGGCAGCGUGUUGCAGUGCUGAUGUUGCGCUGUCCUUGGUCCGAGUCCAUUGCAAGGAGGUGCGGGAAGAUAAGCUGAAAGCAUUGAAGGUCGCCAACACGAAGAAGCUUCGAUUCGAAGACUUCAUGGAGACGUUCCUUGAGACUCCUACCCGCAUCGCUGAUGGAAUCGACUUGGACACUUUUGUGGAGCCCUCCAGUCCUGGCGCCGGCCCAGCUGACGCGUAAUCAAACUUUAUCCUCAGUAUGCCGAGUGUUUACCUGUAAGAUACUCUCGCCACUUCUGUUGGUUGUCAUACUUUUAAAUCGGUGCGGGUAAGCUUGAUCCACACCGAAUCAGCUAUCGUUUUUGGACUUUUGGAGUCGGAAUGAAAACAUUUAGUAUUUUGUUUGAAUGUUGUUUCGAGUGCAACACUUAGUGCGUACUCGGAGAAGAUUAAUACUUAGGUGAUUCUUGAUCACGUCUAAGUCCCCGAGUGCGACGUGUAGUGCACACUCGGAGGAAGUUAUUACUUAGGUGAUUCUUGAUCACGUCUAAGUCCCCGAGUGCGACGUGUAGUGCACACUGGGAGGAAGUUGGUACUUAGGUGAUUCUUGAUCACGUCUAAGUCUCCGAGUGCGACGUGUAGUGCACACUCGGAGGAGGUGAUUACUUAGGUGAUUCUUGAUCACAGCUAAGUCUCCGAGUGCGACGUGUAGUGCACACUCGGAGGAAGUUAUUACUUAGGCGAUUCAGGAUCGCAGCUAAGUCCCCGAGUGCGACAUAUAGUGCACACUCGGAGGGGGUUAGUACUUAGGUGAUUCUUGAUCACAGCUAAGUCCGCAAGUGCGACGUAUAGUGCACGCUCGGAGAGGGUUAGUACGAAGGCGAUUCAGGAUCACAGCUAAGUCCCUGAGUGUGAUGUAUAGUGCACACUCGGAGGAGGUUAGUACUUAGGUGAUUCUUGAUCACAGCUAAGUCCCCGAGUGUGACGUAUAGUGCACGCUCGGAGGAGGUUAGUACUUAGGCGAUUCAGGAUCGCAGCUAAGUCUCCGAGUGCAACGUAUAGUGCACGCUCGGAGGGAGUUAGUACUUAGGCGAUUCAGGAUCGCAGCUAAGUCCCCAAGUGUGACGUAUAGUGCACACUCGGAGGAGGUUAGUACUUAGGUGAUUCUUGAUCAUAGCUAAGUCCCCGAGUGCGACGUAUAGUGCACGCUCGGAGGAGGUUAGUACUUAGGUGAUUCAGGAUCGCAGCUAAGUCCCCGAGUGUGACGUAUAGUGCACACUCGGAGGAGGUUAGUACUUAGGUGAUUCUUGAUCACAGCUAUGUCCCCGAGUGCGACGGAUAGUGCACACUCGGAGGAAGUGAGUACUUAGGCGAUUCAGGACCGCAGCUAAGUUUUUUUUUUUAUGACCGGAGUCUGCGACCGUGGGAGAACUCUGAGUCUGCACAAAACUGAAUCUGCUGUAUAUAUUAUUUCUUCAAAACUUGUUUGUUACACUGCUUCAGUCGACGAUCACGUAUAAAAACGCUUGAGGAGAUCCCCGUUACAUGCGCGCGGCUCGUCUGUCUCCCUCUGAAUGUUGUAGAGUCGGUAUGCUCCAUUGUUCAACACCUUGGAAAUGAUGAAAGGCCCUUCCCAGGCCGGAGCCAACUUGUGUGGUCUUUGCUGAUCCACUCGGAGCACCAAAUCACCAGCUUGGAAUGUGAGACUCCUGACGUGACGUGCGUGAAAGCGUCGCAGAUCUUGCUGGUAAAUUGUUGAGCGAGUAAGUGCCAUCUCGCGCUCCUCCUCUAGAAGAUCGACUCCAUCUUGCCUUGCUUGUUCUGCUUCGGCUUCGGAGAAGAGUUCGACUCGCGGGGCAUUGUGAAGCAGGUCACUCGGAAGGACCGCUUCUGCUCCAUAAACGAGGAAGAACGGUGAUCGCCCCGUUGAUCUGUUCGGAGUGGUGCGGAGGCCCCAAAGCACUGAAGGUAACUCGGUGACCCAUGCACCAGCAGCAUGUCCUACCUCUCGCAAGAGUCGGGGCUUCAAACCUUGAAGGAUAAGUCCGUUCGCACACUCAGCUUGUCCGUUGGAUUGCGGAUGUGCUACGGAAGCAAAAUCCACUCGGAUACCAUGACUCGCACAGAAGCCUUUGAAUCUGUCCGAGUCGAAGUUUGUCCCAUUGUCUGUGAUUAUGCUGUGAGGUACCCCGAAUCUGGAAAUGAUGUCCUUGGCAAACUUGACAGCUGUUGAGGCAUCGAGUUUCUUGAUGGGCUUGGCUUCUAUCCAUUUUGUAAACUUGUCGACUGCCACCAACAGAUGUGUGUAGCCUCCUUGGCCUGUCUUGAAUGGUCCGACUGUGUCUAGACCCCAAACUGCAAAUGGCCACACAAGUGGGAUUGUCUUUAACGCAGAUGUUGGCUUGUGGGACUUGUUGGAGUAGAACUGACAGCCUUCACAUCGGUCGACCAUAUCUUUAGCCAUCUCGUUGGCCUGCAGCCAAAAGAAACCGGCUCUGAAUGCCUUGGCGACAAUCGCUCUUGAAGAAGCGUGAUGACCGCAGGUUCCCGAGUGAAUAUCUUCUAAGAUCAACUGCCCUUCCUCAGGGGAAAUGCAGCGUUGAAGAACGCCCGAAACACUCUCCUUGUACAAUUGACCGUCAAUGACAGUGAAUGCCUUCGAACUAUUUGCCUGGCUUGGACUUCAUCUUCUGGAAGUUCUUGCCUUAGGAUAUAUGCGAUGAUCGGCACAGUCCAAUCGGGAGUGACAACCAGAAUCUCCGUGACUAAAUCAACCACAGCAGGUACAUCGACUUCAGUCGGAUCUGUUGCGCUCUUGGGUUGUAUCGGUUCUUCUGUGAAGGGAUCUUCUUUGACUGAGGGAAGAUGGAGGUGCUCGAGGCAGACAUUACUCGGGACUGGUCUCCGAGUGGAUCCGAGUUUCGCCAACUCAUCCGCCGCUUGGUUCUUCAGUCCCGGAACAUGAUGGAGCUCUAGACCUUCAAACUUCUUCUCUAGCUUCCUCACUGCAUUGCAGUACACUAUCAUGGUGGGGUUCCUUACGUCCCACUCUUUCAUCACUUGGUUGACCACCAAAUCCGAAUCGCCGUAGACCAUCAGGCGACGGAUGCCGAGUGAGAUGGACAUGCGCAAUCCGUAGAGGAGAGCUUCAUACUCCGCCUUGUUGUUGGAGGAAUCAAAGUGUAUCUGAAGCACGUACUUGAGCUUGUCGCCAUUGGGUGAUAUGAUCACAACGCUAGCGCCGGAGCCGUUCAACAUCUUAGACCCAUCGAAGAACAUUGUCCAAUGAGCCGAGUAGAUGUGGGUCGGUUGUUGUUGUUCUACCCAUUCUGCUAUAAAGUCAGCCAGGGCUUGAGACUUAAUAGCUUUCUUGGCCUCAAACUUGAUGUCACAAUACAACAUCUCCAUUGCCCACUUCGCCACUCGGCCUGAUGCGUCACGAUUGUGGAGAAUUUCUGACAACGGAGCAUCAGAAACGACAGAUACCGAGUGGUCUUGGAAAUAAUGGGCCACCUUCUUCGCAGUCAUAUAAAUCCCAUAGAUAAGCUUCUGAUAAUGGGGAUACCUCUGCUUGGAAGGGGUCAGGACUUCGGAGACGUAAUACACUGGCCGCUGAACCUUGUAUGCUUUGCCUUCUUCUUCUCGCUCGACUGUAAGAACAGUACUGACGACUUGAUUUGUAGCCGCGAUAUAUAGAAGAAGGGGCUCUUUACUGAGCGGAGCAGUAAGAACCGGCUGGGUGGAAAGUAGGACUUUGAGAUCGUCAAAUGCGACUUCUGCUUCGUCUGUCCACUCGAAGGUAUCUGACUUCUUCAUGAGUCGGUACAGAGGAAGUGCUUUUUCGCCGAGUCGGCUGAUGAACGUGCUCAAAGCCGCUAGGCAACCUGUGAGCCGUUGAACAUCGUGUAUUCUGAUCGGCCUCUCCAUUCGGACGAUGGUCCCGAUCUUUUCGGGGUUAACGUCGAUCCCUCGUUCGGAAACGAAGAAACCGAGUAACUUUCCGCUGGGAACACUGAAUGAACAUUUGGCUGGGUUGAGCUUGAUAUCGUACCUACGAAGGUUGGCGAAUGUUUCUGCCAAGUCAGUCAGCAGGUCGGAACCUUUGCGUGACUUGACUAUGAUAUCAUCCAUGUAUGCCUCCACAUUGCGACCGAUCUGGUCGAGGAGACAUUUUUGGAUCAUGCGCAUAAAGGUAGCUCCUGCAUUCUUCAGACCGAAAGGCAUAGUGAUGUAGGAGAAGCACCCAAACGGGGUGAUGAAGGCUGUUUUCAACUCAUCAGGACCAUACAGACGGAUCUGAUGAUAGCCCGAAUAGGCAUCAAGAAAUGACAAACGCUCGCAUCCCGCAGUCGAAUCGACAAUUUGAUCUAUGCGGGGGAGCGGAAAAUGGUCUUUCGGGCAGACCUUAUUGAGGUGCUUGAAGUCAAUGCACAUUCGGAGUGACUUGUCCUUCUUGGGCACCAUGACGACAUUUGCGAGCCACUCGGAGUGGUGAACCUCGCGAAUGAAGUUGGCAGCUAGUAGCUUGGACACCUCUUCUCCGAUUGCCUUCCUCUUGUGCACGGCGGAUCGGCGCAGGCGCUCUCGGACAGGCCGAGCGGCGGGAUCCACAUGCAGUCGGUGCUCAGCCAACUCCCUGGGUACACCCAGCAUGUCAGAUGGUUUCCAUGCGAAGAUGUCCCAGUUCUCACGGAGGAAUUGGGUGAGCUCAGCUUCGUAUUUAGGAUCGAGGGUGGUGGAGAUGUUUGUCGGGGUGGCUGAGUCGUCCGUCGGGUGGAUGCUGACCUUCUUCGUCUCUCCCGCCGACUGGAACGCGGACUCAGAAGCUGGUUUCUUUGAGCGCAUUAGGUCGGCAGGGUCGACUGUCUUCUUGUACUCGUCGAGCUCGAGUACCGCCAUCUGCUGGUCAGCGAUUCUUGAUCCCUCCUGCAGACACUCCUCGGCACGCUGGCGGUUGCCUGUGAUGGUGAUAACGCCUUUUGGACCGGGCAUCUUCAGCUUCAAGUACACAUAGCAUGGACGUGCCAUGAAACUCAUGUACGCCGGGCGGCCCAAAAUUGCAUGGUAAGCACUCUGGAAAUCUACCACCUCAAAUGUGAGCUUCUCCUUGCGAAAGUUCUUGUCAGAGCCGAAGAUGACUUCCAACGCCAUCUGGCCGAGUGACUUGGCCUUCCGUCCAGGGACGACUCCGUGGAACUGCAUAUUGCUCUUGCUGAGUCAGGGCAUCGGAAUGCCCAUUCCCUUGAGAGUGUCUGCGUACCUGAUGUUCAGUCCGCUACCGCCGUCCAUGAGGACUUUGCGCAGUCGGACUCCUUCCACCACCGGGUCGACGACCAGAGCCUGUCUUCCUGGGGUGGGGACAUGCGUUGGAUGAUCCGACUGAUCAAAGGUGAUCGCAGUCUGAGACCAUUUAAGGAACUUGGGAGCAGUCGGAACGGCCAUGUUGACCUCUCUGUUCACCAACUUCAGUCGACUCUUGCUUUCGACGUCAGCAAAAAUCAUGAGGGUUGCAUGGACUUGGGGGAACGGAUCCUCCUUGUCCUCCUCAUCCUGUUCGGGAUUCUUCUCACUCGGUUGCCCUUCGCUGAAUCCCUGGAUCAGGAGACGACACUGCCGAGUGGUGUGCUUCGCGUAUAUGGGGUUGCCUUCUUCGUCCAUCUUCGUGUGAACCGGGCAAUGCUGGUCCAGGAUGGGAUUGUUGAACGACUUCUUCUUGGGGGUAAACUGCGCUUUCCCUUUGCCCUUGAACUUGGCGCUGGUCACAGCUGCAGCUUCUGCUUGCGGCCUGGGCAGAACUUUUUGUUUCUGCUUCCGAGUGUUACCUCCGUCGACAUCACCGACUGUCUUGUGUUUGCCGCUCCGGAUGCGGUCCCCUUCUUCGCCAUUUGCAUAGCGAACCGCUAUCUCCAUCAUCUUGCUCAUGGAGAUGUCGCCCGUUCGACCGAACUUCAAGUACAGCUCUCUGUACCGUACGCCUGCCUUGAAUGCACAGACCGCUUGAUGCUCGGUGACGUUCUCCACCGUGUGGUAGAGAGUUGUCCAUCGCUGGAUGAAGUCGCGCAAGGGCUCAUUCGGCUUCUGGACACAGUGCUGAAGCUCCACGAGGCCUGCAGGGCGUUUGCACGUCCCUUUGAAGGUUCUGAUGAACACUCGGGCCAGAUCUGCCCAACUGUAAAUGCUUGAGGGGGCCAACUGGUUCAGCCAAGCUCGAGCCGAGCCGUCGAGUAUCAGAGGGAGGUGCUUCAUAGCGACAUGGUCGUCCCCUCCUCCGAUCUAGACUGCCACUCGAUAGUCGUCUAGCCAUGUUUCAGGCUUGGACUCGGGAUGUCAGCCGAGCGGAUGGCUCGACUAAAACAAUCGGGGCCGGACACGAUGGUCCUGCUUCCACUCGGACGGUCCAUAUCGGGACCAUCGCGGUGGGCUCGACCCCGGUCGACUCUUCGCUGGGCGAUUCGCCCUCUCGCGUCGGGUCUUGGGUCGUAAGUGUCAUCGACCGAACGCCGAUCAUCAUGAUGUCGGGACCCAUAGGGCCCACCCCGCGGAGGGGUGCGUGAGCGGCUACGAUAUUCACGGAUCAUGGAACGGCUGCCCCCCCUGUGAUGCUGAUGGGAACCAGGGCUGUGAACCGAUCGGUGCGUGUUUGCAUGGACGGAACUAUUGUAGAUCCGAUUGUGUGUCUGGGAGACUGCCGAAUUCUGCUGGUGCGCCGUGCGCAACAGAGCUCGGAUCUGCUCGAUUCCCCUUCCUGCCUAUGAAUCAGUCGGUUAGAAGGAAUCGGCAAUCUGGGCAGCCACAGCCAAGUUGAGGAGAGGUGUGCGGAACAACUCCACGUUGCUCCGCCGAGUGUGCCGACUGGCAGAACGACGAGGUGGACGACGUGCACCGGAUGCUUCGCCGAUAUCGUGCUCGCCCCGGCCGGCUUGACGGGGAUCUUCAUGGGAGUUGGCCAUGUGUACUUCUGCUGCAAGCCCACGACCCGCGUACUCGGAAGGGAGCUCAGUCGGAACCGAGCCCGAGCACAGGGAACGCGGGGCAACCACAACAGACUCCAGAACUGCCACCUGAGAGGACGCGAUCUGGCGUGCUCGGGGAUGCUGCACCCAACGUUGGAGACGCGGACUGCGAGACCGCUUGUUGCGGCGCAUGACGGCGGUGCAAGCCGAUAAUGGGGUCGAUUGUUGGAGAAGAAGAACGCCGCGAACGUCAGCACGAAAGUGUGUGGCCCCGCGAUAGGGAAGCGCCUCGACGUCGAGAGGCGCCUCCCGAAGCCACGCCGAGUCGUCGAUGGUGAAGGAGAGAGCGCCGAAGAGGAUCUGGUGAUCCAUGCUCGAACCUCCACCAGACGACAUGACGAAAGGAAGUAGUCGCAAACUCGCCGGAAGUAGUCGCAAACGCUUAUAUAGAGUGCGCUGCCCUCCACAACGGUUCCGACUCAGGGGUGGAGUAGUGGCGAUUGAAUGCAUACGUUACAGGUAACGUAUGCUCUAAAUGCAAAUAAACGCACCCGGAAACGUACGGCAGUUUCCCUCCACAGAGGUUAUGAUGUACCGAGUGUAUCCAGUCGAUUGGCCUGGUGCCCUCCGAAUGCUAGUCUCCGACUGGAUAAUUCUGGGCCUGUUACCGACUGGAUGAUGGGGACUCCUUAAUUCAGUCGGGGCAGACUUAAGGUCCUGUCCUUUGUGUGGGGUAGUCCUUGGGUAGGACAUGUAGGGCAGGCCUAUGACCCUACCCUAGGACUAUGACCCCAUCAUAUAUCGUUGCCAAAUAUAUACCACCUAGUUUCACAUACCAGCGAAAGAAGAAAUUCUUCUUUGACUUGAGACAUUACUGUUGUGAUGAGCCUCACCUUUAUAAGGAAGGAGUAGUUGGUGUUAUUACACGUUGUGUACCUGAACAUGAACAGGGACAUAUCCUACAGAAGUGUCACUCCGAGGCCUACGGAGGACACCAUGCGGCAGAUAGAACUACACACAAGGUAUUGCAAUCAGGUUUCUAUUGGCCCACUCUCUUCAAGGAUGCCCGUAAGUUUGUCUUGUCUUGUGACGAAUGUCAAAGAGUAGGUAACAUCGGUAAACGACAGGAAAUGCCUAUGAACUAUUCACUUGUCAUUGAACCAUUUGAUGUCUGGGGCGUUGAUUAUAUGGGACCUUUUCCAAAAUCCAACCGGUAUACUCACAUCCUGGUUGCUGUUGACUACGUCACUAAGUGGGUAGAAGCUAUCCCCACUAGUAGUGCUGAUCACAACACUUCUAUCAGGAUGCUUAAAGAAGUUAUUUUCCCUAGAUAUCUAAUGACCGACGGUGGUUCACAUUUCAUUCAUGGUGCUUCCCGUUAAACGCUUGCUAAGUACGAUGUCAAUGAGAGAAUUGCGUCCCCCUAUCGCCCUCGGUCCAGUGGUCAAGUAGAGCUAAGCAAUAGAGAGAUUAAACUAAUUCUACAAAAGACUGUCAACACGUCUAGAAAGAAUUGGUCUAAGAAACUAGAUGAUGCACUGUGGGCUUAUAGAACUGCCUAUAAGAAUCCCACGGGCAUGUCUCCGUACAAAAUGGUGUACGGUAAAGCAUGUUAUUUACCUCUUGAGCUAGAGCAUAAAGCUUAUUGGGCAAUCAAAGAGCUCAACUUUGAUUUCAAACUUGCUGGUGAGAAGAGGUUAUUUGACAUUAGCUCGCUUGAUGAAUGGAGGACUCAGGCAUAUGAGAAUGCCAAGUUGUUCAAAGAAAAGGUUAAGAGGUGGCAUGAUAAGAGGAUACAAAAGUGUGAGUUCAAUGUAGGUGAUUAUGUCUUGCUAUAUAAUUCUCGUUUAAGAUUUUUUGCAGGCAAGCUUCUCUUUAAAUGGGAAGUGAUACGUCUCCAACGUAUCUAUAAUUUUUGAUGGUUUCAUGCUAUUAUCUUGUCAAACUUUGGAUGUUUUGCAUGCCUUAUAUAUAAUUUUUGGAACUAACUUAUUAACUGACUUUCAAGUGCCAGUUCCUGUUUUUUCCAUGUUUUUGACCCCUUUGAAAGGAGAUUUUCAAGCGGAGUCCAAACGGAAUAAAAUCCCCGAAAAGAAUUUUUCCGUAACGGAAGAAGAUCAGGAGACUUGAGAGCCAAGGUAGGGGCCAGGGGGGAGGCCGCGGCCCACAGGCUUGUGGGCCCCCUGGACGCCCUCUGCCCUAGGGGUUGCGCCUAUAUAUUCCCUAAAAAUACCAAAAAAUCAGGAGAUCAUCGAAAGUACUUUUCCGCCGCCGCAAGCUUCUGUCUCCGCAAGAUCCCAUCUAGGGCACCUUCUGGUGCCCUGUCGGAGGGGGAUUCGGAUACGGAGGGCUUCUUCAUCAACACCAUGACCUGUCCUAUGAUGCGUGAGUAGUUCACCAUAGACCUACGGAUCCAUAGCUACUACCUAGAUGGCUUCUUCUCUCUCUUGGAUCUUCAAUACAAAGUUCUCCAUGAUCUUCAUGUAGAUCUAUCCGAUGAAUCUUCUUUUGCGGUGUNUUGUGGGUUUUGUUUGGCUAACUAGAUCUAUGAUUCUUGCAAUGGAGAAGUGCUUGGUUUUGGGUUCAUACUGUGCGAUGACCUCACCCAGUGACAGAAGGGGUAGCAAGGCACGGAUCGUGUUGUUGCCAUCAAGGGUAAAAAGAUGGGGUUUUCAUCAUUGGUUUGAGAUUAUCCCUCUACAUCAUGUCAUCUUGCUUAAAGCAUUACUCUGUUCGUCAUGAACUCAAUACACUAGAUGCUUGCUAGAUAGCGGUCGAUGUGUGGAAUAAUAGUAGUAGAUGCAGAAAGUAUCGGUCUACUUGUCUCGGAGGUGAUGCCUAUAUGUAUGAUCAUUGCCUUAGAUAUCGUCAUGACUUUGCGCGGUUCUAUCAAUUGCUCAACAGUAAUUUGUUUACCCACCGUGAUACUUGCUAUUUUGAGAAAAGCCUCUAGUGAACACUAUGGCCCCCGGGUCUACUCCACACCAUAUUUUCAGCCUUACACUUUUAACUUCGUUGCACUUUCCGCCUUUAGAUCUCACUUUGCAAACAAACUUGAAGGGAUUAACAAACCCUUUGAAGCGUUGGGUGCAAGCUUGUUUGUGUUUGCGCAGGUACUCUGGACUUGAUGAGACUCUCCUACUGGAUCGAUACCUUAGUUCUCAAACUGAAGGAAAUACUUACUGCUCCUGUGCUGCAUCACCCUUUCCUCUUCAAGGGAAAAACCAACGCGAGCUCAAGAGACGACAGAAGGAUCUCUGGCACCACUGCCGGGGAACGACUUUUGUUGACGUAGCAGCAGGAUUUAUGGCGCUGUUGCCGGGGAGGAAAAUCAAGUCAAGAACUCAUCCAAGUAGGUGUUGCAAACUCAUCUCUUGCAUUUCCUUUGUUAGCCAGUUGCCUCUCAUUUUCCUCUCCCCCACUUCACCAAUUUGCCUUUUUCGUUUGCCUUUUCGUUCGCCCCUUUCUCUCGCUUGCUUUCUGUUCGUCUGUGUGGGAUAGUCUACCUGUCCUCAUGGCUAGAUCCACCACUUUGAACGAUACUCCCGAGAGCAAAGUCCUAAAUUUCAAACAAAUUGAGGAAGAAAACUUAAAGGAUGCUUGGUAUAGGAUUUGCAAUGCUCAGAGUAGAUCUACUCAUAAGCAAUCCACUACCGUCCUGCUUCGUAGUUUUUAUGUGGGUGUUUCUCCUUGGAAUAGGUAUAUUCUUGACACCAUCGUAGGUGGAAAUUUCUUGGGUAGCCAUACCGUUCAUUCUUACAGAGCUGUCAUAAAUUUGGUAGGCUCACCCCCACUCAUGGUUAAUGGAACUACCUUAAGUCUGGAACAUGUGAUGCGUAGGAUGGACGUCAUUGAAAAUAAAGUUGCUACGAUAGAACUCAUUGAGAAUUUGGAUAAAAAUAUCCACAAUCAAAUCACUCAGUACGGAUCCAAGGUGGGAAUGGUUUUGAAAAAUUUGAAGGAGAAGGAACCCACAGUUAACGAAAAACUAGGUCAUGAUUCCGCUAGGAUUGGCAAACUAGAGGAUGUUAUAACCAACUUGGGUUCCGCUUUUGCCGCUGUGCAGAAUACUCCAAACUUUGCCCACAAUAAGGUCACCAAGUUUGUAUUUGUUCCCAAAAAUAGUGGUGAAUCAUCUAUCAAGAAAGAUGAAAACCUUAAGAUGAUAAGUGAUCACACUACUUAUGGUUUGAGCACCAAAGCCGACGAUACGUGAUUCUAUCGCUUUUAAGCCUAGCUAAGGGCGUUAAACAAUAGCGCUUGUUGGGAGACAACCCAAUGAAUUUAUCUUUUUCUUUCUGUUUGUUGUGUCCACACCAUCACAAUUCUGUUGUGAUUGUGUUUUUUUGUGUUUCUUUUUGUGUUUCAGCCAAGCAAAACCUUUAUGACUAAUCUUGGUAAUGGUUGUUUGAUCCUACUGGAAACACAGAGAAACUUUUCACUCACGAGAUGAUAUUUCAUUUUUAUUCACAAAGAGCUUUUGAGUUGAUUCGUUUUGCUUCUGGUUGAUAUGCCUUUUUCCUAGGCAGUCAUAAAUGUUCAGAUUUUUUGAGGUACCACAAGUAUACGAAGUAUACAGAUUGCUACAGACUGGUCUGUUUUUGACAGAUUUUGUUUUUGUUGAGUUGGUUGCUUGUUUUUAUGAAACUAUGGUUAGUAUAUGGGGGUACUAGCCAUGGAAAAGUGAGAAUACAGUAGCCCAACACAAUUAUAGAUGGAAUUCAAGUUUUAUACAGUACCAAAAGAAGUUGUAGUUUGCUUUCUUGUGCUAAUGUUAUCACGAGUUUCUGUUUAAGUUUUGUGUUGUGAAGUUUUCAAGUUUUGGGUGAUGUUCUCAUGGACAAUGAGAUAAGGAGUGCAAAGAGCUCAAGCUUGGGGAUGCCCAAGGCAUCCCAAGCCAAAUUCAAGGACACCAAAAAGCCUAAGCUUGGGGAUGCCUGAUACGUCUCAAACGUAUCUAUAAUUUUUGAUUGUUUCACGCUAUUAUCUUGCCUUCUUUGUAUGUUUUAUGUACCUUUUUAUAUCUUUUUUGGGACUAACUUAUUGAUUCAGUGCCAAGUGCUAGUUCCUGUUUUUCUCUGUUUUUGACUCUUUUCAGAUCUGAUUUUGGAACGCAGUCCAAAUGGAAGAAAAACCCCGAAAUGAUUUUUUCCCGAACGAAAGAAGUCUAGGGAGCCUUUGGGCCAGGCCAGGUGGGCCCCAAGGAGCCCACAAGCUCCCACCCCGCCACCAGCGGGAGGCGGCGGUGGGAAAGCUUGUGGCUUCCCUGGCAGCCUCCUGACCUAGGUCUUGCGCCUAUAUAUUCCCAAAUAUUCCGCAAAACAUCAGGGGAGCCUCGAAAAUACUUUUCAGCCGCCGCAAGCUUCCGUUUCCGCGAGAUCUCAUCGGGAGACCCUUCCCGGCGCCCUGCCAGAGGGGACUUUGGACGUGGACGGCUUCUUCAUCAUCAUCAUCGCCCCUCCAAUGACUCGUGNUUGAGUCUUUGCUGAUUUAUUAUAUGCAUGAUUUGAUAUCCUUGUAAGUCUCUCCGAGUCUUGGGUUUUUUUGGCCAACUUGAUCUAUGAUUCUUGCAAUGGGAGAAGUGCUUGGUUUUGGGUUCUGCCAUGUGGUGACCUUUCCUAGUGACAGUAGGGGCAGCAAGGCACACAUCAAGCAGUUGCCAUCAAGGGUAAAAAGAUGGGGUUUUAUCAUUGGUUUGAUAUUAUCCCUCUACAUCAUGUCAUCUUGCUUAAGGCGUUACUCUGUUCUUAUGGACUUAAUACACUAGAUGCAUGCUGGAUAGCGGUCGACGUGUGGAGUAAUAGUAAUAGAUGCAGACAAUAUCGGUCUACUUGUUUCGGACGUGAUGCCUAUAGAAAUAAUCAUUGCAUGGAUAUCGUCACGACUCUGCACAAUUCUAUCAAUUGCUCGACAGUAAUUUGUUCACCCACCGUCUACUUGCUUUCACUAGAGAAGCCACUAGUAAACACUACGGCCCCCGGGUCUAUUCACAUCCAUCGUUUACAACUCCGCUUUUACUUUGCUUUGUUACUUUGUUGCUUUCAGUUCUCACUUGGCAAACAAUCUAUAAGGGAUUGACAACCCCUUCAUAGCGUUGGGUGCAAGCUUUUGUGUUUGUGCAGGAUCUUGAGAUACUCUUCCGCCGGAUUGAUACCUUGGUUCUCAAAUUGAGGGAAAUACUUACCAUCGUUGUGCUACAUCACCCUUUCCGCUUUGAGGGAACACCAACGCAAAGCUCCAAGGCCACGGGGGAAAUCCUUCGCAUACUUGCCUAGGAAGUCCCUUAAGGCGUAGCCACAACAUAAAGAUCAAGCCAAGUAUUCUCCCGUCGACGUGCCUAUGUCUGGCGUUGUUGGAAGGUCUUUUGUGCAGUAGCAGAAGUAUUUCUGGCAACAUUGCCAGGGGUACACAGCAAACAUCAGAAGUAUCUAUGGCGCUAUUGCCGGUGAGGAGAAAUCAAGAUCUAUCCCAGUAGGUCUCACAAACUCUUCUCUUGCAUUUACUUUUGUUGCCAGUUGCCUCUCGUUUUCCUCUCCCCCAUUUCACAUUUGCCAUUUUCAUUUGCCUUUCUCCUUUGCCUUUUUUGUUUACCCUUUUCUCUCGCUUGCUUUCUGUUCGCUUGUGUGCCAUGUGCCCUCAAUAUGCUUGCAUCUUCGCUUGCUGAAAAUCUAGUGAUAUCGAUCAUCAUCCGCUAGCUAGUCUCUUUAUGAGACCCACUUGAUGCGUGAAUCUGAAAAUUGUGAAUCUGAAAAUGCGUAAGAUGAAAAGCAUGAUUGCAAUUGUGAAUCUGAAAAUGCGUAAGAUGCGUGAAUCUGAAAGUUGAGGGCAAUUGACUAUUUCUUUGGAGUUUUGCGUAAGAUGCGUGAAUCUGAAAAUUGUGAGGAAGAAAUUCAUGAAGUGAUUCACGAGGGCUCCUAGGAUGAAAAGCAUGAUUGCAAUGAUUUCACUAUAAAUCCUAUUAGUGACAAUCAUGCCGAAAUUAUGCAAAACCCUAAGCUUGGGGAUGCUAGUUUUGCUUUGUCUACUACUUGUUGCAAUAAUCAUGAUUGGGGUGAUGAUCUUUCUUAUGAUCUUGAAAAUUUGUUCCAACCUCAUGAUGAAUAUGAUAUUUGCAACAAUACUGAAAGUGGGAUUGGAGAAGUCAUGAAUUUAUUUGAAGAUAAUCCCACUAUUUUUGAAGAGCGUUAACUUUGCAUGCAUGUGGAUCAUGAAAAGAAUAUCCUUUGUGAUAGUUACAUUGUUGAAUUCGAAUAUGAUCCCACAUGUAAUUACUAUGAGAGAGGAAAAUAAGUUGGUAGAAACUUUCAUAUUACCAAAUCACCUCUCGUGAUGUUGAGAUUGCUCUUGUCUCUUUCUUCUUCCUUGCAUAUGGCCGCUAUUGGUUGUCUUGACAAUUUGUUUUCCUAUAAAAUGCCUAUGCAUAGGAAGUAUGUUAGAAUUAGAUGUGAUUUUCACAUGCUUUAGGAUGCUCUCGUUGUGCUUCAAUUCUUGUCUUUUGUGAGAGCAUUAGGGAAUGCCUAGCUAAGGGCGUUAAACAAAAGCGCUUGUUGGGAGGCAACCCAACGAAUCUAUCCUUUUUCUUUCUGUUUUGUGUUUUCCACACUUUCAUAAUUCUGUUAUGAUUGUGUUUUUAUGUUUCUUUUUGUGUUUGUGCCAAGCAAAACCAUUAUGAUUAGUCUUGAGGAUGAUUCUUUUUUCUGCUGAUUGCUACACAAAUUAUUCAGAGUGUCGUAAGUUUUCAGAAUUUUUGAAGUACCAGAGGAAUACGAAACAUACAGAUUGCUACAGACUGGUCUGCUGUUAACAGAUUCUGUUUUUGUUCUGUGGGUUGCUUAUUUUGAUGAAACUAUGGAUAGUACCGGGGGGGUAUUAGCCAUGGAAGAUUGAAAGUACAGUAACCCAACAUCAGCACAAGUAGAAUUUAAGUUUUCUACAGUACCUAAGGAAGUGGUUGUUUGCUUUCUUGUACUAAUGUUAUCACGAGUUUAUGUUUAAGUUUCGUGUUGUGAAGUUUUCAAGUUUUGGGUGAAGUUCUUAUGGACGAAAAGAUAAAGAGUGGCAAGAGAUCAAGCUUGGGGAUGACCAAGGCACCCCAAAAGAUUCAAGGAUGCCGUAAAAGCCUAAGCUUGGGGAUGCCCCGGGAAGGCAUCCCCUCUCUCGUCUUCAAUCCAUCGGUAACGUUAGUUGGGGCUAUAUUUUUAUUCACCACAUGUUAUGUGUUUUUUCUUGGAGCGUCUUGUAUCGUGGGAGUCCAUUAUUUUUAUUGUGUCAUAAUCAUCCUUGCUGCACACCUAGAGAGAGACAUGCACACACCGUGAUUUUGUCGAGCUUCACUUAUAUCUUUUGGUAGACAAUUCAGCUCACAUGUCACUAAUAGGAAAAGGAAUAUUGAUGAUACAGAUACUAAUGGCGCACCAGACAAGUAGUGCGCCACUACUAUAUAGCAGUGGCGCACCAUGUGCAGGUGUGCCAUUACUGUGAUGGACACUAAUGGCACACCACACACUCGGUGCGCCACUACUAUUUUUUUUUGCAAAAGUACUAAUGGCGCACCGGAGCAGAGUGGCGCACAACUCACCGAGUGCGCCACUGCUAUAUUUUUUUUUGCAAAACUACUAAUGGCGCACAACCAGCUGGUGCGCCAUUAGUAACCAGGGUUACAAAUGGCGCACCCCCUGGGGAUGCGCCAUCGCAAUCACCCCCGCUAAAAUCCCAUGCCAGUCCCCGCGCUCUAUGGAGAGGACCUGGCCGCCACUCUCUUCUUCCUGCAGCCUCGUCUCCCUCCUCACGCCGCACGCCGCCGGCCGCGCUGCUCCACCUCCUCCUCUCCUCCACUUCUCUCCUCCCUCCUUUCCUCGGUUUGUUUCCUCUCCUUGCCCAUGCCGCCUCCUCCCGCACGGAUAAGACCCGUCCGUCCCCCCAUCCCACCCCGCCCGCCGCCGUCCGGUCCGUCGUUAGGGUUUCGUCGGCCAUCCAGCCAUGGCGAUCCUCGGGGAGCUCGGGACGGAGAUCCUCAUCCCCGUCUACGGGGUCAUCGGCAUCGUCUUCGCCGUCGCGUAGUGCUUCAUCGUCUCCAAGGUCAAGGUCACCCCCGGCGCCGCCUCCACCGCUGCCGACGCCAAGAACGGCUACGACGACUACCUGAUCGAGGAGGAGGAGGGCCUCAACGAACACAACGUCGUCGUCAAGUGCGCCGAGAUCCAGACCGCCAUCUCUGAAGGUGAGCUCACCCGUCCCCUCCAUCGACAACGGUGGUGGUCCCCCCUCUCCCUCUCACCCGCUCCCUCCCCAGAUCUGGGGCCGUAGUUGCUCGGCACGCACAGAUCCGGUCGUUUCGCCGUAUAGGUAGAAACGGCCCCUCCCCUCCCCUCGACGCGCGCUGCGCCGUGUGCUGCGGCGUCGACAUCUCCCUCCCACACCAGGCCAACUGCUCCCACUAGUUCUGCGGUAAGCACCAGCUCCCUCGCCGCCUCCCGCCUUCGCCUGCUAGGUCCGGGCCUAGGCUGCCUCGUGCGCCGCCGCGCCCGCGCACGCUCGAUUUGGUUCCUCGAUUCCAUUUUCCUGAGUAAUCUCUUCCUUCGGCAUUCUCAUUGUGCUGCAACCUAUAACAUCAUGGGAGAUAGUUGUAGCGGCCAGAAAGUAGAUCCUGUAAGAGUAGAACAAUUGCUCUAGGAACAGUUAGUUCCCCUUUCUCACCCAGUACAGCCCUGUGCUAUUAUUGUUUAGCUUACCCUGUGUAUUUUGAUCGGAUGCCUAUACAUUUUUGUGUUUAACCCUGUGCGUGCUGUGUAAAAUUUGUGCUGUUCAAAUCUUGUGUCUUGUCUAGCGGUAGUGUUUUUGUUGCUUCAACUUGUUCACGGUGACGCCUGUUGCUAAGAGCUAUUUGACUGUUGGCAUUCUUGACGUGGCGAUGAUUUUGAGGAUACCACCAGUUGUUUUAUUACGGUGCCCGGGACAGUUAUGUCAUUUUAAGUUUUUUGUCGCAAAGUGUAGGUUGUUAUCUUAUCUGUAGCAAGAUUUGUACAUUUGAUGUUUCAGAAUUUUGUGCAUUCACUUGUGAGCUCGACACUUCAGACGGUUGCUGUGAUCUCUGCACAUUGUAAAUUUUAUAUUUUUUUGACAAGAAAGAACAAAAACUAGCACAUCCUCUGAUUCAUAUUACUUGUUGCAGCUUUGUAGCACGAUCAUAGGAAGUGCAGUAACACAGGCAGGCUCUGCUGCGUGUGUUAUUUCCUUGGUUUUGGAGAGAAUUUGAUGCCACUUUGUUCGGGCCGUGCAUUUGGCAUCAACAAAUGUAUUAUGAUGCAGGGUUUGCAGCUCGGAUCAUGUUCGAUCAUUCAUAGACACUAUGUUAUAUGUACAUAUGGACCAUGUGCGCUUGUGGGACUUAAUUAAUUCCUGCAAUGUUUGAGUCCAUUGCAAUGCCAAUUGCUGGUACUGGAAUGUUGAAUUAUGCUCCUUUGCUUACUUCGGUUUGAUGCUUAACUUGGCCUUGUGUUUUCGGCUACUGGCGAACAUUUUGGUCCUGGACCAUUGAUAAACAAAAUUUCUCACAGCUGUCAUUGUCAUUUGUUUGUGUACAGGGCAUUGCAUUGUGGGGGUGUGGCUACAUGGAUCUGUCCUUCGCCCAUCCAGUUGCCCUGUUUGCCGUCGCCCCAUAACGCUGCUGGUACCUUCUCAAGUUGCUUCCCUGCUGCGUGAUGUGCCAAAAAUUGCUCCUAUCAUGAACCGAAUUGAGCAGUACAAUGGCCGUUUUGCUGGAGUAUCUCACAGUAUGGUUCGGUACACCUGCCAUGUAAAACGGCAAUGGUGUUAGAUAUUUGUUUGGCAAUGUGUCAGUCUCUAGGUUGAUGUGCUGAAGAAAAAAAGAUAAAACAUCUACAAAUUUCAUCACUUGCUGCUGUAUGAUAAAAUAUUUUCUUGUGUCACUCGUUCACAUUGCUAUCUAACUUAGGGCAUCUAGAAUGGUUGAUAAGGCAACCUUAUCUUAAAUUCUUAAUCCUGCCAUGUAAUUUAGAUAUGUCAAAAAAUAUGGUGUACAAUGGGUUGUCUCAUAAUCUUAUCUCUAUUAACUUGAUAUGCCUGAAAAUGUGGUGAGAAAUUUGUUAAUAAGAGAUCAUCUCUUAUAUCUAUUUUAGCUUGCAGUCCAAGCUGAUAGCCAUGUGAGGCCAUUGCUACUCGUUUUUGUUGGCAUCUUGUGUUACAAAGAGUUUCCACAUGAUUGCCACUAUUUUUGUUCUUCUUAUCCGCAGAUGCAACACAAUAAAAUGACACAUCUGUGUGCAGCACGUACAUUACAUUACUUCUAUUUCCACUCCUGCCCAAGCGCUUAUCUUCCUUUCCACAAGAGUAUCCGUUUCAUUUAUUGACCUUUAUUUUUUCUACAACAGACUUUAGGGCCAAGAAUUGGGUAUUUUCCAUUGUUGGUGUCGACUAUAAAGGCUCAUUUCAGCAGCUCACUCUCACCAGGUGUUGAUACUGUUUGGUUUGAAUAUAAAGGGAUGCCACUGAAAUGGUAACAUAUGUUAUCUCCUACUAAUAUCAAUGAUGGUCUAUUCACAUUAUUAAAUCUUGAGAACCCAUGUUAUUGCUGUCGCUUUUAUUUGCUGACAGUCCUUUUUAUGUUCGCAUUGUUAGGUGUAUUCCCAUUGGUGUUCUUUUCGACCUUCUCCGUGGAGAUACCGAAAGGCCUUGGAAUCUAAAAGUAAGCACUUUUGUUUAGACAUAUUUUCUUUUAUGAUUUUUUUAAUUUGCGAGGUGUUUUUCUCGUGUUGAAGGUUCAUUUAUGCCUUAAUGGGACGCUGGAUCAGUAGAAACCUUUUGAUUAACCAUGUGCGUUUUCUCUUAACGUUUAACUUUGCUAGAAAUACUGUUAGAGAUUUAUGCCAUAAUGUUCGCAGGAUCUAGUUAGUUACUUAACUCAGCAAUUAAGUUCAAUAAAUUACCAAUUAGACUGCAUAAAUAUUUAUGUGCUUGCCACACUUUUUGUAAUCCUUGCUUAAUUGCAAUCAGCCAGCCAUCAGUGCACGAAUAGUAGAAACCAAGUUUUGAAACAUUUAGUCUUAGCGGUACAUUUUCGAUUGUAUUUUUUGAAAAAUUAGUCUUUCUGAAUAAACUUUUGUUGGUUGACCUGAGGAUCCUUUCCCUGUGCAAACUUUUGUUGGUUGACGUGAGGAUCCUUUUAAAUUGCAAUCUUUCUCCUGCAGAUUGAUUGACUCGAGUGACCCAUAAAGAAAAUUACUUUUGUAAUUGCAGACAAGUGAAGCUACACCUGGAACAGAAGAUUGGGAGCUCCCUGCUGUGGUAAACCCCCCUCCAUCCCCACCACCCCCUGCCCCCGACGGCCUGUAGAUCCUAUACGACCCAGGCAUGCCUCUUCCCCUUCCUGCCAUGUACAUAGCUUACUUGUUAUGUUGUCGCGAUUAGAUAAAUUUCAAUGAACAUCGUCAUUCUAUUUGAGCGUAUUGGUUGGUGAUUAGUCGAAAAACGGCAUAAAUUGGAGAAGAAAAAUUGUAGCUUUAUUCUACUAUAAAAAUCUAGGGGGCUCCAAAUCCGCACUAGCUUACUCAUUGGCUUAGGAACAUGAACAUAUACUGCUAUGCUUUAUAUGCCUAAUUUUUUUUAAGUUUUCUUUAACUUUUGCAUAGUAUUUUGUUACCAAGUAGAACAAUCAGGACAUACAUAACCCCUCUCUCUCUCUCUCACACACACACACAAUCUCAAUCGGGACAUACAUAACGGCUGGUAAUCGAGCCGUUGGCAAUUUAUUGUUUGGAUGUGUGGUGGCGGUCUUGUGUUAUUGUGACUGAUAAUCAUCUUGCUUGAGGAUGUGAUUGCAAUUCUGUGUUGGGCUCCUUUUUGCAGUGCAUGCACCAUUUAUUUGUGCAAUCCAUAUUCUGAUGUCUACACCCCAUUGCAUGUCUGUCCACAAGGCUUGUCUUGUUGUCCCUAUGGUCCGGUGUCGACAAACCCUAAAUUAUAAAACCUUGGCUUUUAGGGUGCCUCGGUGUCGAUAAAAACCUAAAUGAUGAAAGCUUAGGCUUUUAGGGUGCCUCGGCGUUGACAAACCCUAAAUGAUAAAAACUUAGCUUUUAGGAUGCGUCGGUGUCGACAAACCCUAAAUGAUGAGAUCAUGAUCUUGUUCCUUGACAAUAACCAACUUCUUUACCAAACUUUUUUCCUAUUUAGAGCGAAACAUGGCCCACAACGAUGAGGCUGGCGGUUCGGGCAAGGCAUUUUGGGAGCUGUCCUAGGAGAUGGAGGAAGAACUUCACCGCUAUGAGGAUGCCGCGGAAGACACCGAUCCNNNNNNNNNNNNNNNNNNNNNNNNNNNNNNNNNNNNNNNNNNNNNNNNNNNNNNNNNNNNNNNNNNNNNNNNNNNNNNNNNNNNNNNNNNNNNNNNNNNNNNNNNNNNNNNNNNNNNNNNNNNNNNNNNNNNNNNNNNNNNNNNNNNNNNNNNNNNNNNNNNNNNNNNNNNNNNNNNNNNNNNNNNNNNNNNNNNNNNNNNNNNNNNNNNNNNNNNNNNNNNNNNNNNNNNNNNNNNNNNNNNNNNNNNNNNNNNNNNNNNNNNNNNNNNNNNNNNNNNNNNNNNNNNNNNNNNNNNNNNNNNNNNNNNNNNNNNNNNNNNNNNNNNNNNNNNNNNACUGAUGAUGGCAGCGCACGCACAGAUGGUAGUGAUGCCUGCAGCUCUCUUCUAUGUGAUGGUAGUUUAGAUGAUCGAUAUCGACUUGUAAUGUGAAGAAAAACUCGCUACUCGCGGUCUCGAGACUUAUAAUGUUCUAACUUUGUUCGGUAUUUUAAAUUCGGAGACUAAUAUGAUGAAUUGUAUUCGGAGACUAAUCUUCUAUUGUAUUCAAUAAAUCUGUUGUUUAUAUGUUGUGCUCUCUAUAUUCCGUGCAAUAAUAUGUUUUGUAAUUUGUGCAAAUAUCAUAAAAAAACCUAAUAUUCAUACUAGUGGCGCACCACUCAGCACUUUAGUGGCGCACUGCAAAAGCACACUAGUGGUGCAUCGUCAACUAGUGCGCCAUUAGUAAGCCAGAGCACAUGGGUAGAUAUGGCCCCUGGGAGGCAUACUAAUGGCGCACCAUGAGCUAUACUAAUGGAGCCCUUAGUGGUGAGCCAUUAGUAUACCAUAUAGUAAUGGCGCACCAUGAGCNNNNNNNNNNNNNNNNNNNNNNNNNNNNNNNNNNNNNNNNNNNNNNNNNNNNNNNNNNNNNNNNNNNNNNNNNNNNNNNNNNNNNNNNNNNNNNNNNNNNNNNNNNNNNNNNNNNNNNNNNNNNNNNNNNNNNNNNNNNNNNNNNNNNNNNNNNNNNNNNNNNNNNNNNNNNNNNNNNNNNNNNNNNNNNNNNNNNNNNNNNNNNNNNNNNNNNNNNNNNNNNNNNNNNNNNNNNNNNNNNNNNNNNNNNNNNNNNNNNNNNNNNNNNNNNNNNNNNNNNNNNNNNNNNNNNNNNNNNNNNNNNNNNNNNNNNNNNNNNNNNNNNNNNNNNNNNNNNNNNNNNNNNNNNNNNNNNNUGGCGCACUGCCUGGUGCACCAUUAGUAUAUCAGAUACUAAUGGCGCACCUAUGGUGCGCCAUUUUAGUAAAAAAUUCUAAUGGCGUGAUGCUAGUGGCGCACCUAUAGUGCGCCAUUAGUAGCCAAAACAGGUGCGCCACUAGCAUGCCUUUUCCUAGUAGUGUGUGCUUCACUUAUAUCUUUUGAGCUAGAUACUUUUGCUCUAUGUGCUUCACUUAUAUCUUUUAGAGCGCAGCGGUGCGUGGCUUGGUAGUUGAUCUAUGCUUUGAAAGUAGUCUGAAAAGGGGUAGUUAUGCAAAGGGAUACGAAAACUUCCACCUUCAUGUGCAUUGAUUUGAGUUAUGGUUAUGGUAAUAUUGAAAUCAUGCUAGUAAGGUGUUNCAUGCACGUAUGGUAAACCGCUAUGUGAUGAAAUCUUAGCCUGAUUAGUCUAUUGAUUGUCAUCCUUUGCGUGGCGGUCGGGAUUGCGCGAUGGUUUAUACCUACCAACCCUUCCCCUAGGAGUAUGCGUUGAAUGCUUUGUUUCGAUUACUAAUAAAACUUUUGCAACAAGUAUAUGAGUUCUUCAUGACUAAUGUUGAGUCCAUGGUUUAGAUGCACUUUCACCUUCCACCAUCACUAUGUUGUUAGUGUCGUGCAACUUUCGCUGGUGCACAAAACCCACCAUUAGCCUCCCUCAAAACAGCCACCCUACCUACCUACUAUGGCUUUUUCAAAGUCAUUCCGAUAUAUAUUGCCAUGCAACUACCACCAUGAUAUGUGCCACCACGCCUACAUUGCCUUUGCACGAUCGUAAGAUAACUAGCAUGAUGUUUCCAUUGAUCUCUAUGCCAUGCUAGAUCAUUGCCAUGGUACACUACCAAAGGCAUUCCAUAUAGAGUCAUAAUUGCUCUAAGUUUUGAGUUGAAAGUGUGAUGAUCAUCAUUAUUCGAGCAUUGUCCCAUGUGAGGAAAUAAAAGAGGCCAAAGAAGCCCAUAAAAAAAGAGGCCAAAGAGCGCACCAAAAAAAAUAUGAGAGAAAAAGAGAGAAGGGCAAUGCUACCACUUUUUCCACACUUGUGCAUGUUGAGCACCAUGAUCUUCAUGAUUGAGAGUCUCUCGUUUUGUCACCACCAUAUAGCUAGUGGUAAAUUCUCAUUAUAUAACUUGGCUUGUAUAUUCCAAUGAUAGGCUUCCUUGAAUUUGCCUUAGGUCUUCGUGAGCAAGCAAGUUGGAUGCACACCCACUAGUUUUCUUUAAGAGCUUUCACAUACUUGUAGCUCUAGUGCAUCGUUUGUAUGGCAAUCCCUACUCAUUCACAUUGAUAUCUAUUGAUGAGAAUCUCCACAGCUCAUUAAUAUGCCUAGUUAAUGUGACUUUCUUCUCCUUUUUGUCUUGCAAACUCCACCACAUUCCACAACAUCUAUAGUGCUAUAACCAUGUCUCACGCUCAUUUAUUGCGUGAGAGUUGAAAAUGUUUGAGAAAGUAAAGGUGUGAAACAAUUACUUGACCAAUACCGGGGUUGUGCAUGAUUUAAAUUCGUUGUGCAAUGAUGAUAGAGCAUAGCCAGACUAUAUGCUUUUGUAGGGAUAACUUUCUUUUGGCCUUGUUAUUUUGAAAGUUCAUGAUUACUUUGCUAGUUUGCUUGAAUUAUUAUUGUCUCCACGUCAAUAGCAAACUAUUGUUUUGAAUCUAAUGGAUCUGAACAUUCACGUCACAUAAGAGGAAUUACAAAGGACACUUAUGCUAGGUAGCAUGAAAGCAUCAAAAAUUCAUUCUUAUCACUUCCCUACUCGAGGAUAAGCAGGAGUUAAGCUUGGGGAUGCUUCAUACGUCUCAAACGUAUCUAUAAUUUUUGAUGGUUUCAUGCUGUUAUCUUGCCUUCUUUGUAUGUUUUAUGUACCUUUUUAUAUCUUUUUUGGGACUAACUUAUUGAUUCAGUGCCAAGUGCCAGUUCCUGUUUUUCUGUGUUUUGGACUCUUUUCUGAUCUGAUUUUGGAACGGAGUCCAAAUGGAAGAAAAACCCCGAAAUGAUUUUUUCCCGAACGGAAGAAGUCCAGGGAGCCUUUGGGCCAGGCCAGGUGGGCCCCAGGGAGCCCACAAGCUCCCACCCCGCCACCAGGGGGGAGGUGGCGGUGGGCAAGCUUGUGGCUUCCCUGGCCGCCUCCUGAGCUAGGUCUUGCGCCUAUAUAUUCCCAAAUAUUCCGCAAAAAAUCAGGGGAGACACGAAAAUACUUUUCCGCCGUCGCAAGCUUCCGUUUCCGCAAGAUCUCAUCUGGAGACCCUUCCCGGCGCCGUGCCGGAGGGGACUUUGGAGGUGGAGGGCUUCUUCAUCAUCAUCAUCGCCCCUCCAAUGACUCGUGAGUAGUUUACUUCAGACCUACGGGUCCGUAGUUAGUAGGUAGAUGGAUUCUUCUCUCUCUUGGAUCUUCAAUACAAAGUUCUGCAUGAUCUUCACGGAGAUCUAUCCGAUGUAAUCUUCUUUGGCGGUGUGUUUGUCGAGAUCCGAUGAAUUGUGGACUUGUGAUCAGAUUAUCUAUGAUAUAUAUUUGAGUCUUUACUGAUUUCUUAUAUGCAUGAUUUGAUAUCCUUGUAAGUCUCUCCGAGUCUUGGGUUUUGUUUGGCCAACUAGAUCUAUGAUUCUUGCAAUGGGAGAAGUGCUUGGUUUUGGGUUCUGCCAUGUGGUGACCUUUCCCAGUGACAGUAGGGGCAGCAAGGCACACAUCAAGCAGUUGCCAUCAAGUGUAAAAAGAUGGGGGUUUUAUCAUUGGUUUGAGAUUAUCCAUCUACAUCAUGUCAUCUUGCUUAAGGCAUUACUCUGUUCUUAUGGACUUAAUACACUAGAUGCAUGUUGGAUAGCGGUCGACGUAUGGAGUAAUAGUAGUAGAUGUAGACAAUAUCGGUCUACUUGUUUCAGACGUGAUGCCUAUAGAAAUAAUCAUUGCAUAGAUAUCGUCAUGACUCUGCACAGUUCUAUCAAUUGCUCGACAGUAAUUUGUUCACCCACCGUCUACUUGCUUUCAUGAGAGAAGCCACUAGUAAACACUACGGCCCCCGGGUCUAUUCGCAUCCAUCGUUUACAACUCCGCUUUUACUUUGCUUUGUUACUUUGUUGCUUUCAGUUCUCACUUGGCAAACAAUCUAUAAGGGAUUGACAACCCCUUCAUAGCGUUGGGUGCAAGCUUUUGCGUUUGUGCCGGAUCUUGAGAUACUCUUCCGCCGGAUUGAUACCUUGGUUCUCAAACUGAGGGAAAUACUUACCGUAGCUGUGCUACAUCACCCUUUCCACUCCGAGGGAACACCAACGCAAAGCUCCAAGGCCACAGGGGAAAUCCUUCGCAUACUUGCCUAGGAAGUCCCUUAAGGCGUAGCCACAACAUAAAGAUCAAGCCAAGUAUUCUCCCGUCGACGUGCCUAUCUUUGGCGCCAUUGGAAGGUAUUUUGUGCAGUAGCAGAAGUAUUUCUGGCACCAUUGCCAGGGGUACACAGCAAACAUCAAUGCCCCGGGAAGGCAUCCCCUAUUUCGUCUUCUAUCCAUCGGUAACAUUACUUGGAGCUAUAUUUUUAUUCACCACAUGAUAUGUGUUUUUGCUUGGAGCGUCUUGUAUCGUAGGAGUCUUUUCUUUUUGUUGUGUCACAAUCAUCCUUGCUGCACACCUUUUUGAGAGAGAGAGAGACAUGCACUCAUCGUGAUUUUGCUAGAAUGCUCAUAGUGCUUCACUUAUAUCUUUUGAGCUAGAUACUUUUGCUCUAUGUGCUUCACUUAUAUCUUUUAGAGCACGGCGGUGCGUGAUUUGGUAGUUGGCUUAUUCUAUGAAAGUAGUCCCAAAUGUGAUAGGUACCCAAAGAGGAUGCAAAAACCUCCAUCUUCAUGUGCAUUGAGUAGAAAGAGAAGUCUUGAUUCCUCUCAAUUAGUUUUGAGGCGUGGAUUUGGUAAUAUUAAGAGCUAUGUUAGUAGGGUGUUGUUAAUCUAGAAAUACUUGUGUUGAAGUUAGUGAUUCCCGUAGCAUGCACGUAUGGUGAACCACUAUCUUAGGAAAUCAGAGCAUAAUUGAUCUAUUGAUUGUCAUCCUUUGUGUUGAGGUCGGGAUCGCGCGAUUGUUAACACCUACCAACCCUUCCCCUCGGAGUAUGCGUUUAGCACUUCGUUUCGAUUACUAAUAAAAACUUUCGCGACAAGUAUGUGAGUUCUUCAUGACUAAUGUGAGUCCAUGGUAUAGAUGCACUAUCCCCUUCCACCAUUGCUAGCCUCUUUAGUGCCGCGCAAUUCUCGUCGGUGCACAAUCCCACCAUAUGCUUUCCUCAAAACAGCCACCAUACCUACCUACUAUGGCAUUUUCAUAGCCAUUCCGAGAUAUAUUGCCAUGCAACUCCCACCGUUCCGUCUCAUGACUUGUACCAUCACUCUCAUAUUGCCAUUGCAUGAUCAUAAGAUAGCUAGCGAGAUGUUUUCAACGUCAUACGCCAUGCUAGAUCGUUGCACAUCCCGGUACACUGCCGGAGGCAUUUCCUAUAGAGUCAUCAUCAUUGUGAGCUUUGAGCUGUGAGUAAAUAAAAGUGUGAUGAUCAUCAUUAUUAGAGCAUUGUCCCAUGUGAGGAAAUAAAAAAAGAGAGGCCAAAGAGCCCAAAAACAAAACAAAAAGGGGAGAAAAAAAGAGGCCUAAGAGACCAAAUGAAAAAAAGAGAAAAAGAGAGAAGGGACAAUGCUACUAUCUUUUUCCACACUUGUGCUUCAUAAUAGCACCAUGUUCUUCAUGAUUGAGAGCUUCUUUCUUUGUCACUACCAUAUGCUAGUGGGAAUCUUCAUUAUAUAACUUGGCUUGUAUAUUCCAAUGAUUUGCUUCCUCAAAAUUGCCAUUGGUCUUCGUGAGCAACCAAGUUGGAUGCACACCCCUAGUUUUCCUUUCGAGCUUUCACAUACUUAUAGCUCUAGUGCAUCUCUUGUAUGGCAAUCCCUACUCGUUCACAUUGAUAUCUAUUAAUGGGCAUCUCCAUAGCCCUUUGAUACGCCGAGUCAAUGUGACCAUCUCCUCCUUUUUGUCUCACAACCACCACCACACUCUAUUCCACUUAUAGUGCUAUAUCCAUGGCUAACGCUCAUGUAUUGCGUGAUAGUUAUAAAAAGUUUGAGAAAGUAAGAGUGCGAAAACAAUUACUUGGACAAUACCGGGGUUGUGCAUGAUUUACAUUAGUUGUGUGAGGAUGAUGGAGCAUAGCCAGACUAUAUGAUUUUGUAGGGAUAACUUUCCUUGGCCUUGUGAUUUUGAAAGUACAUGAUUACCUUGCUAGUUUUCUUGAAGUAUUAUUGUUUUCAUGUCAAUAGAAAACUAUUGUUUUGAAUCUUACGGAUCUGAACAUUCAUGACACGAAAGAAGUUGCAAAGGGUAACUACGCUAGGUAGCAUUCUACAUCAAAAAUUCAGUCUUUAUCACUUCCCUACUCGAGGACGAGCAGGAGUUAUGCUUGGGGAUGCUUGAUACGUCUCCAACGUAUCUACAAUUUUUGAUGGUUUCAUGCUAUUAUCUUGUCAAACUUUGGAUUUUUUGUAUGGCUUUAAUAUCUUUUUUGAGACUAACUUAUUAACUCUGUGCCAAGUGCGAGUUCCUGUUUUCUUCCAUGUUUUUGACCCCUUUCAGAGGAGGAUUUUAAACGGAGUCCAAAGGGAACGAAACUGCCAAAAAGAUUUUUCCGAAACAGAAGAAGAUCGGGGAGCCUGAGAAUCAGGGCAGGGGGCCAGCAGGGACCCCAGAGGCCUCCUAGCCGCGGCCAGGGGGGCCCGCGCCUCCAAGACUUAUGGGCUCCCUGGGCCACCUCUACCCUUGGUCUUUCGCCUAUAGAUUCCCUAAAAUCCCAGAAAAAAUCAGGAGAUCAUCGAAAGUACUUUUCCGCCACCGUAAUCUUCUAUCUUCGCAAGAUCCCAUCUGGGGCACGUUCUGGUGCCCUGUCGGAGGGGGGAUUCGGAUACGGAGGGCUUCUUCAUCAACACCAUGACAUCUUCGAUGAUGCGUGAGUAGUUCACCAUAGACCUACGGGUCCAUAGCUAGUAGCUAGAUGGCUUCUUCUCUCUCUUGGAUCUUCAAUACAAAGUUCUCCAUGAUCUUCAUGGAGAUCUAUCNUUGCGGUGUGUUUGUCGAAAUCUGAUGAAUUGUGGAUUUAUGAUCAGAUUAUCUAUGAAUCUUAUUUGAGUUUCUUCUGAUCUCCCUUAUGCAUGAUUUCAUAUCCUUGUAAUUCUCUUCUAGUUGUGGGUUUUGUUUGGCCAACUAGAUCUAUGAUUCUUGCAAUGGGAGAAGUGCUUGGUUUUGGGUUCAUACCGUGCGGUGACCUCACCCAGUGAUAGAAGGGGUAGCGAGGCACGCAUCGUGAUGUUGCCAUCAAGGGUAAAAAGAUGGGGUUUUCAUCAUUAGUUUGAGAUAAUCCCUGUACAUCAUGUCAUCUUGCGUAAAGUGUUACUCUGUUCGUCAUGAACUCAAUACACUAGAUGCAUGCUGGAUAGCGGUCGAUGUGUGGAGUAAUAGUAGUAGAUGCAGAAAGUAUCGAUAUACUUUUCUUGGAUGUGAUGCCUAUAUGUAUGAUCAUUGCCUUAGAUAUCGUCAUGACUUUGCGUAGUUCUAUCAAUUGCUCGACAGUAAUUUGUUUACCCACCGUGAUACUUGCUAUUUUGAGAGAAGCCUCUAGUGAACACUAUGGCCCCCGGUUCUACUCCACACCAUAUUUUUAGCCUUACACUUUUAACUUCAUUGCACUUUCCGCCUUCAGAUCUCACUUUGCAAACAAUCUUGAAGGGAUUGACAACCCCUUUGAAGCGUUGGGUGCAAGCUUGUUCGUGUUUGCGUAGGUAUUGUGGACUUGACGAGACCCUCCUACUGGAUCGAUACCUUGGUUCUCAAACUGAGGGAAAUACUUACUGCUCUUGUGUUGCAUCAUCCUUUCCUCUUCAAGGGAAAAACCAACACGAGCUCAAGAGAUGACAGAAGGAUCUCUGGCACCACUGCCGGGGAACGACUUUUGUUGACGUAGCAGGAAGGUCCCAAUAUUGUUGAGGAAGUAUAUCGUUCCGGUGCUAUCAAGAUCAACAACAUGGAAGGUAAUUGUCCGAGAGUGGUAAAUGGGCAGAGAAUCAAGCAUUAUAUCUAAGGGAUAUCAUCAAUACCAUAACUCCGGAAGAAUACCUAAGGGAUAUUUACCAGCCUAUUUCAGACUCCAAAAACGAAGAGGUAUGUGAUUCGGUAAGAAAACAGAGUCCAAAACUUUUCCAGUAGGAAUUUUUCUCCGUUUUGGAAUAUUUGAAAAAAUAGAAAAAUUGGAAGUAGUCCGGAAAGCGCGCGAGGAGGCGACAAGCUUGCCAGGCGCGGGCCCACCCCCUGGCCACGCCUGGGGGGCUUGUGGCCACCUCGUGUGCCUCCCGGACUCCGUUUUCGUGCGGAGUACUCCUUCCGGUCUGAAAAAAUCAUUGUAUAUUCUCCCGUAAGGUCUGACCCUCGUAUCACGCAGAUUUCCUCUUUUUUCGUUUCGAGCCUGUUUUCUGCCGCAGAUUUAGAGCAAGAUGUGAAGUUGAAGAAGUGGAUGCUGAUCUGAAACGAAUGGAGGCUAGGGAAAGGCUACCUAAAGAGGCCAAGGGCAAAACUAAGGAGAAGAAUCAGGCAUGGGACAAAGUGCAAUCUGUGCUUAACAAGGAAGAAGUUGAAGAAGUGGGUUUCCUCCAACCCUACCUCUAGCUACUGUCUCCAUCCUUGAUUGAACUCUUGAGGUUUUGUGAAACAACUCGAGCUCGCAAUACUUAUCUCACUCAUGAAGUUGUUUUGCUGGAGAAACAUAUCACAGAUCUCCAAGGUAUAAAUCAAAGAUUAAUGGCCCUCUUGGAAUGAAAGGACAAAGCAACUCCACCACCAUCACCUCCAAAGGAAGACAACUAAGCAUGGGUAUGGGCAAUCCCCUUGGCUUGUGCCAAGCUUGGGGGAGUUGCCCCGGUAUCGUAUCACCAUCACUUCUUUUGCCUUUACCUUUGUUUUAGUUUGUUCCUUUUCAGUUUUCUUUUUCUCUAGUAGAUUAAAAGUCUUAGUGUUUUAGUCUUGAGUUUUGUUUUGUGUCACCCCUGAUGUAUUCGAGCUCGUGAGCCAUAUACUAAAGAGUGUCUUAGUUGAAGGGAUUUGCCUCUUGCCAUGAUCAAAAGAGUGAGAAAAGAACAAAAGCAUGAAAGUUCAUGUAAUGAUCUUAUGGGAAGUGAUGGCUUCACAUAUAAAAAUAAUGUUGAUUGAAACUUGUUGAGGGUAGACAAACGUAGACCUUGGUCAUUGUUGCAACUAAUAGGAAGUGAUAAAGAAGGAGAGGUUCACAUAUAAAUACAUCAUCUUUGACACCAUCUAUGAUUGUGAACACUCACUAAGCUAUUGCAUGCCUAGAAGUAGAUGUUGGACAAGGAAGACAACAUAAUCAAUUGUGUUUUCUUGGUUCUCAACAAUGUUAUAUGAUUAGAGAUCCCUUAGCAUGUGACGAUUGCUUCCACCUCAUUUUAGCCAAAAAUCCCGCACCAAUUAGAAAUACUACUUGUGCAUCCACAAACCUUCAACCUAGUUUUGCAAUGAGAGUCCACCAUACCUACCUAUGGAUUGAAUAAGAUCCCUCAAGUAAGUUGUCAUCGGUGCAAGCAAUAAAAAAUUCUCCCUAAUAUGUAUGAUCUUUUAGUGUGUGGAAAAUAAGCUUUGUACGAACCUGUGGUGAGGAAGACAUAAAAGUGACAGACGGCAUAAUAAAGUUCUUUAUCACAGGAGGAAAUAUAAAGUGACGUUCCUCCGCACUAAGAGGACACGCAUCCAAACCUCAAAAGCGCAUGACAACCUAUGCUUCCCUCUACGGAGGGCCUAUCUUGUACCUUUACUUUUUGCCCUUGAAAGAGUCAAGGUGAUCUUCACCAAUUCCUUUUUCGCCUUUAUCUUGGCUAACGUCAUAUGCUAGGGAAAGAUCUAUAUUCAUAAGUCAACUUGGAGGUAAGCAUUCAUGAAUUAUUGUUGUUGACAUUACCCUUGAGGUAAGUAGUUAGGAGGCAAAACUAUAAGCCCCUAUCUUUCUCCGUUUCCAGCUGAAACUUUGACCAAAUGAGUACCACGUGAGUUGUAGCAAUUGUAGAGAAUGAAAAGAUGAUUGAGUAAGUUGAUUUGCUUUACAAGCUCUUAUUUGACUCUUUCUGAUGUUGUGAUAAAUUGCAAUUGCUUCAAUGACUGCAGGCUAUAGGUUGUUACUUCUGGGUAAGGUUCUUGAUCCAUACUUUACUUUGUGAAGGAAUUGUCACUUUAGCAUGAGAGAUUACAUGUUGGUAUUGUUGUUCUGAUCAUGAUCAUGAUGCAUGCAUGUUCGCAUUUUGUUUUGUCGACACCUCUCUCCCUUAACAUGUGGUCAUAUUUAUUGAGCUCGGCUUUCACAUGAGGACAAGCGAGACCUAAGCUUGGGGGAGUUGAUACGUCCAUUUUGCAUCAUGGUUUCAUGUUGAUAUUUAUCGCUUCUUGGGCUGUUAUUUCACUUCACGGUACAAUACUUAUGCCCUUUCUCUCUUAUUUUGCAAGGUUUACAUGCAGAGGGAGAAUGCCGGUAGCUGGAAUUCUGUCCUGAAAAUGGAGCAAGUUUGAGAUACCUGUUCUGCGCAACUGCAAACGCCGUAAAAAUAAACAAGGAUUUUUUUCGGGAUUUAUAAAAAAUAUUGGGCCGAAGAAGUGGCAGAGGGGCGCUAGUAGGAGGCCACAAGCCUGCUAGGUGCGGCCACACCCCUGGCCGUGCCUAGGGGGCUUGUGGGCACCCAGCUGGCCCUCUGGCCCCCCUCUUCUGCUAUAUGAAGGGUUUCGUUCUGAAAAAAAUCAAGAGGAGGCUUUUUCGAGGAUUCGCCGCUGCCACGAGGCGGAACUUGAGCAGAACCAAUCUAGAGCUCCAGCAGGACGAUCCUGUUGGGGAAUUAAUUACUCUUUGUAAGGUUGCUAGUAGUGUUGAUUACUCUUUGUAGUUUAUGCUAGUUGGAUUACUUGGUGGAAGAGUUUAUGUUCAGAUCCUUGAUGCUACUCGUUACCUCUCUGGUCAUGAAUAUGAUUAUGCUUUGUGAGUAGUUACUUUUGUUCCUGAGGACAUGGGACAAGUGAUGCUAAUAGUAGUCAUGUGAAUUUGGUAUUCGUUCAAUAUUUUGAUGUGUUGUAUGUUGCUUUUCCUCUAGUGGUGUUAUGUGAAAAUCGACUACAUAACACUUCACCAUUAUUUGGGCCUACAGGAAGGCAUUGGGAAGUAGUAAGUAGAUGAUUGGUUGCUAGAGUUACAGAAGCUUAAACCCUAGUUUAUGCGUUGCUUCGUAAGGGGCUGAUUUGGCUCCACUAGUUUAAUGCUAUGGUUAGACUUUGUCUUAAUUAUUCUUUCGUAGUUGUGGAUGCUUGCGAGAGGGGUUAAUCAUAAGUGUGAUGCUUGUCCAAGUAAGGGCAGUACCCAAGUGCCGGUCCACCCACAUAUCAAACUAUCAAAGUAACGAACAUGAAUCAUGUGAACAUGAUGCAAACUAGCAAGACAAAAAUUCCCGUGUGUCCUCGUGAGUGUUUUUCCUCCUAUAGGACUUUGUCCAGGCUUGUCCCUUGCUACAAAAGGAUUGGGCCACUUUUCUGCACCGUUGCUACUUUUUUUACUUGUUGCUUGCUACGAAUCAUCUCACCACACAAUCACUUGUUACCGAUAAUUUCCGUGCUUGCAGAUAUUUCCUUGCUGAAAACCACUUGUCAGAUCCUUCUGCUCCUUGUUGGGUUCAACACUCUUACUUAUCGAAAGUACUAUGAUAGAUCCGCUAUACUUUUGGGUCAUCACUCCACCUUCCACUUGAGGUAACCAACGAGGGGCGAGAUGUAUAUCCAUUAACUCGUCAUCAAGCAAAUUUUUGGCGCCGUUGCCGGGCACUCCAGUUUUCAAGAUAGGGGAGUUGCACGCUAUCUUUUACCUUUGCUUUUUAGUCUUGUUAGUUUGCUUUCUAGUUUUUUCUUUAGAGUCGUAUACCAAAAACCAAAAAAAUAGUUGAUUUGCUUCUAGUUGUCCUUUCUGCUUAGUACAACAUGUUAAGGUUUGAUGCUUUGAGGGAAUUUGAGGUCCUAGAUUUCCAUCAAAGGAAUGGAGAAAAUAUUAAGGAGGCUUGUGAUAGAAUUUCUGAAGAACAUAAAAUAAUUAUGCCUUGGAUACCUAUAAUAAUUGUACUUAAAAAAUUUUAUCAUUGGUCUUUUAUAUGGUGUAAACACUCUCUUGAUAUUAUAGCUAAAGGAGAUUUUUUUAGAGUGUGAUCAGGCUAGAGAUCUUGAUAUUAUACAAGGUAUAUCUAAAUACCUUGAUUAUGGUCGUGGAUUUGACACUAUUAUAGAUAGACUUGCUGCCAUGGAAAGGAAAAUAGAUGCUCUAGAAUUAAGAGAAAGAGAGAAACCCAUGGUUGAUAAGAAAAAGAUUUUGAAACUAGAUGAUGACUCGGAGCCUUUUGUUAGAAUUAGCAUCUCUAUCCAAGAUUUCCCUACUUAUUGUGAUAUUGGAUCCCUGGUUUCCACAAUGCCAAAAGUUGUUUAUGAUUAUCUAAGCUUUUUAAACAUAGACAAUUUUUCAUCUUAUCAUGAACAUGCUAAUUGGGAUAUUUGUGAGAUCCAGGGAAAUGAAAAAGAUGUCGAGGUUACAUUCUCUAAAAGGAAUGCAAUAGUUGAUUUCUUCAUCAUGNNNNNNNNNNNNNNNNNNNNNNNNNNNNNNNNNNNNNNNNNNNNNNNNNNNNNNNNNNNNNNNNNNNNNNNNNNNNNNNNNNNNNNNNNNNNNNNNNNNNNNNNNNNNNNNNNNNNNNNNNNNNNNNNNNNNNNNNNNNNNNNNNNNNNNNNNNNNNNNNNNNNNNNNNNNNNNNNNNNNNNNNNNNNNNNNNNNNNNNNNNNNNNNNNNNNNNNNNNNNNNNNNNNNNNNGUUGAUUUCUUCAUCAUGAAGCCAAACCAAGGAAACAUAGUGCUUGAAAGGGACUUCCUCCGAGCCAUGAAAUGCUUCAUUGAUAUAGGUAAAGGACAAAUACGCUUACGUGGGAAUGCGAAAGGGACGUACCCGUUCCCUAGGAAAAAUAAGGAUGAACUUGUUGAGGAUCCGUUUGAAGGUUUCGAUGACUCCAAUGACUUUGGUGAAUUUUGAUCCUCCUUUUUGCAUCAUGCCUAGCUCAAAGGCAUAAAAGAAAGCGCUUGUUGAGAGGAAACCCAAUUUCCUUUUAAUUUUAGUUUUAGUGGUCUUGAUGCUUGUUACUACUGUAGCAACAUCAUUGUAUCUUUAUUUUCAAGCUUUGUGCCAAGUUAUACCCUCCGAUCGCAAGAAAGUUCAAAAGUUGUGACAUGCCGUCCAGAAAGAGAUUAUGUCGGCUUGACAAAAAAUACGCCAAAAGUCACCAGAUCAUCUUUUUGAUCUGAUUUCUUUUACAGUAUGCUCCAUAUAAUUGUCUUUCUGACGUCUAUUGAUUUGAGUUGCAGAAGUGCCCCAAAAAAAUAUUUACUACCUGUUGUUCUGUUUUUCACAUAUUCUGCCACGUUUUGCGUUUUCAUGAUUUUGCAAAAUUUAAACUUUCUUUUCCUUUGCAAAAACCUUUUGGAAAUCAUGAGAAACAAUAGCUUUUAAGCAGGGAAUAAAUUGUUUUAUUAUGGGUGCUAACCACUCUAAUCAGCUUAUGAUGAGUUUCGUAUGAAGGGAGUUUUCAAGUAUGUGAUGCAAGAUGAUGAAAGAAGAUCGAGCAAUGUCAAGCGUUCAAGCUUGGGGAUGCCCCCAUACACCCCCAAGAAUAAUUCAACGAGACUCAAGCAUCUAAGAUUGGGGAUGCCCCAGUGCAUCCCCUUCUCUAUCAACAAUCAUCAGUUCGUCCAUCCCCAUGUUGUAGUUUUAUCACCUCAUAUGUUAUGUGCUAUGCUUCAAGCGUCUCGUUCUUUACUUUUUAGUUUGUUUUAGUUUUGUCUGCUGUUCAUAACAAGUCGAAACCUAGCCUUCUUUGCUUGGGAGAGAAACACGCUCCACUCCACCCUAGAACACAACAUGAGUUUUCAUGCUUAUCUUUUUGGUGUGUUCUUUAUCGUUUCAUAGCUGCUGUCAUGCUUAGCUCUUAGUUUUCAUGCUAUAUCUUUUUAAUAGCUUUUAUUUAGGUUGCUUUUGGAACUCUCUUGAGUUAUCAUGCUUAUUUUGUUUAGAGAGUUUGCUUGUUGCACUGAGUUGUGUGUCUUGCAUGAGUAGGUAAUUGAAGUUGCUAAUUAAUUAUAGUAGUAACUUGCAAUAGUUUUCCGGUAUUGAUUUGAGUAAUGCUUGGAAUAUUGGUGCCAAGAGCUUGAGCCUAUCAGUGAUAGGUGUCGUAUUUUUGGAAAUCUGUGGGUAUUUUCAAAAACUAAAAAAGAAAUUAGUUGAGAACUCUAGCUACUAGAUUGAUCGCUAACCUGUGGAGGGUUUGGAAUAUAUAGAGUAACCUCACAUUACCAUGGGUCGAGGAUGCGCGAGGAUAACCAAACCCCCAAACACUCCUCCUCGGGGUACUUGUCUCUUUGUGAAUCUCCUAACUAGAUAGAGAGUUACUGAUAAUAAGUCUAUGAGUCCUUCGGACUAAUGCGAGUAUUCGAUUGUUGGCACUUCCACCAUCCAUAUUUUGCUAGCCUCUUAGGUACCGUGCAUUGCCAUUUCUCAUCUUGAGAGUUGGUGCAAAAUUCAUCGGUGCAUCCAAACCCUUGGCAUGAUACGCUCUAUCAUCAUAAGUGUCAUUAUAUCUUUCCUCAAAACAACCACCAUACCUACCUAUUAAGGCAUUUCCAUAGCCUUUCCAAGAUACAUUGCCAUGCAANNNNNNNNNNNNNNNNNNNNNNNNNNNNNNNNNNNNNNNNNNNNNNNNNNNNNNNNNNNNNNNNNNNNNNNNNNNNNNNNNNNNNNNNNNNNNNNNNNNNNNNNNNNNNNNNNNNNNNNNNNNNNNNNNNNNNNNNNNNNNNNNNNNNNNNNNNNNNNNNNNNNNNNNNNNNNNNNNNNNNNNNNNNNNNNNNNNNNNNNNNNNNNNNNNNNNNNNNNNNNNNNNNNNNNNNNNNNNNNNNNNNNNNNNNNNNNNNNNNNNNNNNNNNNNNNNNNNNNNNNNNNNNNNNNNNNNNNNNNNNNNNNNNNNNNNNNNNNNNNNNNNNNNNNNNNNNNNNNNNNNNNNNNNNNNNNNNNNNNNNNNNNNNNNNNNNNNNNNNNNNNNNNNNNNNNNNNNNNNNNNNNNNNNNNNNNNNNNNNNNNNNNNNNNNNNNNNNNNNNNNNNNNNNNNNNNNNNNNNNNNNNNNNNNNNNNNNNNNNNNNNNNNUAAAGAGGACACAUGAAAAGAUCCCAAAGAGGACAAAUGAGAGAUAAAUAGAAAGAGCCAAAGGGCCACAAAAAAAUAAAAACAAUAAAAAGAAACAAAAAAUAAAUAAAAAAUAGGGAAGGGGCAACACUACUAUUCCCUUUGAAAGAUCCACACUCGUACUCCAUUGUUAUACUUGUACUCCAUAGAGAUUAUCAUUCAUGCAUAACUUUGUGGGGACCCUUAUACUAUAGAACUUGGCUUGUAUAUUCCAAUGAUGAGCAUCCUAAAAUGAGCUCUAGGUCUUCAUGAGCAAGCAAUUUGGAUACACCCCACUAGUUCCAUUGGAGUGCUUACCUUAGCUCAUAUGUGCAUCCGUUGCAUGGCAAUCCCUACUCCUCACAUCAUAUCUAUCAUUUGGCUUCCUCUCGCCUAUGGUUGUCCUCAUUGAUGAGCCUUUCACACCCUUUUUAUCUUCCUUCCCCAUCAUUAUUCUAUUUGCCAUCCUAAGUGCCAACCUAUCUUGCUUGCGCUCAUCCAUUGCAUGAGUGCUCAAAGUAGAAAGGGAGAGGAUCAUUUUGACUUGUGCCUGACUAGUGGUCUGGGGAUGCGUCAGAAUAAGAUUCUGAAGGAGACCAAGUGUGAAGUUUAGUAGAUUGAGUUCUCAAUUAAAAAAUAUAUUUUAUGCUCUAAACCCAUCUCCCAUUUCUUGCACGCAAACACCAUUUGGAGACAUUCGAGUCACGGACAGCGAGAGCUCUUGCACCUUUAUGUUUUUACUUUGCUAUUUUCAAUACUAGAUAUAGACUCUUGCUUGUUAUUGUAUUGACUUGAAUUGCAUAUUUACUUUCUUUACUUUGAAGUUCUUAUAUGUGUAUUAGUAUGUCACCACAGAAAUUAUUUGUGUUAUCAUUUACCUACUCGGGGACGAGCAAGAAUUAAGCUUGGGGAUGUUGUAAGUCCCAAAUGUAUCUAUAACUUCUUCUUGUUCCAUGAUCUUUUUGGUGACAUUUUUAUAUGUUUUGCUACACUUUCAUAUCUUUUUACUCAUAUUUGGACUAACCUACUAACUUAGUGCACCCAGUACAAGUUUCUAUCUGCUGAUGUCUUUUUUGCAGGGGCUUUUACCCAAAUUUCCACAGCCUCAAAAAUCCCGAGAAAAAUAUAUAAAAAUCAGCGUGACGGAAGCUUCACGAAGCACGAAGAUGGCCCAGAAGGGAGCCAGGGGCUGCCCAGGUGGCCUCCCUGCAUGGCCUCGCCCCUGGACGCGCCCACAGGUCUCCUGGGUGGGUCACACCUCCUGUGGUGCCCUCCUUCGUGUUGGAAAUAUUCCCUAGAGGCAAUAAUAAUUAGUUAUUAUUAUAUUUCUUUGUUCAUGAUAAUCGUUUAUUAUCCAUGCUAUAAUUGUAUUGAUUGGAAACACAGUGCAUGUGUGGAUACAUAGACAAAACACUGUCCCUAGUAAGCCUCUAGUUGACUAGCUCGUUGAUCAAAGAUGGUCAAGGUUUCCAGGCCAUAGGAAAGUGUUGUUACUUGAUAACGGGAUCACAUCAUUAGGAGAAUCAUGUGAUGGACUAGACCCAAACUAAUAAAUGUAGCAUGUUGAUCGUGUCAUUUUGUUGCUACUGUUUUCUGCAUGUCAAGUAUUUGUUCCUAUGACCAUGAGAUCAUAUAACUCACUGACACCGGAGGAAUGCUUUGUGUGUAUCAAACGUCGCAACGUAACUGGGUGACUAUAAAGAUGCUCUACAGGUAUAUCCGAAGGUGUUCGUUGAGUUAGUAUGGAUCGAGACUGUGAUUUGUCACUCCGUGUGACGGAGAGGUAUCUCGGGGCCCACUCGGUAAUACAACAUCACACACAAGCCUUGCAAGCAAUGUGACUUAGUGUAAGUUGCGGGAUCUUGUAUUACGGAACGUGUAAAGAGACUUGCCGGUAAACGAGAUUGAAAUAGGUAUGCGGAUACUGACGAUCGAAUCUCGGGCAAGUAACAUACUGAAGGACAAAGGGAAUGACAUACGGUAUUAUAUGAAUCCUUGGCACUAAGGUUCAAACGAUAAGAUCUUCGUAGAAUAUGUGGGAUCCAAUAUGGGCAUCCAGGUCCCGCUAUUGGAUAUUGACCGAGGAGUCACUCGGGUCAUGUCUGCGUAGUUCUCGAACCCGCAGGGUCUGCACACUUAAGGUUCGACGUUGUUUUAUGCAUAUUUGAGUUAUAUGGUUGGUUAACGAAUGUUGUUCGGAGUCCCGGAUGAGAUCACGGACGUCACGAGGGUUUCCGGAAUGGUCCGGAAACGAAGAUUGAUAUAUAGGAUGACCUCAUUUGAUUACCGGAAGGUUUGCGGAGUUACCGGGAAUGACGAAUGGGUUCCGGGUGUUCACCGGGGGAGGGGGGGCAACCCACCCCGGGGAAGCCCAUAGGCCUUGGGGGUGGUGCACCAGCCCUUGGUGGGCUGGUGGGACAGCCCAAGAAGGCCCUAUGCGCCAAAGGAUAAGAAAUCAAAGAGAAAGGAAAAAAAGGGAGGUGGGAAAGGAGAGAAGGACUCCACCUUCCAAACCAAGUUGGACUCGGUUCGGAAGGGGAGGACUUCCCCCCCUUGGCUCGGCCGACCCCCUUGGGGCUCCUUGAGCCUCAAGGCAAGGCCCCUCCCCUCCCUCCUAUAUAUAGUGGGGUUUUUGGGCUGAUUUGAGACAACAUUGCCAUGGCAGCCCGACCACAUACCUCCACGGUUUUUCCUCUAGGUCGCCUUUCUACGGAGCUCGGGCGGAGCCCUGCCGAGAUCAGAUCACCACCAACCUCCGGAGCGCCGUCACGCUGCCGGAGAACUCAUCUACCUCUCCGUCUCUCUUGCUGGAUCAGGAAGGCCGAGACCAUCGUCGAGCUGUACGUGUGUUGAACGUGGAGGUGCCGUCCAUUCGGCACUAGAUCGUGGGACGGAUCGCGGGACGGUUCGCGGGGCAGAUCGAGGGACGUGAGGACAUUCCACUACAUCAACCGCGUUCACUAACGCUUCUGCUGUGCGAUCUACAAGGAUACGUAGAUCGGAAAUCCCCUCUCGUAGAUGGACAUUACCAUGAUAGGUCUUCGUGCGCAUAUGAAACUUUUUUUUUCCCAUGCGACGUUCCCCAACAGUGGCAUCAUGAGCUAGGUUCAUGCAUAGAUGUCUUCUCGAGUAGAACAGAAAAGUUUUUGUGGGCGGUGAUGUGCGUUUUGCUGCCCUCCGUAGUCUUUUCUUGAUUCCGCGGUCUUGUUGGAUUGAAGCGGCUUGGACCGACAUUACUCGUACGCUUACGAGAGACUGGUUUCAUCGCUACGAGUAACUCCAUUCCUCAAAGAUGACCGGCGAGUGUCGGUUUCUCCAACUUUAGUUGAAUCGGAUUUGACCGAGGAGGUCCUUGGAUGAGGUUAAAUAGCAAUUCAUAUAUCUCCAUUGUGGUGUUUACGUAAGUAAGAUACGAUCCUACUAGAUACCCAUGGUCACCACGUAAAACAUGCAACAACAAUUAGAGGAUGUCUAACUUGUUUUUGCAGGGUAUGCUUGUGAUGUGAUAUGGCCAACGAUGUGAUGUGAUAUAUUGGAUGUAUGAGAUUAUCAUGUUGUAAUAGUUAAUAUCGACUUGCACGUCGAUGGUACGGCAACCGGCAGGAGCCAUAGGGUUGUCUUUAAACUAACGUUUCUGCUUGCAGAUGCGUUUACUAUAUUGCUAGGACGUAGCUUUAGUAGUAGUAGCAUGAGUAGCACGACAACCCCGAUGGCGACACGUUGAUGGAGAUCUUGAUGAUGGAGAUCAUGGUGUGACGCCGGUGACAAGAAGAUCAUGCCGGUGCUUUGGUGAUGGAGAUCAAGAAGCACGUGAUGAUGGCCAUAUCAUGUCACUUAUGAAUUGCAUGUGAUGUUAAUCCUUUAUGCACCUUAUCUUGCUUGGAACGACGGUAGCAUUAUGAGGUGAUCUCUCACUAAAAUUUCAAGACGAAAUUGUGUUCUCCCCGACUGUGCACCGUUGUGACAGUUCUUCGUUUCGAGACACCACGUGAUGAUCGGGUGUGAUAGACUCAACGUUCACAUACAACGGGUGCAAAACAGUUGCACACGCGGAACACUCGGGUUAAGCUUGACGAGGCUAGCAUGUGCAGACAUGGCCUCGGAACACAUGAGACCGAAAGGUUGAGCAUGAAUCAUAUAGUUGAUAUGAUUAGCAUAGAGAUGCUUACCACUGAAACUAUUCUCGACUCACAUGAUGAUCGGACUUGAGAUAGUGGAUUUGGAUCAUGUACCACUCAAAUGACUAGAGAGAUGUACUCACUACAAGGAAUAUGCUAAUACACGACGCUAUAUUUUCGUCGCUACAUCGUCAUGGUUUUUAGUUUACGACGAUCUCACGACGAAAAACCAAGCGUCGAAAACGGAGCGUCAGAAAUGAACAACAGCGAUGUUUUGAUCAAAAUCGUCGUAACCUUUACGACGGUUCUUGGAUUGCCGUAACCUUUACGACUAUCCUAAAUCAUCGUUGGCAAUCUAACCCAGUCCUACAUGGCAAAAUUACGACGAAAUCAAAACAUCAUGGUUGAAAUCAGCCCAACCCAUUUCAAUUGAUCACAUGGGCUGAUUUUAUUUUUUUGGGCUUUUUCUUAUUGGGCUUCUUUUUGGACCUUAGCCCAUUUAUAGCCACUUUUAGUUUUUCUUUUUCGAAUUUUUUUUUGCGCCCUGACCUUUUAGUGCCCAAAUACAUUUGGUCCAGUUUCAGUUUUGGCCUUUUUUCAUUUUUGAAUUCAGCAAUUUUUUUUCCAGAACUUGGUUUCUUUUCUAUUUAUUGGGCAUUUUCAACCAAUUAUUUGUCCAAUAUUAAAUGCAGCACUAUUUAAUAUUCAAAUCAAGAAAACUCCAAGUCGAAUUAAAAUCAUCCAUCAUAUAACAUCACAUAAUACAUCUCCGAGGUUUACAUAACACAAUAACUUAUCUCAUUCACAGUUGACAAUCAGAUACCGGUUUUCACAGCUAAAGCAUCAACCCAGAAGAAUCUCAAAAGAAAAUACAGAAAUUAGCACUCGCUGUGCAGAAGUCAUCCUGCUCUUGCUUCCCCACUCCUAGUUUUGCAUCCCUGAUACCAGCUUUUAUGGGCUCUAGUAUACCUGCAUUCAAACAAAGUAAUGUAUUAUUGAGGCGCAUGACCUAGAUGGCAAUGCUAAAUUGUAAAACGUCUUUCAAAGAACAAAAUAUCAUCUCAGGUGAAACUGUAGCGUAAGUUUAAACAAAAUAUGAGGCAGAAAGAGUUUGUGACUAGUAGUACCAUCCAGACUCUAACAAAGGGAUACAUACACAGGAUCCAAGAUAAUAGAAGGACAAAUCAGAGAGUUAACAAAAUGUCGUGGCGAAAUACCGAACUACACUAAGUUGCAUAAUACCACAUACUUCUAUGCAUUAAUGCAGAAUAUAAAGCUCACAUAUUGAUUACUGAAAUUAUUUCCCUUCUGCUUCAGUACAAUAGGUAAAUUAGAUUUUAAAUUCAUAGGAUAAUCUGAUCCUACUGGAAGGAAGAGGCAGUUUAGAAAUUGAUGAACUGCAUUUUACUUUACUGUGUCAAUCAUAUCAAAGAGAGUAAUAUACUAAUAUGUAGACUGCUUGUUGCAAAAGAAGAGAUCGACUGCUUCUGGAAUAUAUAUUCAUGUUUUAAAAGGAUAAAAAUGUUAGGAAGGAAUGAUAAAUCCUGUAUGGUGGAACCAAACUCAUAGAAUAGCUCAGGAGGUGUAAAGGACUGAGAUCAACAAAUAAAAACUCCUGGAAUUAUCGAACUACACUAAAUUCAAGCAUGUCAUCAUGCCUUCUCAAAAAUGUCACCAUGCCUUUAGGAAUUUAGUUGACAUGAAAUUUUCCAUGCACGAAAAGGAUAAAUGUAGAAUCAACAAAACCAGCAAUGCAGGACAAAAAAAUCUACUUACAACAGUGACUCAAUCAUGACCUUAAGUUCAAUUUGAUAUGCUCAAUAAAUAGUAAAUAACACAUACAAGAAAGCAUGUAUUCCUCAGGAGAAGGGAAUGUAUCAUUGGUCUAGUAAGUAUAAUAUCACCUGCGUCAAUGAAGUAGCCGCAUGCAUGUUUUUUUAAUGAUCAAGCAUUGAAAUGUGUCUCAUUGUGUAUUACAAAAGCUGCAUGCAUGUGGGAAACUCUUGACACAAGAUAGAUGUGAUAACUGAGAGCAUGAUAGGUUAUUACAGAGAGGUAGGUAAGCACAAAUGUAAAGAUCUGAGUGGACUUGUGGAUAAUGCAUCCGAAAUGGGUUUUCUUUUUGUAUGAUUCACACUUAUAUGAUGCAGGAUAGGUGAUAGUUCAGUUUAUAAUUGCAUCCUGCAUGCUACUAAUAGAAUUUUACAAUGUUGAUUAGAUAGAACAAGCAUAGCUGUGCAGACUAUACAUUCUUUCUAUUAUUUUGGGAGAGAGUAUAAAUUUGAAUCGUUGGCUGCAGCAAUUUUGCUGUGUUAAAUAAUACAUCUGAAUAUACAGCACUGAACAAGCAUAAUUAGAAUCAAGCACACCAAGAAAGAUGACUUAUUUUUUGUGCUACAAAAGCAUGUACACCAGCAGGAGUUUUACAACAAAACAAAGCUCUGUCAUUGUAGUGCAGAAAUGGUAGAGGUUGAUCUGUGCAGCAAAGUGCAGAGACCCACAGAAGGAUACUCCAUAGUCCUAACAAUCAGGUAGAUCAAGGCCAGAUAUACGACAAUGCACAGACAAUACUAGCAUCUAACGGUUUUAUAUAGAUAGACAGAAUCGAAAUCGCGUACAGGAUGCAGAGCAGCAGAGCAGAGGACACCGGCCGGAGGGACGGGUAUAAAAAAAUGGUUGAUUUAUUUGGGGGUUAGCAGCAACUAGCUAGUACCAUCAGGGCUGUAUUCAUCUUUGAAAUAGGACAUGUGUAGCAUCUGGCCGCUAGAUCUUCCGUUACUGAUGAGCUCGUCACGGAAAGAAGGGUCGACCUCGCGAAGGGCAAAGGGCACGAUGUAUCACAAUUAGCGUCUUGAGCGCAACCUAACGAAUCAGAAACGAAAGUUUAUCAAUCAUAAGCACCAUUUUCUUUUUCUAAAGUAAGCAUCAAGAAAGAAAGUAAGCAUCUUCUAUAUAUCCAUGAUUGACUUGAACGACAUCUCACCGUUUCCAUCUUCUAUAUAUCCAUGAUUUUCUUUUUCUAAAGUAAGCAUCAAGAAAGAAGAAUGACAAUCAAAUUUCACACAAAAACUGCAGCAAUACUUGUUGUUAUGUUGUGUCCAUAACAAUCGCAAUUGAUGUCCACUUCAGAUCAGAUUUGGAAGGGGUAGAAAGAUAGGUUGGAGCUCACCAUGUGUGGAGUAGGAGGUGGAUGCAGGGGAGGGGUGGAUGACGUCCUGUAGCAGAACCUUCUCCUCAUCAGAGCAACCUGCACAUAACAUAGGUAGGGGAGAUGAAUAAAUGAUGGUGAGAAAAGGGCCUUCAACAUGUUCAUAUUGUGAAGAGAAAUAACAACAAAAAUACAAAACAGAAAAAGAACCUUCCGUGACAUGCUGUACUAGGAGCAAAUCCUCUCUCUCCGCUAGGGUUUGGGGCGCUCAGAGGCUCCAUGGGGCCGCUGCAUGGUGGGGGGAAUGGGACUCCAUAUCCAUGGCGGCAUCCCGUCCCACAGAGGUGUGCCCCUCCUGUCAUCGUUUUUGGCACGCCAAUGACGACCUACAGAGAAGGAAGAGAACAUGAGGUGAGCCGAGGAGGAGAUGGUGGGCGAUGGAGGGGAGAGGCUUACCGGUGCUGUAUUCGGGCACCUCUGACCUCACCGUGGCCUUCCGUGGUGGAUCCCGACGAACAAAAGGGGGAGCCGCGGAUCUGCACGGAGGUAAGGGGGGCGCGGACCAAAGGGAUCUCGCCGGUGUGCUGCGUGCGGAUGGAGCUCACCGGAACCGGGUGGUGUGGGUGGCGGCGGUGCGGGCGGCGGCGCGGGCGGCGGCGAGGGAGAGGAGUUCAUGCGGAGAGACGAGGCGACUUGGGUUGGGUGGGUUAGAGCGAGAGAGAGCUCGUGGGCCGCUGGAGGACGCACCGCCGGAUCUCACCGGAUAGGAGCCAUCGAUUCACGAUGGAGAUUGUCGGGAUUGUGCACGGGAGUGGUGGCGGCGUUAAGGGAGGAGUAAAGCUCUAGGGUUCCUGCGAGAUACAGAGAUAGAAAGGUUAGGAGGGGAGGGAGGGCCGGCGCGGUCGGCGGUGGCGCUGUGCGUGAGGGGAGGGAACGUGGGAGAGAGAGUUUUCCUCUCUAUGCGUGGGAGGGAUGGGGUGGCGGCGUGGGGUGGCGGCGUGGGGUGGACUGGGAGGCUGUGGGUGGAUUUAGGGUUAGACGGGGGUUAAAUACCCCCGGUUAGGUGGGCUGGAUGGGGCCGGCCCAGUUUGGGCCGAGGGGGUUUCUUUUCCCUUUUUAUUAGUUGUUUCUGUUUUUAUUUCAUUAUUUAACAGAUUUUCUUAUUUUAGCGCAAUAAAACCCCUUAAAAUUAACAAUUUCUAAAGUUAAAUUCUCUUAGGUAAUAUUCGACACACCCGAACAUUUUUAUUUUGACAUUCGAAAACUUUUAUCGCCUGACUUUAUUUUUAAAUUUUAACAUGGUUGGAAACAUCUACGGUUUUAAAUAUUAGUUUCAAAGUGCUAAAAAGAAGUAGAUUUUUUGAAUCGGCUAUAAAAAAUAUUGUGCAAAAGGGCGUCACUAAAAUAUUCACCCAAUUAUAUCACAUUUUAUGUAUGAUCACCGAGUUGUAUGCAUUUCCGACCUUUCUAGCUAUUUUUGAUCAUUUAUACAUAGACAUAGUUUGACUUUUAAAAAAACUAAUACACCUUAUAUUUUGGAAUGGAGGGAGUAGUUUCUAAGUGCUAAAAAUAAGUAGAUUUUUUGAAUCAUCUAUAAAAAAUAUUGUGCAAAAGGGCAUCACUGAAAUAUUCACUCAACUUAGACCACAUUUUAUGUAUUCACUCAACUUAAAAUUCAAAAAAAAAUCAAAAAAAUAGAAAACCUUCACAUUGUGUCAUUAUAUGUGACAAAGUUACUAGGUAAAAUAAUAACCUUGUAAUAUGGCAAGUAUUUUUAAAAAAUGUUCUCGAAAAUGAGCUAUCAUGUGUGAAGAUUAAUGGCUUUCAAGCCAAAUGAUCAAUCUUAUGGUCACAUUCAUGGCAUAGUUUGUUCAAAAGAUCUAAUAUUUUGCACAAGGGUGCAUAUUGAAAUGGCAAACAAUGCUACUUAAGGAAGUUUUCAUUUUCCUUGCAUGAAAAAUUCAUUUUCCAUUUUUAAGUGCCCAAAAUGAGUUUUUUUGUGAAGGGCCUACCAUAUAUUUGUAACAAAAUUGUACCAAAUCAUUUUUCUAACAUACUAGGACAUAUUUAAUGUACAAUUGACCAAAUGGUUGGGUGUUAAUGGAUUUUAUGGACCUCUCGUGAAAAAGACAAAUUUUCGUUGAAUCAGCUGAAAGCGGGUCAAAUUUGAACUGCAUCUACAUUAUAGUUUGCUCUUUAUUUUUCUUAAAAAUCAUUUUAGGUACACAAGUAUCUAUUUAAUCGUAGAAACACCAAAAUAUUGUCAAGGUUCAACCCUAGGUAGGAACGGUCAUACCCGAUGUUUUGACCGCGUUUUGAAAUGACCAUGAAAAAUUCAAAACAAAUUCAAAAAAAAUGGAAAACCAUUGCAUUGUGUCAUUAUAUGUGACAACGUUACCAGGAAAAAUAAUAAUCAAGUAAUGCGACAAUUAUUUUAAAUAAGUGUUCUUAAAAAUGGGCUAUCAUGUGUGAAGAUUCAUGGCUUUCAAGCCAAAUGAUCAAUCUUAUGACCACAUUCAUGACAUAGUUUGUUGAAAUGAUAUAAUAUUAUGCACAAGGGUGCACAUUGGAAUGGCAAACAAUGUUGAUUAAGGAAGUUUUCAUUUUCCUUGUAUGAAAACUUCAUUUUCCAUUUUUCAAGUGACCAAAAUGAGAAGGACCUACCAUAUAUUUGUUUCAAAAUUGGACCAAAUUAUUUUUAUAAAAUACUAGUCCAUAUUUAAUGUACAAUUGACAAAAUGGUUGGGUGUUAAAAUCUUUUAUCCACCUCUUGUGAAAAAGACAAAUUUAUGUUGAUUCAGCUGGAAGCGGGUUAAAUUUGAACUGCAGUUGCAUUAUAGUUUGCUCUUUAUUUUUCCCAAAAAUCAUUUAUAGGUAUAUAAGUAUCUAUUUAAUUAUAAAUACAUGGUGUGGUGCCUUGACGUCGAGGUUUGGAUGGUGGUCGAGGGCCCCAACUCCAAAGCGCGUGAACUUGGAUGUCAGCCGCAUGGUCACCGCCUGACCGUUGCGUUGCCAUGCGUUCUAGGUGGAAUAGGCAUGUCUGGUGGGUUGGACAAUCCCUCGGUAGGUGUUAGCAAUAAGAAUACAAUAGAAGAAUCUCACGAGGAGACCGAACUAAGCUCAAACAUAAAUUAGCAGCCAAGUGAUUGAUUAGCGGUGCGGGUAAUUCACAUAGACAAUGGGACUAAAUUUUGGCUCAGUAUGAUCAUCUACUAAGGAGACUCUCUUGGCAAAUUUUUAGCUCAAAUGGAUGAAUAUAGGUGGCACUUGCUUGGCAAACUAACACAUUGUGCAGAAAUAUGGAUGUUGAAGAUGGGAUCAAAUGAAUGAAUGGAUUGAGCUGAAAUUUGGUGUAUGAUGUUAAUUUGGGCGUACGAAGGCACUGUAUAAAAAUUAUAACAUUUGGAUAUGCAAAAGUGACACUUCCUUUACAAUGUGCCAAUCUGGACAAAAAAUGGCAAUUGAAACUGGGUUCACAUAGAUGAUUGGAUUAAGCUGAAAAUUGGAGGAGGAUGAUAAUUUGGGCACAUUAAGGUACUGUAAAAAUUUCAUAAAAUUUGGAUAAAGAAAAAUUAUACUUCCUUCACAAUGCUCUCUACUGAACAGAAUAUUGGGAAAAAUAUUGAGGGAAACUGGCGGAAUUAAAUGAGUUAAAAUUUGGUGGAGUGAGGUUAUAUGGUCAGUGUCAUCCCAUGGUAAAUUUUCAUCAACUAUAAAGCAAUAUAAAGUCUAGUUGCUUCACAAAAUGAAAAUAUUACCAGAAACAAAGAUUGGAUGAUGAGCUCACAUGGAUUGUUAUAUGUGGCUAAAAUUUUAUGGAGAGCUAUGUUUUGGGCACAUAGAUGAUGUGGAAAUUUUUUAACUCAUCAAGAUAUUCUUAUCUAGUACUUCCUUCACAAAGCUGUUAGCUGAACACAAACUUUGGAAAUUUGCUGAGAAAGAUUUACUAGGCAAAUCGUUACGAAAGUUUUCAUGAGGCAAUGAUUUGGAUAGGAAAGAGUGCCCAAACAAUAUGAGGGUAAUCAAAGAAAUAGAAAUAGAACUUCCUUCACAAAGUGCUAUUCUGAACAGAAUAGGAAAAUGAAUAUUUUUGAAUUAUUUUUGAACUAUGGAAGGGAGGUUUUUCACAUAUUUGAGAAAUAUAUAGUCCAAAGUAUUUAUGAGAUUUUUUCGAGAAUUUUCGAAAUGAUAGAAUAGUAGGUUGCUUCACAAACUAGGAUUAGAUGGGAUAGAAUGGACCCACGAGUGACAUGUCAACAUAGUUAGAACAUGUUACGACAUUUCUACAAUCGUCGUAAAAGUUAUGACGAUCUCAUCUUAUGCGGUUACGAUGUUUUGACUCACAUCGUCGUAAUUUAUAUGUAGAUUUGAUCCCCUCAAACGGUUUACGAUGAUCUCGGAUGAAAUCAUCAUAGAUUUAUGACAAAUUUGUCAACGACAUUUUAAAAAACAUCACAUAUGAGCAUAUUUCUUGUAGUGACUUUUUGAGUGGGAGUUCUUAAGUAAUAUGAUUAAUUGAACUAAUUGUCAUGAACAUAGUCUAAUGGUCUUUGCGAAUUACGAUGUAGCUUGCGCUAUAGCUCUGCUGUUUUUAUAUGUUCCUAAAGAAAAUUUAGUUGAAAGUUGAUAGUAGCAAACUUUGCAGACUGAGUCUGUGAAACCGAGGAUUGUCCUCGUUGUUGCGCAGAAGGCUUAUGUCCUUAAUGCACCACUCGGUGUGCUGCACCUCGGGCAUCGUCUGUAGAUGUUGUGAACAUCCGACAUACACGUUUCUGAUAACUACACGAUAGUUCAGCACAAAAUACUUAAUGGCUUAGAAGCAAGGCGCCGAAGACGUUUUGAAACGUCACAGAACAUGAGAGAUGUUCUAAAGAGAUGAAAUUGUGAUUUCAUGCUUGUGCCCUUGUUAAGAGGUAUGAGACCUCCGACAAGAUUCUUUGUCCAUGAAGUAAAGGAGAAAAGCUCAAUCAUUGAGCGUGUGCUCAGAUUAUCUGAGUACGACAAUCGCUUGAAUCACGUGGGAGUUGAUCUUCCAGAUAAGAUAGUGAUGGUUCUCCAAAGUCACUGCCACCAAGCUAUGAGAGCUUCGUGAUGAACUAUAACAUGUCCAGGAUAGAUACAAUGAUCCUUGAGCGAUUCGCGAUGUUUGACACUGCGAAAGUAGAAAUCAAGAAGGAGCAUCAAUAGUUGAUGGUUAGUAAAACCACCGAGUUUCAAGAAAGGCAAGGGCUAGAAGGGAUACUUCGUGAAACGGCAAAAUAGUAGCUGCACUAAUGAAGAGACCCAAGAUUAAACCCAAACCUAAGACUAAGUGCUUCUAUAAUGAGGGGAACAGUCACUAAGGCGGAGCAACUCUAGAUACUUGGUAGAUAAAAAGGCUGGCAAAAGUCGAAAGAAGUAUAUUUGUUAUAUAUGAUGUGUACUUUACUAGUACUCCUAGUAGCAUGAGGGUAUUGGAUACCGGUUCGGUUGCUAAGUGAUUAGUAACAUGAAACGAUUGCUACGGCGUAAACGGAGACUAGCUAAAGGCAAGGUGACGAUACGUGUUGGAAGUGUUUCCAAGGUUGAUAUGAUCAAACGUCGCACACUCUCCCUCUACCAUCGGGAUUGGUGUUAAACCUGAAUAAUUGUUAUUUGGUUCUUGCGUUAAGCAUGAACAUGAUUGGAUCGUGUUUAUUGCAAUACGAUUAUUCAUUUAAAGAGAAUAAUGGUUACUCUAUUUGCUUGAAUAAUCACCUUCAAUGGUUUAUUGAAUCUCGAUCGUAGUGUUACACAUGUUCAUGAUAUUGGUGCCAAAAGAUACGAGGUAAUGAUGAUACUACCACUUACUUGUGGCACUGCCGCUUGAGUCAUGUUGGUAUAAAUUGCAUGAAGAUGCUCCAUGAUGAUGGAUCUUUAUACUCACCUGAUUUUAAAUCACUAGUGACAUGCAAAUCAUACCAGAUGAGCAAGGCCUUGUUUUCAUUGAGAUGAAACAAGAUAGUAACUUGUUGGAAGUGAUACAUUUUGAUGUAUGCAGUCCAAUGGGUGCUGGGCACGCAAUGGAUAUCAUUAUGUUCUUACUUCAAUGACGAUUUGAGUGGAUACACGAGUAUUUACUUAAUGAAUCACAAGUCUGAAAUAUUGAAAAGUUCAAUUCUGUUUCGGAGUGAAGUUCGUCGUAACAAGAGGAUAAACUGUCCACGAUAUGAUCAUGGAAAUGAAUAUCUGAGUUACAUGUUUUGGUACGCAGUUAAGACAAUGUGGAAAUUGUUUCGCAGUUCAGGCCACCUGGAAAAUCAUAGUGUGAUGAUGUGUCUGAAUGUCAUAGCCAUGUACUAUUUGGUAUGGUGCAUGCUAUGAUGUCUCUUAUCGAAUUACCACUAUCGUUUAUGGGUUAUGCAUUAGAGACAACCACAUUCACUUUAAAUAGGGCACCGCGUAUUUCCGUUGAGAUGACACAGUAUAGACUGAGGUUUAGAGAAAUCUAAACUGUCGUUUCUUGAAAGUUUGGGGCUUCGACACUUAUGUGAAAAAGUUUCAGUCUGAUAAGCUCGAACCCAAAGCGGAUAAAUGCAUCUUCAUAGGAUAUCCAAAACAGUUGGGUACAUCUCCUAUCUCAGAUCCAAAAGCAAAGUGUUUGUUUGUAGAAACGGAUGCUUUCUCGAGGAAAGGUUUCUCUCGAAAGAAUUCAGUGGGAGGGUGGUAGAACCUGAUGAGGUUACUAAACCAUCACUUCAACCAGUGUGUAGUAGGGCGCAGGAACUUGUUCCUGUGGCGCCCACACCAAUUGAAGUGAAAGCUGAUGACGGUGAUCAUCGAGCAUCAGAUCAAGUUACUACAAACCUCGUACGUCGACAAGGUCUCAUACUACUAUAGAGUGGUAUGGUAACCCUGUCUUGGAGGUCAUGUUGUUGAACAAUAAUGAACCUACGAGCUGUGGAGAAGCGAUGGUGGGCCCGGAUUCCGACAAAUGGCUGGAGGCCAUGAAAUCCGAGAGAGGAUCCAUGUAUGAAAACAAAGUGUAGACUUUGGAAGAACUACUUGAUGGUCGUAGGACUAUUGAGUAAAGUUGGAUCUUUAAAAGGAAGGCAGACGAUGAUGGUGAUAAGUCACUAUUAAGAAAAGCUCGACUUGUCGCAAAGAUGUUUCCGACAAGAUCAAACAGUUGACUAUGAUGAGACUUUCUCACUCGUAGCGAUGCUAAAAGUCUGUUAGAACUAUGUUAGUAGUUGCUGCAUUAUUUAUGAAAUAUUGCACAUAGGAUGUCAAAACAUUGUUUCCUCGACGGUUUCCUUGAACAAACAUUGUAUGUGAUACAACCAGAAGGUUUUGUCGAUCCUAAAUAUACUAGCAAGUAUCCAAGCACCAGCGAUCCUUCAAUGGACUGGUGCAAGCAUCUCGGAGUUGGAAUAUACACUCUGAUGAGAUGAUCAAAGAUUUGGGUUUGCACAAGGUUUAUGAGAAACUUGUAUUUCCAAAGAAGUGAGUGGGAGCACUAUAGAAUUUCUGAUAAGUAUAUGUGGUUGACAUAUUGUGGAUCAGAAGUAAUGUAGAAUUUCUGUAAAGCAUACAAGGUUGUUUGAAAGGAGUUUUUCAAAGGAAUACCUGGAUUGUGCUACUUGAACGUUGAGCAUCAAAGAUCUAUGGAGAUAGAUCGAAAGCGCUUAAUAGAAGUUUCAACAAGAUGCAUGCCUUGACAAGUGUUUGAAGGAGUUCAAAAUAGAUCAGCAAAGAAGGAGUUCUUGGUUGCGUUGUAAGGUGUGAAUUUGAGUAAGACUCAAAACCCGACCAUGGCAGAAUAAAGAGAAUAGACGAAGGUCGUCUUCUAUGCCUUAGCCGUAGACUCUAAUGUAUGCCAUGCUGGGUACCGCACCUUAUGUGUGCCUUGACUCAAAGUCUGUUGAGAGGUACGGAGAGUGAUCCAUGAUUGAAUCACUAGCAGCGGUCAAAGUUAUCCUUAGUAACUAAAUAGACUAAGGAUUUUUUGUCGAUUAUGGAGGUGGUUAAAGAGUUCGUCGUAAAGGGUUACGUCGAUGCAAGCAUUGACACUAAUCCGAAUAACUAUGAGUAGUGAAACGGAUUCGUAUAGUAGAGUAGAUAUUUGGAGCAUUUCCGAAUAGCACGUAGUAGCAGCAUCUAUAAGAUGACAUAAAGAUUUGUAAAGAACGCACGGAUCUGAAAGUUUCAGAACCGUUGACUAAAACCUCUCUCAUGAGCAAGACGUGAUCAGACCCCAGAACUAUAUGGGUGUUGGAUUCGUUGAAAUCACAUGGUGAUGUGAACUAGAUUAUUGACUCUAGUGCAAGUGGGAGACUGUUGGAAAUAUGCCCUAGAGGCAAUAAUAAUUAGUUAUUACUAUAUUUCUUUGUUCAUGAUAAUCGUUUAUUAUCCAUGCUAUAAUUGUAUUGAUUGGAAACACAGUGCAUGUGUGGAUACAUAGACAAAACACUGUCCCUAGUAAGCCGCUAGUUGACUAGCUCGUUGAUCAAAGAUGGUCAAGGUUUCCCGGCCAUAGGCAAGUGUUGUUACUUGAUAACGGGAUCACAUCAUUAGGAGAAUGUAACAUCCCAAUUUUACUAAUUGGGAGUGUUUCCUGGCCAUAGGCAAGUUCGCAUGUGAAUUCCUUCGACUAUUGCUUCUGCAUUUCUAUUUUUUCUUUCUUCACACGAGAAGUGUCGGGAAAUGAUCUCUUGCACGCAAGAGAGAGCGGAGGAAAAUGACCCUCCAAAGUGCGAGACAUUUUUGAAAUAUUUGGAGCCAAGAAAUCCAAAGUUUUAUCGUAAAAAUAAUUGCCAAAAAGAAAUAAAGCAUUUAUGGGAAUUUCUGAAAAACAUUUUUAAAAAAAAGUUUUUAUUUUUGCCUUGGAAAAAUGUUAAUCGAGUAGAGGAUAUUUUUCUGAAAUUUUUGGUAUAUAAUACCCUAUAUUAAUUAUUAUUUUUCGUUGCGUUUUUAUUUGUUUUAGUUUCUGUUUGUGAAAAAAUACUAAAACAGGAAACGUUUUUUUAAAGGAAACCGCCGCGUGCGGCAUUUAAGAGUUGGGCCGAAUCCCACUGUAGCCGGGAUCCUGAUCCCCUUCGGAUCGGUCGACCGCCCCGAGCAUCCCAGUCACCUCUCUCUCUCCCUCACUGCCAGCGGGCUGCACCGCCCGAACCCACCCCGAGUCGGUCAUCUCCUUCCUCUCGUCCCUCUCUUUCCUUAUAGCGCCCCGAUCCCCUUCCAAACUCAUCGGAGCCGAUCCCCUCUCCCCGGAUCUUCCUGCCCCUUCCCUCCCGAGGCCCCCUCUCCCCCUAUAAAUACCCCCCAGUCCCCGCACUCCGUUCCCCACCUCGCCACGCCGUCCCGCCGCCUCUAGACGCCCCUUGCUGCACCUCGCCGGAGCACCAGCACAGCCGAAGCUCCGGGCACUCCACUGCUCGCCCCCGGCCACGCCGCACCUCCGCGACGCCACCAGAAGAACGCCGGAGAUCGCCUCCGCCGCCCGGACGUCUCCCCCACCUCGGCCGACCACCGGAAUUGCCACACCGGCACCACCUCUUCUCCUUGGACCCUGCCGGAGUUCAUCUCCACCACGGUGAGCACCCCACCCCUCCUCCACCGUUAGAUCAGGAACCAACGCGCUAGAUUAGGAGUUAGGUACCCCUUCGGUUUUCAAGUAAAAACCCGAACGGUUUUCUGCCUCACUUACUUUUAGCCGUAGAUUUUCUUAAGUUUCGGCCAUUUGCCCAUUAUACCCGCAGCACACACCCCGCAGCAAUUCAGGGAUUGCCACGUGUCUGUUAGUAUUUGAUUUCUUUUUCUGUUUAGUUCCAAAAACAGAAAAGUUUCAAUUUUGUUUUGAGCAUAGCUUUUGAUCCCGAAGUCCAAUGAGGUUGAUUAUUUUUCCAGUAUAUCCCAAUUUUUCUGUAGUUUUGAAAAACAUAUAAGUUGUCUAUGUUUGAAAUUUUCAAAUUUGAAUUAGAUCAGAUUUAGUUUAAACCUUGUUUUGCUUAUUCCAGGAGUUUAAAAAAUGAUUUUGAGUUGAUUCUUUUUGCUACUGCUUCGUAGUGAUUAUAUCUUACAGUGGUAGAAGUUUCAAAGUUUUGUAAAUAUUUUUACUUGGGUUUUUGACAGAAACAAGUUUCUGCCUUAGUGACGUGUAGUGAAUUCUUUCACUUAGGCCGUAGCAACUCUUUACUUGUGAUGUUAUUUUACUUGUUGUUUGAUUGUAGUGCUUAUGGUGUGUAUUUGUUUGUAUCGGUAUAUCACCCGGAGUGCGAAGCUUGUUACUUAGAAGCGCUCGAUCAAGACAACUAUCAUCAAGGCAAGUCAUUUUGAUCAUACUAUUUCCUAUGUUUUUCGACGCAUGGUAGUUUCACCUUUCUUUGCCCAAUUGCAUGCUGCUUAGGUACUUGGAAAUUUUAGUAUAGGUUGUACUAUCAUGUGGUAGGCACACAACAACCCCGAUACUUGGCCCCGGGACGACAAAUUUCAUAUUGCUAUGCUUGAGUAGACGGGAUUUCGGUUGAGUGUAUAACACGAGUGAUGCGAGGUUGAUUAAAUAAUCAAGACAGGUUAAGACAAGAUUUUCAAGAACUCGGAUGCAAUGCAACUCUGGGUGAAGGACGGUUGAUCGGCUCCCUGGAGAAACCAGUGGAUGACCCGGGAUGCUGGAGACGGCCAUGACACCUUGCGGAAAGCUUCACCCAGGCUCGAAGAGACGGAUGGAGACUUCAAGACCCAAGGCUUACCUGCACAGCCACAAGUCAUUAUGGGCUCUGGCUUGGUUGGACAACGCGGCGACUCUGGACAGGCGGUGCUAGUAGAUGUAGAAGAACGAUAGGAAUGGAUGGGCACCAACAGGGAUUUAGAGGGACCCGUUGAAAGAUCAUGUUUUGAUCAUCCGGUCUUCAAACACCCUAAAGUGCAAGGACAUACACGGAGGGGAUCAAAAUCUUGUGGGGAACGUGUGCAAAAACUCUGCAGAGUGCCCAACCUAAUCGAUUAGCCGUGUCCACGGUCAUGGACAACUUGAGCCGAAGGCAUUGAAAUUCCCCUGAACUCUCGACACAACUUAAUAAUGAUGUGGGUGUUAACAACAACUCGGGUACGAGAAUUGGUUGGCGGAACCAUCUCGUUAACAACAAACAAUGUAGUAAUAUUUUGCUUCCAGCCCCUCUUGUUGUAGGAUAACAUUGGCUUUAUGCAAAACUUAUAGCCCACCUGCCAAAUAUGAUGUAGACAUAGUUGAUUAUUAUUUUUACCCCUCUCUCUGAUGACUUGCCGGCAUAUUCCAUAUGCUGACCUACACGGCUGCAAUGUAUCAUGUUGCAGAGUACUUUUCCGACCAGGAGUGAGACUAGGAUCUACGCUCAGCGACAUGCCCUGGAGUCAGAUGGACUCGUCUACCUGAUGCUUCCGCUAGUCUUCGUUAGAUAUCUCAUGAGAUGGCCUUCAGCCACUUUAUUGUAAUCCAUUAUUGUAAUAAAGUACGCGUUAUGAGAUUUCGAUUAAUAAAGCUGUGUGAUUGAACUCUUGAUAUAUACAUUGAUGUACUGAGUGUGUACCAGCAUGAUCUUGGGAUGGUACGGAAACACCAGAGGCUUGACUCGUCUUGAGUCGGGUUGCUACAGAAAUGGUAUCAGAGCACACGCUGACCGUAGGACGUAACCUCUAGGAAUGGAAAAGCCUUAGGAAGAAAACUAUUUUCUUAUGUCUAUAAAUCUUCUAUUUCCUCUUCUGAUCAUUUCUGACUUCUCUCCGAUUUUCCAAUGUUUUAGAUGGCCACCUUCAUCCCCGUUAAGUUCACGGAGAUUUGCCAGCCCGACGCCACUAUGCCUUUCGGAAAGGAGAUGGUACAAAUCACCAAGGACUUGAGGAUUGCUCUACCGACUAUCACAAGGAAGCCGACUUCGUCUUACCCGAAGGAUUCGCGCUACAGGAUCGAGGUGCACGUUCCCGGAAGGACAUUCGAGCAGCGCACUGAGCCGGUGGAUUUCAAGUUCAUUGCACCCAACUGGAUUCUCGGAAGGGACAUGGCGGUCCAUUGUGCACUCGGACGUAUCAAGGAAGUGUACAGAGGCUGCCCUAUUUCAUCGGACCUAUUCAUGGUUUCCCGGAGAAGAGAAGAUGGAGAAAUCAUCUCAAGCAAGACCAAGGAUGCUCUCAUGUCCUAUGCCGAGACCUUGGAGAAGCACAGCGGGACUCUGGAGCAUCGUGUGAUCAAGGACGCCAGGAAGAUCAAGCAACCGUCGCUCCGCGAACUCGAACUCGAAGAAGCAGCCCGGGAAGCCCACUAUGAGCAUGAACUGGAGGUGAAGGACUUUCUGGAGAGGAUCGAGAAGCUGAAGACUCGAGUUGCAUACCUGGAGGAGGAACUGGACAUGGGCGAGAACCUUCAUCCCGAAGGAGACGUAGCCCCCUUGAUCAGCAAUGAUGAGGACUAUGAAGAAAGCUCCACCGAAGGACCCACCACCAUGCUUUUUUGAGGAGGACACUUAGACUAGACCACCAAAUUUAUUUUAUCGUUUAACGCUUAGGCCGAUGUUUAGGUUAUCGAAUUUUGUAUCCCCGUGUGAACCUUUGUGAUGGUAUUGAAUAAAAUGUGUGGUGUGAUACUUGUUUGUUGCAUUUCAUAUGGGUAGUGUAAUUACUCUUAGACCAUUGUUCUAUGCUAAUCUCACCCCUCUACAAACAUCAGGUGCCUCCGAGACGUGCCCCUACUUCCAACUUUCCGCCGGAACUCACCCAGUUGAUUCAGCAACAGAAUACCCUGAUGCAGCUGAUCAUCCAGAACCAGAACAAUAACAACAACCAUCAUCCACCCCGGGCCGACAAUCUCACCCGUUUCCUGAGGUUGAACCCUCCGACUUUCUCCAGCAGCAUUGAGCCCAUUGUGGCAGUUGAUUGGCUCCGCAAGAUGGAGCGGGAACUUAUCACUGCUGGUUGUACUGAAGCUGAGAAGGCGCGCUUUGCCGCGCAUCAACUUGAAGGCCCUGCAGCUGCAUGGUGUGAGAACUACACCACCACAUACCCCAUUGCUGGAGUCACUUGGGAGCAGUUCAAGCAAGCCUUCCGUACCGCACAUGUCUCAGCUGGUGCAAUGAGUCUGAAGAAGCGUGACUUUCGCAACUUACGCCAGAGAAAUCGCUCUGUGGCUCAGUAUGUCGAUGAAUUCAGCAUGCUCGCCCGUUAUGCACCUGGAGAUGUGGCCGAUGAUGCGGCCAAGCAGGAAAAGUUCUUGGAGGGACUCAAUGAUGAGCUGAGCAUUCAACUGACUGUAGCCACCUUCAACAACUACCAGGAGUUGGUAGAUAAGGCCCUCAUCUUGGAGGGGAAACACCAGCAGAUGGAGAACCGCAAGCGUAAGUAUGGAAUGGAAAGUUCAACUCCGGCACUCAGCAGAAUCCUCGCUACACCCCCUAUUCAGGGAAUACCGGGACUGGAUCCGGUAAGUUUGGAGGACACGUCCACCAUAACCACCCAGUGCACAACCAUGGAGGCCACAACCAUGGAGGAAAUGGGAACCACCGCAACAACAGCAACUUCAAGAAUGGCGGUACUGGCACUCAGCAGCAUUCAGCUCCAGCUCAGAAGGAUCUGAAUCACAUCACCUUCUUCAAGUGUCAGAAGACGGGACACUAUGCCACUGAAUGUCCCCAGAACAAGCAGGGAAAUGGAAAUGGUGUUGGAAAUAUGCCCUANNNNNNNNNNNNNNNNNNNNNNNNNNNNNNNNNNNNNNNNNNNNNNNNNNNNNNNNNNNNNNNNNNNNNNNNNNNNNNNNNNNNNNNNNNNNNNNNNNNNNNNNNNNNNNNNNNNNNNNNNNNNNNNNNNNNNNNNNNNNNNNNNNNNNNNNNNNNNNNNNNNNNNNNNNNNNNNNNNNNNNNNNNNNNNNNNNNNNNNNNNNNNNNNNNNNNNNNNNNNNNNNNNNNNNNNNNNNNNNNNNNNNNNNNNNNNNNNNNNNNNNNNNNNNNNNNNNNNNNNNNNNNNNNNNNNNNNNNNNNNNNNNNNNNNNNNNNNNNNNNNNNNNNNNNNNNNNNNNNNNNNNNNNNNNNNNNNNNNNNNNNNNNNNNNNNNNNNNNNNNNNNNNNNNNNNNNNNNNNNNNNNNNNNNNNNNNNNNNNNNNNNNNNNNNNNNNNNNNNNNNNNNNNNNNNNNNNNNNNNNNNNNNNNGUAUCUUUUCCUUCGACCGUGAGAUUGUGCAACUCCCGGAUACCGUAGGAGUGCUUUGGGUGUAUCAACCGUCACAACGUAACUGGGUGACUAUAAAGGUUCACAACGGGUACCUCCGAAAGUNNNNNNNNNNNNNNNNNNNNNNNNNNNNNNNNNNNNNNNNNNNNNNNNNNNNNNNNNNNNNNNNNNNNNNNNNNNNNNNNNNNNNNNNNNNNNNNNNNNNAUUAGAUUCAAAGCCAUAGUUUUCUAUUGACGUGGAGACAAUAAUAAUUCAAGCAAACUAGCAAAGUAAUCAUGAACUUUCAAAAUAACAAGGACAAAAGAAAUUUAUCCCUACAAAACCAUAUAGUCUGGCUAUGCUCUAUCAUCAUUGCACAACGAAUUUAAAUCAUGCACAACCCCGGUAUUGGCCAAGUAAUGGUUUCACACCUUUACUUUCUCAAACAUUUUCAACUCUCACGCAAUACAUGCGCGUGAGCCAUGGUUAUAGCACUAUAGAUGGUGUGGAAUGUGGUGGAGUUUGCAAGACAAAAAGGAGAAGAAAGUCACAUUAACUAGGCAUAUUAAUGAGCUAUGGAGAUGCUCAUCAAUAGAUAUCAAUGUGAAUGAGUAGCGAUUGCCAUACAAACGAUGCGCUAGAGCUACAAGUAUGUGAAAGCUCUUAAAGAAAACUAGUGGGUGUGCAUCCAACUUGCUUGCUCACGAAGACCUAAGGCAAUUUUGAGGAAGCCUAUGAUUGGAAUAUACAAGCCAAGUUAUAUAAUGAGAAUUUCACACUAGCUAUAUGGUGGUGACAAAACGAGAGACUCUCAAUCAUGAAGAUCAUGGUGCUCAAAAUGCACAGUGUGGAAAAAGUGGUAGCAUUGUCCCUUCUCUCUUUUUCUCUCAUAUUUUUUAUAUCUUUUUUUAUUUUGGUGGGCUCUUUGGCCUAUUUUUUUAUGGGCUUCUUUGGCCUAUUUUAUUUCCUCACAUGGGACAAUGCUCCAAUAAUGAUGAUCAUCACACUUUCAACUCAAAAGUUAGAGCAAUUAUGACUCUAUAUGGAAUGACUUUGGUAGUGUACCGUGGCAAUGAUCUAGCACGGCAUAGACAUCAAUGGAAACAUCAUGCUAGCUAUCUUACGAUCGUACAAAGGCAAAGUAGGCGUGGUGGCACAUAUCAUGGUGGUAGUUGCAUGGCGAUAUAUCUCGGAAUGACUUUGAAAAAGCCAUAGUAGGUAGGUAUGGUGGCUGUUUUGGGGGAGGCUAAUGGUGGGUUUUGUGCACCGGCAAAAGUUGCACGACACUAAGAAGAUAGUGAUGGUGGAAGGUGAAAGUGCAUCUAAACCAUGGAGUCAAUAUUAGUCAUGAAGAACUCAUAUACUUGUUGCAGAAGUUUUAUUAGUAAUCCAAACAAAGCAUUGAACGCAUACUCCUAGGGGAAGGGUUGGUAGGUAUAAACCAUCGUGCGAUCCCGACCGCCAUGCAAAGGAUGACAAUCAAUAGACUAAUCAUGCUCAGAUUUCAUCACAUAGCGGUUCACCAUACGUGCAUGCUACGGGAAUCACUAACUUCAACACAAGUAUUUCAAGAUCCAUAACACCUUACUAGCACGAUUUCAAUAUUACCAUAACCACAACUCAAAAAUAAUUGAGAUGAAUCAAACUUCUCUAACUAUUCAAUGCACAUGAAGGUGGAAGUUUUCGUAUCCCUUUGGAUAACUACCCCUUUUGAGACUACUUUCAAAGCAUAGAUCAACUACCAAGCCACGCACCACUGCGCUCUAAAAGAUAUAAGUGAAGAACAUAGAGCAAAAGUAUCUAGCUCAAAAGAUAUAAGUGAAGCACACACUACUAGGAAAAGGCCUGCUAGUGGCGCACCUGUUUUGGCUACUAAUGGCGCACUAUAGGUGCGCAACUAGCAUCACGCCAUUAGAAUUUUUUACUAAUGGCGCACCACAGGUGCGCCAUUAGUAUCNNNNNNNNNNNNNNNNNNNNNNNNNNNNNNNNNNNNNNNNNNNNNNNNNNNNNNNNNNNNNNNNNNNNNNNNNNNNNNNNNNNNNNNNNNNNNNNNNNNNNNNNNNNNNNNNNNNNNNNNNNNNNNNNNNNNNNNNNNNNNNNNNNNNNNNNNNNNNNNNNNNNNNNNNNNNNNNNNNNNNNNNNNNNNNNNNNNNNNNNNNNNNNNNNNNNNNNNNNNNNNNNNNNNNNNNNNNNNNNNNNNNNNNNNNNNNNNNNNNNNNNNNNNNNNNNNNNNNNNNNNNNNGGUGCGCCAUUAGUAUGUGGUAUACUAAUGGCGCACCAGGAAGUGCUCCAUUAGUAUAGCUCAUGGUGCGCCAUUAGUAUGCCUCCCAGGGGCCAUAUCUACGCAUGUGCUCUGGCUUACUAAUGGUGCACUAGUUGACGGCGCGCCACUAGUGUGCUUUUGCAGUGCGCCACUAGUAUGAAUAUUAGGUUUUUUUUUCUGAUAUUUGCACAGAUUACAAAACAUAUUAUUGCACAGAAUAUAGAGAGCACAACAUAUAAACAGCAGAUUUAUCGAAUACAAUAGAAGAUUAGUCUUCGAAUAUAAUUCAUCAUAUUAGUCUCCGAAUUUAAAAUACCGAACAAAGUUAGAACAUUACAAGUCUCGAGACCGCGAGUAGCGAGUUUGUCUUCACAUUACAAGUCGAUAUCGAUCAUCUAAACUACCAUCACAUAGAAGAGAGCUGCGGGCAUCACUACCAUAUGUGCAUGCGCUGCCAUCAUCAGUGGUGGCAUCCUCGGCGGCACCAUCAGUGGUGUCAUCCCCGACGUCACUAGGGGUUGUGUAGUCGGGAUCGGUGUCUUCCGCGACGUCCUCAUAGCGGUGAGGUUCUUCCUCCUUCUCCUGGGACGGCUCCCAAAAUGCCUUGCCCGAACCGCCGGCCACAUCGUUGUGGGCCAUGUUUUUCUCUAAAUAGGAAAAAAGUUUGGUCAAAAAGUUGGUUAUGGUCAAGGAACAAGAUCAUGGUCUCGUCAUUUAGGGUUUGUCGACACCGAGGCAUCCUAAAAGCUAAGUUUUUAUCAUUUAGGGUUUGUCAACGCCGAGGCACCCCAAAAGCCUAAGCUUUCAUCAUUUAGGUUUUUAUCGACACCGAGGCACCCUAAAAGCCAAGGUUUUAUAAUUUAGGGUUUGUCGACACCGGACCAUAGGGACAACAAGACAAGCCUUGUGGACGGACAUGCAAUGGGGUGUAGAAUUAGAAUAUGGAUUGCACAAAUAAAUGGUGCAUGCACUACAAAAAGGAGCCCAACACAGAAUUGCAAUCACAUCCUCAAGCAAGAUGAUGAUCAGUCACAAUAACACAAGACCACCACCACACAUCCAAACAAUAAAUCGCCAAUGGCUCGAUUACCAGCCGUUAUGUAUGUCCUGAUUGUGAGUGUGUGUGUGUGUCUGUGUGUGUGUGUGAGAGAGAGAGAGAGAGGUUAUGUAUGUCCUGAUUGUUCUACUUGGUAACAAAAGACUAUGCAAAAGUUAAAGAAAACUUAAAAAAGUAGGCAUAUAAAGCAUAGCAGUAUAUGUUCAUGUUCCUGAGCCAAUGAGUAAGCUAUUGCAGAUUAGGAGCCCCCUGGAUUUUUUAUAGUAGAAUAAAGCUACAAUUUUUCUUCUCCAAUUUAUUCCUUUUUCGACUAAUCACCAACCAAUACGCUCAAAUAGAAUGACGAUGUUCAUAGAAAUUUAUCUAAUCGCGACAACAUAACAAGUAAGCUAUGUACAUGGCAGGAAGGGGAAGAGGCAUGCCUGGAACGUCUAGGAUCUACAGGCCGUCGGGGGCAGGGGGUGGUGGGGAUGGAGGGGGGUUUACCACAGCAGGGAGCUCCCAAUCUUCUGUUCCAGGUGUAGCUUCACUUGUCUGCAAUUACAAAAGUAAUUUUCUUUAUCGGUCACUCGAGUCAAUUAAGCAUCAGGAGAAAGAUUGCAAUUGAAAAGGACCCUUAGGUCAACCAACAAAAGUUUGCACAGGGAAAGGAUCCUCAGGUCAACCAACAAAAGUUUAUUCAGAAAGACUAAUUUUUCAAAAAAAACAAUCGAAAAUGUACCUCUAAGACUAAAUGGUUAAAAACUUGGUUUCUACUGUUCGUGCACUGAUGGAUGGCUGAUUGCAAUUAAGCAAGGAUUACAAAAAGUGUGGCAAGCACAUAAAUAUUUAUGCAGUCUAAUUGGUAAUUUAUUGAUAUUAAUUGGUGAGUUAAGUAACUAACUAGAUCCUGCGAACAUUAUGGCAUAAAUCUCUAACAUUAUUUCCAGCAAAGUUAAACAUUAAGAGAAAAUGCACAUGGUUAAUCAAAAGGUUUCUACUGAUCCAGCGUCCCAUUAAGGCAUAAAUGAACCUUCAACACGAGAAAAACACCUUGCAAAUUAAAAAAAUCAUAAAAGAAAAUAUGUGUAAACAAAAGUGCUUAUUGUUAGAUUCCAUGGCAUUUCGGUAUCUGCACAGAGAAGGUCGAAAAGAACACCAAUGGGUAUACACGUAACAAUGCGAAUAUAAAAAGGACUGUCAGCAAAUAAAAGCGACAUCAAUAACAUGGGUUCUCAAGAUUUAAUAAGCUGAAUAGACCAUCAUUGAUAUUAGUAGGAGAUAACAUAUGUUACCAUUUCAGUUGCAGCCCUUUAUACUCAAACCAAACAGUAUCAACACCUGGUGGGAGUGAGCUGCUGAAAUGAGCCUUUAUAGUCGACACCAACAAUGGAAAAUACCCAAUUCUUGGCCCUAAAGUCGGUUGUAGAAAAAAUAAAGGUCAAUAAAUGAAACAAAUACUCUUGUGGAAAGGAAGAUAAGCGCUUGGGUAGGAGUGGAAAUAGGAGUAAUGUAAUGUACGUGCUGCACACAGAUGUGUCAUUUUAUUGUGUUGCAUCUGCGGAUAAGAAGAACAGAAAUAGUGGCAAUCAUGUGGAAACUCUUUGUAACACAAGAUGCCAACAAAAACGAGCAGCAAUGGCCUCACAUGGCUAUCAGCUUGGACUGCAAGCUAAAAUAGAUAUAAGAGAUGAUCUCUUAGUAACAAAUCUCUCACCACAUUUUUAGGGAUAUCAAGUUAAUAGAUAUAAGAUUAUGAGACAACCCAUUGUACACCAUAAUUUUUUGACAUAUCUAAAUUACAUGGCACGAUUAAGAAUUUAAGAUAAGGCUGAGUUAUCAACCAUUCUACAUGCCCUAAGUUAGAUAGCAAUGUGAACGAGUGACACAAGAAAAUAUUUUAUCAUACAACAGCAAGUGAUGAAAUUUGUAGAUGUUUUAUCUUUUUUUCUUCAGCACAUCAACCUAGAGACUGACACAUUGCCAAACAAAUAUCUACCACCACUGCCGUUUUACAUGGCAGGUAUACCUGAAUCAUACUCUGAGGUACUCCAGCAAAAUGGCCAUUGUACUGCUCAAUUCGGUUCAUGACAGGAGCAAUUUCUGGCUCAUCGCACAGAAGGGAAGCAACUUGAGAAGGUACCAACAGCGUUAUGGGGCGACGACAAACAGGGCAACUGGAUGGGCGAAGGCCAGAUCCAUGUAGCCACACCCCCACAAUGCAAUGCCCUGUACACAAACAAAUGACAAUGACAGCAGUGAGAUAUUCUGUUUAUCAAUGGUCCAGGACCAAAACGUUCGCUAGAAGCCGAAAACACAAGGCCAAGUUAAGCAUCAAACCAAAGUAAGCAAAGGAGCAUAAUCCAGCAUUCCAGUACCAGCAAUUGGCAUUGCAGUGGACUCAAACAUUGCAUGAAUUAAUUAAGUUCCACAAGCGCACAUGGUCCAUAUAUACAUAUAACAUAAUGUCUAUGAAUGAUCGAACAUGAUCCGAGCUGCAAACCCUGCAUCAUAAUACAUUUGUUGAUGCCAAAUGCAUGGCCCUUACAAAGUGGCAUCAAAUUCUCCCCAAAACCAAGGAAAUAACACAGGCAGCAGAGCCUGCCUGUGUUACUGCACUUCCUAUGAUCGUGCUACAAAGCUGCAACAAGUAAUAUGAAUCAGAGGGUGUGCUAGUUUUUGUUCUUUCUUGUCAAAAAAAUCUAAAAUUUACAAUCUGCAGAGAUUACAGCAACCGUCUGAAGUGUCGAGCUCACAAGUGAAUGCGCAAAAUUCUGAAACAUCAAAUUUACAAAUCUUGCUACAGAUAAGAUAACAACCUGCACUUUCCCACAAAAAACUUAAAAUGACAUAACCGCCCCGGGCACCGUAAUAACACAACUGGUGGUAUCCUCAAAAUCAUCGACACGUCGAGAAUGCCAACAGUCGAAUAGCUCUUGGCAACAGGCGUCACCGUUAACAAGUUGAAGCAACAAAAACACAACCGCUAGACAACACACAAGAUUUGAACAGCACAAAUUUUACACAGCAUGCACAGGGUUAAACACGAAAAUGUAUAGGCAUCCGAUCAAAAUACACAGGGUAAGCUAAAUAAUAAUAGCACAGGGCUGUACUGGGUGAGAAAGGGGAACAAACUAUUCCUAGAGCAAUUGUUCUGCUCUUACAGGAUCUACCUUCUGGCUGCUAUAACUAUCUCCCAUGAUGUUACAGGUUGCAGCACAAUGAGAAUGCCGAAGGAAGAGAUUACUCACGAAAAUGGAAUCGAGGAACCAAAUCGAGCGCGCGCGGGCGCGGCGGCGCACGGGGCAGCCCAGUCCCGGACCUAGCGGGCGAAUGCGGGAGGCGGCGAGGGAGCUGGUGCUUACCGCAGAACCAGUGGGAGCUGUUGGCCUGGUGGGGGAGGGAGAUGUCGACGCUGCGGCACACGGCGCAGCGCGUGUCGAGGGGAGGGCAGGGGCUGUUUCUACCUAUACGGCAAAACGGCCGCGAAACGGCUGGUUCUGCACGUGCCGAGCAACUGCAGCCCCAGAUCUGGGGGAGGGAGUGGGUGAGAGGGAGAGGGGGGACCACCACCAUUGUCGGCGGCGGGGACGGGUGAGCUCACCUUCAGAGAUUGUGGUCUGGAUCUCGACGCACUUGACGACGACGUUGUGGUCGUUGAGGCCCUCCUCCUCCUCGAUGAGGUAGUCGUUGUAGCCGUUCUUGGCGCCGGCGGCGGCGGAGGCGGCGCCAGGGGUGACCUUGACCUUGGAGACGAUGAACCACUAUGCGAAGGCGAAGACGAUGCCGAUGACCCCACAGACGGGGAUGAGGAUCUCCGUCCCGAGCUCCCCGAGGAUCGCCAUGGCUGGCUGGCUGACGAAACCCUAACGACGGACCGGACGACGGUGGGAGGGGUGGGAUGGGGGGACGGACGAGUCUUAUCCGUGCCGAAGGAGGCGGCGCGGGCAAGGAGAGGAAACAGAUCGAGGGAGGGAGGGAGGAGAGAAGUGGAGGAGAGGAGGAGGCGGAGCAGCGCGGCCGGUGGCUUGCGGGGCUAGGGUUUGGAGGGAGACGAGGCUGCAGGAAGAUGAGAGUGACGGCCAGGUCCUCUCCACAGAGCGCGGGGACUAGUAUGGGAUUUAAGAGGGGGCGAUAGCAAUGGCGCAUCCCCAGGGGGUGCGUCAUUAGUAACCCUGGGUACUAAUGGCGCAUCAGCUGGUGGUGCCCCAUUAGUAGUUUUGAAAAAAAAUAUAGUAGUGGCGCACCACCUACAUAUGCGCCAUCAGUAACCACUAAUGGCGCACCAGCUUGUGGUGCGCCAUUAGUAGUUUUGCAACAACAAAAAAUAUAGUAGUGCCGCACUCGGUGAGUGGUGCGCCAUUACUAGUUAAACUAGUAAUGGCGCACUCUGCUCCGGUGCGCCAUUAGUACUUUUGCAACAAAAAGAAAAUUGUAGUGGCGCACCGAGUGUGUGGUGCGCCAUUAGUGUCCAUCACACUAAUGGCACACCUGCACAUGGUGCGCCACUGCUAUAUAGUAGUGGCGCAGUACUUGUCUGGUGCGUCAUUAGUAUCUAUAUCAUCUAUAGCCCUUUUCCUAGUAGUGACAUGUGAGCUGAAUUGUCUACCAAAAGAUAUAAGUGAAGCUCGACAAAAUCACGUUGUGUGCAGGUCUCUCUCUCUAGGUGUGCAGCAAGGAUGAUUGUGACCCAACAAAAAUAAAAGAAUCCUACGAUACAAGACGCUCCAAGCAAAAACACAUAACAUGUGGUGAAUAAAAAUAUAGCCCCACGUAACGUUACCGAUGGAUUGAAGACGAGAGAGGGGAUGCCUUCCCGGGGCAUCGUCAAGCUUAGGCUUUUACGGCAUUCUUGAAUCUCUUGGGGUGCCUUGGGCAUCCCCAAGCUUGAGCUCUUGCCACUCUUUAUCUUUUCGUCCAUAAGAACUUCACUCAAAACUUGAAAACUUCACAACACGAAACUUAAACACAAACUCGUGAUAACAUUACUACAAGAAAACAAACCACCACUUCCUUAGGUACUGUAGCAAACUUAAAUUCUACUUGUGCUGAUGUUGGGUUACUGUACUUUCAAUCUUCCAUGGCUAGUACCCCCCGAUACUAUCCAUAGUUUCAUCAAAAUAAGCAACCAACACAACAAAAACAGAAUCUGUUAAAAGCAUACCAGUCUGUAGCAAUCUGUAUGUUUCGUAUACCUCUGGUACUUCAAAAAUUCUGAAAACUUACGACAGUUUGAAGAAUUUGCGUAGCAAUGAGAAGAAAAAAGAAUCAACUCCAAAUCUCUUACAGAAAAAAAAAUAUUUUCGUGAGCAGAAAGUUUCUGUCUUUCCCAGCAUGACCAAACGAUCAUCCUCAAGACUAAUCAUAACGGUUUUGCUUGGCACAAUCGCAAAAAGAAACACAAAAAACACAAUCAUAACAGAAUUACGAAAGUGUGGAAAACAAAAAGCAGAAAGAAAAAGGAUAGAUUCGUUGGGUUGCCUCCCAACAAGCGCUUUUGUUUAACGCCCUUAGCUAGGCAUUCCCUGAUGCUCUCACAAAAGACAAGAAUUGAAGCACAACGAGAGCAUCCUAACGCAUGCCAAAAUCAUAUCUAAGUCUAACAUACUUCCUAUGCAUAGGCAUUUUAUAGGAAAACAAAUUGUCAAGACAACCAAUAGCGGCCAUAUGCAAGGAAGAAGAAAGAGACAAGAGCAAUCUCAACAUCACGAGAGGUGAUGUGGUAAAAUGAAAGUUUCUACCAACAUAUUUUCCUCUCUCAUAGCAAUUACAUGUGGAUCAUAUUCGAAUUCAACAAUGUAACUAUCACAAAGGAUAUUCUUUUCAUGAUCCACAUGCAUGCAAAGUUGACGCUCUUCAAAAAUAGUGGGAUUAUCAUCAAAGAAAGUCAUGACUUCUCCAAUCCCACUUUUAGUAUUGUUGCAAAUAUCAUAUUCAUCAUGAGGUUGGAACAAAUUUUUAAGAUCAUAAGAAAGAUCAUCACCCCAAUCAUGAUUAUUGCAGAAAGUAGUGGACAAAGCAAAACUAGCAUCCCCAAGCUUAGGGUUUUGCAUAAUUUCAGCAUGAUUGUCACUAAAAGGAUUUAUGGUGAAAUCAUUGCAAUCAUGCUUUUCAUCCAAGGAGCCCUCGUGAAUCACUUUAUGAAUUUCUUCCACAUAAUUUUCAGAUUCACGCAUCUUAUGCAAAACUCCAAAGAAAUAGUCAAUUGCCCUCAACUCAAUAGCAAUUUGUUCCACACGAGUGGGUCUCAUAAAGAGACUAGCUAGUGGAUGAUGAUCCAAAUCACUAGAUUUUCAGCAAGCGAAGAUGCAAGCAUAUUGAGGGCACAUGGCACACAAGCGAACAGAAAGCAAGCGAUAGAAAAGGGUGAACAAAAAAGGCAAAGGAGAAAGGCAACUGAAAAGGCAAAUGUGAAGUGGGGGAGAGGAAAACAAGAGGAAACUGGCAACAAAAAUAAAUGCAAGAGAAGAGUUUGUGAGACCUAAUUGGAUAGAUCUUGAUUUCUCCUCCCCGGCAACGGCGCCAGAAAUACUUCUGAUGUUUGCUGUGUACCCCUAGCAAUGGUGCCAGAAAUACUUCUGCUACUGCACAAAAGACCUUCCAACGGCGCCAGAGAUAGGCACGUCGACAGGAGAAUACUUGGCUUGAUCUUUAUGUUGUGGCUACGCCUUAAGGGACUUCCUAGGAAAGUAUGCGAAGGAUUUCCCCCGUGGCCUUGGAGCUUUGCAUUGGUGUUCCCUCGAAGCGGAAAGGGUGAUGUAGCACAACGACAGUAAGUAUAUCCCUCAAUUUGAGAACCAAGGUAUCAAUGUGGCGGAAGAGUAUCUUAAGAUCCUGCACAAUCACAAAAUCUUGCACCCAACGCUAUGAAGGAGUUGUCAAUCCCUUAUAGAUUGUUUGCCAUGUGAGAAUUGAAAGCAACAAAGUAACAAAGCAAAGUAAAAGUGGAGUUGUAAACGAUGGAUGUGAAUAGACCUGUGGGACGUAGUGUUUACUAGUGGCUUCUCUCAUGAAAGCAAGUGGAUGGUGGGUGAACAAAUUACUGUCGAGCAAUUGAUAGAACUGUGCAGAGUCGCGACGAUAUCUAUGCAAUGAUUAUUUCAAUAGGCAUCAUGUCCGAGACAAGUAGACCAAUACUGUCUGCAUCUACUACUAUUACUCCACACGUCUACCACUAUCCAGCAUGCAUCUAGUGUAUUAAGUCCAUAAGAACAGAGUAACUCCUUAAGCAAGAUGACAUGAUGUAGAGGGAUAAUCUCAAACCAAUGAUAAAACCCCAUCUUUUUCACCCUUGAUGGCAACUGCUUGAUGUGUGCCUUGCUACCCCUACUGUCACUGGGAAAGGUCACCACAUGGCAGAACCCAAAACCAAGCACUUCUCCCAUUGCAAGAAUCAUAGAUCUAUUUGGCCAAACAAAACCCAAGAUUCGGAGAGACUUACAAGGAUAUAAAAUCAUGCAUAUAUGAAAUCAGCAAAGACUCAAAUAGAUAAUCUGAUCACAAGUCCACAAUUCAUCAGAUCUCGACAAACACACCGCCAAAGAAGAUUACAUUGGAUAGAUCUCCAUGAAGAUCAUGGAGAACUUUGUAUUGAAGAUCCAAGAGAGAGAAGAAGCCAUCUAGAUACUAACUACGGACCCAUAGGUCUGAAGUGAACUACUCACGAGUCAUUGGAGGGGCGAUGAUGAUGAUGAAGAAGCCAUCCACCUCCAAAGUCCCCUCCAGCAGGGCACCGGGAAGGGUCUCCUGAUGAGAUCUCGCGGAAACGGAAGCUUGCGGCGGCGGAAAAGUAUUUUCGAGGCUCCCCUGAUUUUUUGCGGAAUAUUUGGGAAUAUAUAGGCGCAAGACCUAGGUCUGGAGGCGGCUAGGGAAGCCACAAGCUUGGACAACUCCGCCUCCCCCCUGGUCGUGGGGUGGGAGCUUGUGGGCUCUCUGGUGCCCACUUGACUUGGCCCAAAGGCUCCCUAGACUUCUUUCGUUCGGGAAAAAAAAUCAUUUUGGGGUUUUUCUUCCAUUUGGACUACGUUCCAAAAUCAGAUCUGAAAAGAGUCAAAAACACGGAAAAAUAGGAACUGGCACUUGGCACUGAAUCAAUAAGUUAGUCCCAAAUAAUAUAUAAAAAGGUACAUAAAACAUACAAAGAAGGCAAGAUAAUAGCGUGAAACCAUCAAAAACUAUAGAUACGUUUCAGACAUAUCAGGCAUCCCCAAGCUUAGGCUUUUUGGUGUCCUUCAAUUUGGCUUGGGAUGCCUUGGGCAUCCCCAAGCUUGAGCUCUUUCCACUCCUUAUCUCAUCGUCCAUGAGAACAUCACCCAAAACUUGAAAACUUCACAACACAAAACUUAAACAGAAACUCGUGAUAACAUUAGCACAAGAAAACAAACUACCACUUCUUUUGGUACUGUAUAAAACUUGAAUUCCAUCUAUAUUGGUGUUGGGCUACUGUAUUCUCACUUUUCCAUGGCUAGUACCCCCAGAUACUAACCAUAGUUUCAUCAAAACAAGCAAUAAACUCAACAAAAACAGAAUCUGUCAAAAAUAGACCAAUCUGUAGCAAUCUAUAUACUUCGUAUGCUUAUGGUACCUCAAAAAAUCUGAAAAUUUACGACUGCCUGGGCAAAAGGCAUAUCAACUAGCAGAAAAACGAAUAAACUCAAAAGCACUUUCUGAAUAAAAAUGAAAAAUCAUCUCAUGAGCGAAAAGUUUCUGUCUGUUUCUAGCAGGAUCAAACAACCAUUACCAAGACUAGUCAUAAAGGUUUUUCUAGGCUGAAACACAAAAAGAAACACAAACAAACACUAUCAGAACAGAAUUGUGAUGGUGUGGACGCAACAAACAGAAAGAAAAAGAUAAAUUCAUUGGUUUGCCUCCCAACAAGCGCUAUUGUUUAACGCCCUUAGCUAGGCAUAAAAGCGAUAGAAUCACGUAUCGUCGUCUUUGGUGCUCAAACUAUUAGUAGCGUGAUCACUUAUCAUCUUAAGGUUUUCAUCUUUCUUGAUAGAUGAUUCACCACUAUUUUUGGGAACCAAAACAAACUUGGUGACCUUAUUGUGGGCAAAGUUUGGAGUAUUCUGCACAGCGCCAAAAGCGGAACCCAAGUUGGUUAUAACAUCCUCUAGUUUGCCAAUCCUAGCGGAAUCAUGACCUAGUUUUUCGUUAACUGUGGGUUCCUUCUCCUUUAAAUUUUUCAAAACCAUUCCCACCUUGGAUCCGUACUGAGUGAUUUGAUUGUGGAUCUUUUUAUCCAAAUUCUCAAUGAGUUCUAUCGUAGCAACUUUAUUUUCAAUGACGUCCCGCCUACGCAUCACAUGUUCCAGAGUUAAGGUAGUUCCAUUAACCAUGAGUGGGGGUGAGCCUACCAAAUUUAUGAUAGAUCCGUAAGAAUCAACGGUAUGGCUACCCAUGAAAUUUCCACCUACGAUGGUGUCAAGAAUAUACCUAUUCCAAGGAGAAACAACCACGUAAAAACUACGAAGUAGGACGGUAGUGGAUUGCUUAUGAGUAGAUCUACUCUAAGCAUUGCAAAUCCUAUACCAAGCGUCCUUUAAGUUUUCUUCCUCAAUUUGUUUGAAAUUUAGGACUUCGCUCUCGGGAGUAUCAUUCGAAGUGGUGGAUCUAGCCAUGAGGACAUGUAGACUAUCCCACACAGACGAACAGAAAGCAAGCGAGAGAAAGGGGCACACGAAAAGGCAAACGAAAAAGGCAAAUUGGUGAAGUGGGGGAGAGGAAAUGAGAGGCAACUGGCAAACAAAGUAAAUGCAAGAGAUGAGUUUGCAACACCUACUUGGAUGAGUUCUUUACUUGAUCUUCCUCCCCGGCAACAACGCCAUAAAUCCUUCUGCUACGUCAACAAAAGUCGUUCCCCGAGAGUGGUGCCAGAGAUCCUUUCGUCGUCUCUUGAGCUCGCGUUAGUUUUCCCUUGAAGAGGAAAGGGUGAUGCAGCACAGGAGCAGUAAGUAUUUCCCUCAGUUUCAGAACCAAGGUAUCGAUCCAGUAGGAGGGUCUCGUCAAGUCCAGAGUACCUGCGCAAACACAAACAAGCUUGCACCCAACGCUUCAAAGGGGUUGUCAAUCCCUUCAAGUUUGUUUGCAAAGUGAGAUCUGAAGGUGGAAAGUGCAACGAAGUAAAAAGUGUAAGGCUGAAAAUAUGGUGUGGAGUAGACCCGGGGCCAUAGUGUUCACUAGAGGCUUCUCUCAAAAUAGCAAGUAUCACGGUGGGUAAACAAAUUACUGUCGAGCAAUUGAUAGAACUGCGCAAAGUCAUGACGAUAUCUAAGGCCAUGAUCAUACAUAUAGGCAUCAUGUCCGCGACAAGUAGACUGAUACUUUCUGCAUCUACUACUAUUACUCCACACAUCGACCGCUAUCCAGCAUGCAUCUAGUGUAUUGAGUUCAUGACGAACAGAGUAAUGCUUUAAGCAAGAUGACAUGAUGUAGAGGGAUAAUAUCAAACCAAUGACGAAAACCCCAUCUUUUUACCCUUGAUGGCAACAACAUGAUGCGUGCCUUGCUACCCCUUCUGUCACUCGGUGAGGUCACCACACAGUAUGAACCCAAAACCAAGCACUUCUCCCAUUGCAAGAAUCAUAGAUCUAAUUGGCCAAACGGAACCCACAACGCGAAGAGAAUUACAAGGAUAUGAAAUCAUGCAUAAGAGAGAUUAGAAGAAACUCAGUUAAGAUACAUAGAUAAUCUGAUCAUNNNNNNNNNNNNNNNNNNNNNNNNNNNNNNNNNNNNNNNNNNNNNNNNNNNNNNNNNNNNNNNNNNNNNNNNNNNNNNNNNNNNNNNNNNNNNNNNNNNNNNNNNNNNNNNNNNNNNNNNNNNNNNNNNNNNNNNNNNNNNNNNNNNNNNNNNNNNNNNNNNNNNNNNNNNNNNNNNNNNNNNNNNNNNNNNNNNNNNNNNNNNNNNNNNNNNNNNNNNNNNNNNNNNNNNNNNNNNNNNNNNNNNNNNNNNNNNNNNNNNNNNNNNNNNNNNNNNNNNNNNNNNNNNNNNNNNNNNNNNNNNNNNNNNNNNNCAUCGGAUAGAUCUACAUGAAAAUCAUGGAGAACUUUGUAUUGAAGAUCCAAGAGAGUGAAGAAGCCAUCUAGUUACUAGCUAUGGACCCGUAGGUCUAUGGUGAACUACUCACGCAUGAUAGGAGAGGUCAUGGUGUUGAUGAACAAGCCCUCCGUAUCCGAAUCCCCCCUCCGGCAGAGCACCAGAACGUGCCCCAGAUGGGAUCUUGUGGAGACAGAAGCUUGCGGCGGCGGAAAAGUACUUUCGGUGAUCUCCUGAUUUUUUGGUAUUUUUAGGGAAUAUAUAGGCGCAACCCCUAGGGCAGAGGGCGUCCAGGGGGCCCACAAGCCUAUGGGCCACGGCCUCCCCCUGGCCGCGGGGUGAGGGCUUGUGGGGCCCCUGGGCCCUCCUGCCUUGGCUCUCAAGUCUCCUGAUCUUCUUCCGUUAUGGAAAAAUUCUUUUUGGGGAUUUUAUUCCGUUUGGACUCCGUUUCAAAAUGUCCUCUGAAAGGGGUCAAAAACAUGGAAAAAACAGGAACUGGCACUUGGAACUGAGUUAAUAAGUUAGUCCCAAAAAAUAUAUAAAAGGCAUGCAAAACAUCCAAAGUUUGACAAGAUAAUAGCAUGAAACCAUCAAAAAUUAUAGAUACGUUGGAGACGUAUCACUUCCCAUUUAGAGAGAAGCUUGCCUGCAAAAAAUCUUAAAUGAGAAUUAUAUAGCAAGACAUAAUCACCUACAUUGAACUCACGCUUUUGUAUCCUCUUAUCCUGCCACCUCUUAACCUUUUCUUUGAACAACUUGGCAUUCUCGUAUGCCUGAGUCGUCCAUUCAUCAAGCGAGCUAAUGUCAAAUAACCUCUUUUCACUAGCAAGUUUGAAAUCAAAGUUGAGCUCUUUGAUUGCCCAAUAAGCUUUAUGCUCUAGCUCAAGAGGUAAAUGACAUGCUUUACCGUACACCAUUUUGUACGGAUACAUGCCCAUGGGAUUCUUAUAGGCAGUUCUAUAAGCCCACAGUGCAUCAUCUAGCUUCUUAGACCAAUUCUUUCUAGACGUGUUGACAGUCUUUUGUAGAAUUAGUUUAAUCUCUCUAUUGCUUAGCUCUACUUGAUCACUGGACUAAGGGUGAUAGGGGACGCAAUUCUAUGGUUGACAUCAUACUUAGCAAGCGUUUUACGGAAAGAACCAUGAAUGAAAUGUGAACCACCGUCGGUCAUUAGAUAUCUAGGGAAAAUAACUUCUUUAAGCAUCCUGAUAGAAGUGGUGUGAUCAAAACUAAUAGUGGGGAUAGCUUCUACCUACUUAGUGAUGUAGUCAACAGCAACCAGGAUGUGAGUAUACCCGUUGGAUUUUGGAAAAGGUCCCAUAUAAUCAAAGCCCCGGACAUCAAAUGGUUCAAUGACAAGUGAAAAGUUCAUAGGCAUUUCCUAACGUUUACCGAUGUUACCUACUCUUUGACAUUCGUCACAAGACAAGACAAACUUACGGGCAUCCUUGAAGAGAGUGGGUCAAUAGAAACCUGAUUGCAAUACCUUGUGUGCAGUUCUAUCUCCCGCAUGGUGUCCUCCAUAGGCCUCGGAGUGACACUUCUGUAGGAUAUGUCCCUGUUCAUGUUCAGGUACACAACGUCUAAUAACACCAUCUACUCCUUCCUUAUAAAGGUGAGGAUCAUCCCAAAAGUAAUGUCUCAAGUCAAAGAAGAAUUUCUUCUUUUGCUGGUAUGUGAAACUAGGUGGUAUAUAUUUGGCGACGACAUAGUUUGCAUAAUCAGCAUAGCAUGGUGCACUAUGUGAAGUAUUGAUGACAUUCAAUUGCUCAUCGGAAAAGCUAUCAUCAGGUUGUGGGUCAUCAAGAACGUUCUCUAACCUAGACAAGUUAUCUGCUAUGGGAUUAUCAACACCCUUCCUGUCGACAACGUGCAAAUGAAAUUCUUGUAGCAAGAGAACCCAUAUGAUAAGUCUAGGUUUAGCGUCCUUCUUCUCCAUGAGGUACUUAAUAGCAACAUGAUUAGUGUGAAUAGUGACUUUUGAAUCAACUAUGUAAGACCUGAACUUUUCCCAUGCAAACACGACUGCUAAGAACUCCUUUUCCGUAGUGGAAUAGUUUCUCUGGGCAUUGUCUAGAGUUUUACUAGCAUAGUGAAUAACAGUCAACUUCUUGUCAACUCUUUGCCCUAGGACAACACCAACAACACAAUGCUAGCAUCACACAUGAUCUCAAAAGGUAGGUUCCAAUCAGGUGGUUGAACAAUAGGUGCAGUUAUCAAAGCCUUCUUAAGUAUUUCGAAGGCUUCCUCACAAUCAUCGUCAAAAACAAAAGGAAUAUCCUUUUGCAAGAGAUUGGUAAGAGGCCUAGAAAUCUUAAAGAAGUCUUUAAUGAACCUUCUAUAGAAACCAACAUGACCAAGGAAACUUCUUCUACCUUUGAUAUCUAUGGGGUAUGGCAUUUUAUCGAUUGCAUCAACCUUAGCCUUAUCGACUUCAAUACCUCUUUCAGAAAUCUUAUGUCCUAAGACGAUGCCUUCAUUAACCAUAAAGUGGCACUUCUCCCAGUUCAAGACAAGAUUGGUGUCUUUACAUCUCUGCAAGACUCGAUCAAGGUUGCUGAAGCAAUCAUCAAAGGAAGACCCGUAAAUGGAGAAGUCAUCCAUGAAAACCUCAACAAUCUUUUUACAAAAGUUAGAGAAUAUAGCCAUCAUACAUCUUUGAAAGGUGGCAGGUGCAUUACAUAAGCCAAAAGGCAUACGUCUAUAAGCAAAGGUACCGAAAGGGCAGGUGAAAGUGGUUUUGUCCUGAUCAGAUUGUGCAACUGGUAUUUGGGAGAAACCAGAAUAACCGUUUAGAAAGCAGAAGUGUGUGUGUUUAGACAGUCUUUCUAGCAUUUGGUCGAUAAAAGGCAAAGGGUAAUGAUCUUCAUAGUGGCUUUAUUCAAUUUCCUAAAAUCGAUCACCAUCCUAUAGCUCGUAAUAAUCCUCUCUAGGAUCAAUUCAUCCUUAUCAUUAGGGACAACGGUAAUGACUCCCUUCUUAGGGACGCAAUGCACCGGACUCACCCAAUGGCUUUGAGCAACAGGAUAGAUAAUACCUGCUUCUAGGAGCUUUAGUAUUUCUUUUCUUACUACCUCUUUCAACUUAGGAUUUAAUCUCCGUUGAUGAUCAACAACUGGUUUGAAAUCAGGAUCAGUUUUAAUCUUGUGCUGGCAUAGAGUGGGACUAAUGCCCUUAAGAUCAUCAAGAGUAUAUCCAAUAGCAGCACGGUGCUUUCUCAGAGAUUUACUAACUUCUUUUCUUCAUGCUCUGAGAGGCUAGCAUGAAUUAUAACAUGAUAUAUCUCUUUUUCAUCAAGAUAGGCAUACUUAAGAGUAUCAGGCAACUGUUUAAGCUCGAACACAUGAUCACCCUUUAGUGGGGGCGGAUCCCCAAGCAGUUCAACAGGCAAGUUAUUCUUAAGGAUAGGAUAUUGUUCUAAGACAACUCUAUCUAUCUCAUCCCUUUCAUCCAUAUGCAUAUCAUUUUCAUGCUCAAGCAAGUAUUGCUCUAAUGGAUCAGUAGAAGGCAUGACAAUAGAAGCUAAGGUAACAGUUUCAUCCUUACUAGGUAACUCCUUUUCACGAGGUUGUCAACCAAACUUGGAGAAAUUGAACUCAUGUGACACACCUUCAAAGCCAACAGUAACAGUUUGCUUCUCACAAUCAAUAUGAGCAUUGACAGUAUUGAGAAAAGGUCUUCCAAAUAUGAUGGGACAAAAAGCUAUCUUGUGCGGUAGCAAGAACGAGGAAAUUAGCAGGAUACUUCGUUUUACCACACAAGACUUCAACAUCCCAAACAAUUCCCACAGGGCAGAUAGUAUCUCUAUUGGCAAGCUGAAUAGUGACAUCAAUAGGCUCUAUGUCAACAGGUGCAAUCUCGUCUUAAUUUCACCGUAUAAGGAUUGAGGUAUUGCACUAACACUGGCACCCACGUCACAUAAACCAUGAUAACAAUGAUCUCCUAUCUUAACAAAAACAACAAGCCAACAAUAGGCCUAUGUUUGUCUCUAGCGUGAGGUUUAGCAAUUCUAGCAGCAUCUUCACAGAAGUGAAUAUUAUGUCCCACAACAUCGUCGGACAGGAGAUCUUUGAUAAUAGCGAUGCUAGGUUCAACUCUAAUUUGCUCUGGGGGUGUAGGUGCUCUAAUGUAGCCUCUACGUAUCACAGUUGAAGCUUUAGAAUGAUCCUUAUCCUAACAGGGAAAGGUGGUUUCUCAAUGUAAGCACUGGGAACAAUAGGAUCACUAUAGGCAAUGACUUUCUCUUCAACUGGAUUGGGUUUAACUACAUUGACUUCUAAAGGAGGAUGAUAUUUAAACCACUUCUCUUUGGGGAGAUCAAUAUGAGCAGCAAAUGAUUCACACAAUGAAGCUACUAUCUCAGAGUCAAGUCCAUACUUAGCGCUAAAGUCACAAAAAGUAUUUGUUUCAACAAAGGAUUUAACGCAAUCAAACUGGAAAUUCAUACGUGACUCCUUACCUUCUUCAAGCUCCCAAUCUUCAGAGUUGUGUUUAAUUCUCUCCAAUAAAUUCCAUCUGAAGUCAAUAUCUCUCUUCAUAAAAGAACUGGUAAAAGAAGUGUCAAGCAUGGUGCGAUCAUCAUGAGAAAGCCGAGCAUAGAAGUUCUGAAUGAUAAUUUCUCUCGAGAGCUCAUGGUUGUGGCAUGAAUAUAACAUUGAUUUAUGCCUCCCCCAAGCUUGAGCGAUGCUUUCUCUAUCACGAGGCCAAAAAAUAUAAAUAUAAUUCUGAUCACGAUGUACUAAAUGCAUAGGAUAAAACUUUUGAUGAAAUUCCAAUUUCAACUGAUUGUAGUUCCAUGAUCCAGUAUCAUCACAUAGCCUAUACCAUGUCAACGCCUUAUCCUGCAAAGAUAAAGGAAAGACCUUCUUCUUGACCUCAUCCUCGGGCAAACCUGCAAGCUUAAAUAAACCACAAACUUCAUCUACACAGAUUAGAUGCAAGUGUGGAUGUGAUGUUCCAUCUCGUGUAAAAGGAUUAGCCAACAGUUUUUCAAGCAUACCCGAAGGAAAUUCAAAGAAAAUAUUUUCAGUAGGUGCAGCAGGUUGAGGAGCAAAUAUUUGUGCUUCUGUUCGAGGUGCAUAUACCCCGAACAAGCCUUUCAAAGGAUUAGUUCCCAUAGUGACAAGUGACAAUAAAUUUCAGCACACUAUAUGAAUGCUUCCCUACCAAGUUCCACUUACCAAAGGCGCUUCACUCCCCGGCAACGGCGCCAGAAAAGAGUCUUGAUGACCCACAAGUAUAGGGGAUCUAUCAUAGUCCUUUCGAUAAGUAAGAGUGUCGAACCCAACGAGGAGCAGAAGGAUCUGACAAGUGGUUUUCAGCAAGGAAAUAUCUGCAAGCACUGAAAUUAUCGGUAACAAGUGAUUGUGUGGUGAGAUAAUUCGUAGAAAGAAACAAGUAACAAAUGUUGCAACGGUGCACCAAAGUGCCCAAUCCUUUUGUAGCAAGGGACCAGCCUGGACAAAGUCUUAUAGGAGGAAAACGCUCCCGGGGACAGAGGGAAUUUCUGUCAUGCUAGUUUUCAUCAUGUUCACAUGAUUCACGUUUGUUACUUUGAUAGUUUGAUAUGUGGGUGGACCGACGCUUGGGUACUGCCCUUAGUUGCACAAGAAUCCCACUUAUGAUUAACCCCUCUCGCAAGCAUCCGCAACUACGAAAGAAGAAUUAAGACAAAGUCUAACCAUAUCAUUAAAGUAGUGGAUCCAAAUCAGCCCCUUACGAAGCAACGCAUAAACUAGGGUUUAAGCUUAUGUCACUCUAGCAACCCACCAUCUACUUACUACUUCCCAAUGACUUCCUCUAGGCCCAAAUAAUGGUGAAGUGUUAUGUAGUCGAUGUUCACAUAACACCACUAGAGGAAAAACAACAUACAACACAUCAAAAUAUCGAACGAAUACCAAAUUCACAUGACUACUAUUAGCAUGACUUAUCCCAUGUCCUCAGGAACAAAAGUAACUACUCACAAAGCAUUAUCAUAUUCAUGAACAGAGAGGUAAUGAGUAGCAUCAAGGAUCUGAAAAUAAACUCUUCCACCAAGUAAUGCAACUAGCAUCAACUACAAAGAGUAAUUAACACAAUUAGCAACGUUACAAGUGCCAAUCGGAGUCGCGAGACGGAGAUUGGUUACAAGAGAUGAACUAGGGUUUGGAGAUGAGAUGGUGCUGAUGAAGAUGUUGAUGGUGACGAGUCCCCUCCGAUGAGAGGAGUCUUGGUGAUGACGAUGGCGACGAUUUCCCCCUCCGGGAGGGAAGUUUCCCCGGCAGGAUCGUCCUGCUGGAGCUCUAGAUUGGUUAUGCUCAAGUUCCGCCUCGUGGCGGCAGCAAAUCCUCAAAAAAGCCUCCUCCUGAUUUUUUUCGGAACGAAACCCUUCAUAUAGCAGAAGAGGGGGGGGGGCAGAGGGCCAGCUGGGUGCCCACAAGCGCCCUAGGCGCGGCCAGGGGGUGGCCGCGCCUAGCACGCUUGUGGCCACCUGCUAGCGCCCCUCUCACACUUCUCCGGUCCAGUAUUUUUUAUAAAUCCCGAAAAAAUACUCGUUUAUUUUUACGGCGUUUGGAGUUGCGCACAAUAGGUAUCUCAAACUUGCUCCAUUUUCAGGCCAGAAUUCCAGGUGCCAGCAUUCUUCCUCUUCAUGUAAACCUCGCAAAAUAAGAGAGAAAAGGCAUAAGUAUUGUACCGUGAGGUGAAAUGACAGCCCAGGAAGCGAUAAAUAUUAACAUGAAAGCCUGAUGUAAAAUGGACGUAUCAUGGAGAUGUAGCCCACAUGACUGUUAUCAGGAUAAAUUUACAAAUGGUUUUAUAUUUAUAUAAAAAGCCAAAAAAAUAUCUGAAAUUAGAAAAUAAAUGAAAUAGAAAAAAGGAAAAAGAACAAACCUCGCCACUUACCUGGCUAGCCCAGCCCCCAGGGGCAACCCCGUCUUCUACCUCCAGCCAGUAGGCAGAGGAGAGGCGUGGCGUGCACCCGAGAGCCUCGGCCACUUCCUGCUUCGUCGUGGCUCAGUCCCCCUUCUAGCGAGUCCACGGAGGCCCCGAUGCCCUAUCCCUUAUCCCCUCUGGUCUCUCCCUCUUGCUUUCUUCCUAUCCCUCUUCUCCCUCUCGCUCGGACCAGAGCGCGCUGCCGUCACCAUCGGGCACCACCACAGCCAUCGUCACUUCUACGCCCCCCUGAGCUGCUCAUCGCCUCCGCCACCACGAGUGCUCUUCCUCGCUGGAAUAAUUGAGCUCAGUCGCCCCUGCAUCGCUGCCAGCCAUGUCGUCUUCAACCUCCGGUCGUCGACAACCGCGUCGCCGAUUCGCCAGCUAGAAGGCCUCCCUGAGGUCGUCGUUGGCUCUAUCCUCCUCGUGAUGAGCCGCACAACCCAUUCCCCUAUCCCCGUGGUCCUCCCGUGCCCCUAGCUGCAGCUGCCGCCGAGCCCGCGCCGCUGACGCCGCCCAACUUAUCAUCGGCGCCAAAUCCGGCCGCCCUAGCUCCUCGUGUUGGGCGUGUUGGGUGAGGCCGAGCCUGGGCUUAAUCCUAGAGCUCUCGGCGCCUGGAUCCAUGCUCUGUAGCGCCAAUUAGGGCAACUCCGGUGAGCCCCCGCUACGUAUUCGGUCGCUGUCGGCCAGACUCCGGUGGGCGCCCACGUGGCGUGGCCAUUAGUCCUAAUCGCCCCCAUCAGCCACUAACCAGCGUGCCCGCAGGUGGUCAAACCCCCAAUUAGGGCGGGUCAGCACGGGGAUUAGCCCCGGGUCACUGAACAGUGGCCCCUACUGGUCAGGUUUGACCUGGCACUUGGUCGGUUGACUUGCUCAUGCAGUAAACCAUUUCUGGAUUUAUUUAAUUCCAGAAAAUGUUCAAAACUUCAAAAGUUCAUAGAAAUUCAACCAUAGCUCCAAAUGAAGUAUAUUAUUUAUGAAAAGUUAUCAAAAAUGCAAGGAAUCAGAUGGUACCAUUUUCAUGACUGUUUGAACAACUUAAACUUGUUGAAUAUGAAAAUUUCAAUAAAUACAUAUGAAUGGUUAUAAAUGGGUUUGAAAUUGAUCUAUAAUGAUCAAAUAACUUCCAUUUAACUUAUGACCACCUGCAUUAGACAAAACCAAAAUCAUGUUAACAUGCCAUACUCAUGCAUCAUUGUGAAGAAUUUGUCGUGCCUAAAUUCUUACUUGUUUGAUCUUGUUGAUAGACCUGCGAGAUGUAUUUAUCACUGACAUCAAAGAAUAGCUGAGUUCUUCUGACCAAUGAAAUCGCACUCUAUCGCUCUUGCUCUCGUUUCAAUGCAUUAGGACAAGAUGAUUCAAGUGCUACUUGUGUUACGUAGAUGAACCCAUUCCUUUGCAUGACCUAUCAUUGUUACAGUAAAUAGCUAAACCAAGAUACCUAGCAUACCUAGUAGAUGCAUGAGACAUGUUGUGCCAUUACCCUGUUAUGCUUGCUAUGCUUAGAGUUGAGCUGGUUUGAUCAUCUGGGUGAUGAAUUGGAAUGAUCAUGUCCUACCGAUGAGGGUUAAGUAUGUGAACCUCUUUCGGUAAACGUAGCAAUGAGAGGACAUGUAGGAGUACGUGGUGGGUUGUCUCAUUUAUUUCGCACUCACCACCCGAGAUCUUGUGUUGGUGUGCCAAGACUAGCUACUACCGCACAUUGAGUUCCGGUAACUCAACCCCUGUCGGCCUAUUUGUUGGGUAAUGUAGCAAAAUUCAAAAAAAUUUCUAUGCCAUAUUAAGAUCUUCCUAUGGAGAAACCAACAACGAGAGAGGGGUGAGAGCAUCUUCAUACCUUUGAAGAUCGCUAAGCGGAAGCGUUUCUAGAACGCGGUUGAUGGAGUCGUACUCGCUGCGAUUCAAAUCAUGGUGUGAUUCCGAUCUAGUGUUGAACCACUCCACCUCCACGUUCAACACACGUGCAUUCCGGUGACAUCUCCCGCACCUUGAUCCGGCAAGGAGGAGGGAGAGGUUGGGGAAGAGCUCCGACAACACGACGGCGUGGUGGCGAUGGAGCGACAAGGUCUCCCGCAGGGCUUUGCCAAGCACCGUGGGACACGAGGAAGAAGAGAAGCAGGGCUGCGCUGAGAGAGAUAGAAAUUUUCGUGUCUCCAAUGGCCAAAACCCACUAUAUAUAGGGGGAAGGGCAGGGUGGCGCCCCCUUAGGGUUCCCACCCCUAAGGGGUGCGGCAGCCCUAGAUGGGGCAGGAGGUGGCGGCCAGGAGGGGAGGAGGGGGUGGAGCACCCCCUGGUGGGCCUUAGGCCCACCUGACUUAGGGUUGCCCCAUUCCCUCUCUUGGCGCCUUGGGCUGGGUGUGGGGGGCGCACGAGCCCACCCAGGGGCUGGUUCCCUCUCACACUUGGCCCAUGUAGCCUCCCGGGGCUGGUGGCCCCUCCCAGUGGGCCUCCGGAGCCUUUCCGGUGGUCCCGACACAUUGCCGGUGGUGCCCGAAACAUUUCCGGCGUCCAAACCCAUCCAUCCUAUAUAUCAAUCUUUACCUCCGGACCAUUCCGGAGCUCCUCGUGAUGUCCGGGAUCUCAUCUGGGACUCCAAACAACUUUCGGUAACCUCGCAUAACAAUUCCCUACUACCCUAGCGUCAUCGAACCUUAAGUGUGUAGACCCUACGGGUUCGGGAGGCAUGCAGACAUGACCGAGACACCUCCCUGGCCAAUAAACACCAGCGGGAUCUGUAUACCCAUGGUGGCUCCCAUAUGUCCCACGAUGAUCUCAUCGGAUGAACGACGAUGUCAAGGAUUCAAUCAAUCCCUUAUACAAUUCCCUUUGUUUGUCGGUAUAGAACUUGCCCGAGAUUCGAUCGUCGGUAUCCCUAUACCUUGUUCAAUCUCAUUACCAGUAAGUCUCUUUACUCGUUCCGUAGCACAUCAUCCCGUGACUAACUAUUUAGUCACAUUGAGCUCAUUAUGAUGAUGUUCUACCGAGUGGGCCCAGAGAAACCUCUCCGUCACACGGAGUGAUAAAUCCCGAUCUCGAUUCGUGCCAACCCAACAGAUACUUUCGGAGAUACCCGUAGUGCACCUUUAUAGUCACCCAGUUACGUUGUGACGUUUGAUACACCCAAAGCACUCCUACGGUAUCUGUGAGUUGCACAAUCUCACGGUUGAAGGAAAAGAUACUUGACAUUAGAAAAGCUUUAGCAUACGAAAUACACGAUCUAGUGCUAUGCUUAGCAUUGGGUAUUGUCCAUCACAUCAUUCUCCUAAUGAUGUGAUCCCGUUAGCAAUGACAUCCAAUGUCCAUGAUCAAGAAACCACAACCAUCUAUUGAUCAACGAGCUAGCCAACUAGAGGCUUGCUAGGGACACAUUGUGAUCUAUUUAUUCACACAUCUAUUAUUGUUUCCUGUUAAUACAAUUAUAUCAUGAAAAAUAGACAAUUAUCAUGAACAAGAAAAUAUGAUAAUAACCAUUUUAUUAUUGCCUCUCCGUUGUUGACCGACACUUGCUUUGUUGGGUUAUGUAUGCAUGUUCCUGUACGGAUGUGCCACUUGGGUUUAAAGCUAGUCAUGUCUAUCCGGGUUCUCUGACAUAUGAUUGUUGGUGACAUAGUCAUAUACGUGAGCCAAAAGACGCAAACGGUCCCCGCCAAGCUAAGGUGGCAGCCAUGGUGAUUAUCAUGCGUGAGGCCACAAAGUGAUAUAAUGUGUUACAAGCUGGAAUUGUAUGACUUAGGAUCGGGGUCCCGACACACAUACUCUUUUUUCACACCUAUUUUUUCUUAGAUUAGUUUUUUACCUACUUUUUUUAUCUAGGUCAGUUUUUAAGUCAGAACAAUGUCGAGAAAUUGAAAUGAACAUUCUUGAAUCCAAAUAAAUGGUUAUGAAUUCAGAAAAAAAUCAUGAAUUAAAAAAUUAUGAUGAAUUCAUAAAAAUGUGCAUUAAUUCAUGAAAAUGUUCGCACAUUUGAAAAAGAACAUUAACUCAAAAUUUAUUAAAUGUUUAUUUUCUAGUAAUUUGUGAAUGUUAUUCGAUUUUUCUGAAACAUGUGUGCUUCUUGGAAAAGGACAAAAACAGUGCUUCCAAGGAAAGCAAAGAUUUGUUUUUAAGAGAAACACAACUAUUUUUUUUAAAUGGAAAAAAUAGUACGUCCACAAGAAACACUAUUCGCCUCUUGUGGAAGAACAUACUUCUUUUGCUUCUUCGAAAAAAUGAAAAAAAUUGCGUCUAUGAAAAGCAAAAUUUCAUUUCUUGCGGAAGCACAUAUUUGGUUGCACGAGAAUCACAACUCGGGAUAAAAAUGUGAUCCUUGAAAAGAGAAAAAAAGUGAAAACCACAAUCCUGUUUCCGGGUUUAGUUUUUUUCAAACUUUUUUGUUGUUAUUUUUUCCCAUUAUUUUUGUUUUUAGGUUUCUGUUUUUUCAGGUUUUGUUGAUUUUUUAGUCAAAAUCUAUUAACUUUAGAUGCAUGGUUCAAGAGAUAAACAUUUUAAACAAACAAAUCUAUGAAAAAAGAAGGACAUCUCGGUGCGACAAGUGGCGCACAUGCAAUGCACAACAUGUAAGAGCCUAACAAGAUGAUGGUGACCUUUAGAAAGGAUAUCCCUUAACAAGUGAUUUUAGAGUUUCUAGCAGGUAGGUCACUAUAUAGGGUCUCCCAUCGAGUAAGCCAUCCGAUUGUAAGAAUUCUAUUCCGCUCAUACUGCACAUAAUAGUUAUUUUGCGCACUUAGCAGUUGUGAGCGAACGAUGUGCGCUAGUUCUUUUUUUGCUCCCUUUAUUUUUUCUGCUUCUCUGUUUGUGAUGUUUUUGUUUUAUUUUCUCUCUUCAUCCUCCUACUUAUUUCUUGUAUUUUAAUUUUACCCUUAGUUUUUUCUUCCUUAGUUUUGACCAUGUUGCCUUUUAUCAUAUUAUCUUUUAGUACCAGAUGACCAUGUUUUCAUUUCCAGCUUUUCAUUUCUUAGAUAUUUUUCCUUUUCGACGUUUUAAUAACUUGAUGAAUUUCUUACCUAAUGAACAAUUUUAAUUAAACUAUUAGAAUAUUAAAAUAUGUGAUGACCAUAUUUUGUUACACAAUUUCCAUACCUCUAAUAGGAAAUUCACAUAUUGUCAACUAUGUGAUGAUUCUUUCCAAAUUUCGACCACAGUUCUUUAAUAUAGAAUACAUAUUUUUUCUUUGAAAUAGGUGACACAUAGUUUUCAUAUGCACCAUAUCCCAUUAGAAGUUUGAGUUGCUAAAUUUUUAAUUGGCGAGUGCCUAGGCACGAGACAGGAGGUAUCAUCGAAGAGAGGAGCAGUGUCACAUCACUUCACGACCAAGGGACGGUCUCAUUCAGGAAAGGAGGACUAGCAAGCAGAAUUUAGCAACAACACAUGCAUACCACACCUAAUUUCCGUCUACCAAAAAUUUGAGGAUUUUUCUUAAAAGACAUAAGUAGAAAAUACACACCUCACACAUAUAUGAAUGCCUUUAGUACUAAAGUAGAUCUUGCUCCCUAAAUAGAAACUGGACCUCGGUCGGGUGGAUGUUUUGGCCGGUUUUGUAUGCAUUCACCAGAUUUAGCGUCUAUGGAGCUCCAAUGGCUGAUGGCCUCACUAUCAUACCACUUGCCCCGACCCUGGGUCAUCGCCUAUAUAAAUGUAAUGCAAUGCAAGUAUCUCGAUCAACACUAGUGUUGGUGGUCCAACUAUCAAAGAGAAAUCGACAACAAGAUGGAUGCCAAGCGCAAGGCCGAGUCGCUGCUCGUCAUCACCCUUGUGGUGGCGGAGGCCACAUCACCUUUGUUGGUGGCCUCGGGGCAUGAGAAGGCUACUCCCACUUGCCUCACCGAGUACUCCAAGCUCUGUGGCAAGGGCGAAAAAAGGACGCCACGUGCACCGCCAUGGUCGACAAGGCAUGCAGCACUGAGGCAACUAGUGUCACCUUCAUCGAGCGCUUGUUCACAGAGCUCGCCAAGGUCGGGGAAAAGAAGGAAGAAGUCUUUAAUCUAGAAACUUCUGGAGGACAGGAUGCCCUGAAAGAAUCCGUCGACAAGCAUGGUGGCUGCCCUGGCGACAAGACUGUCAAGGACUAUUCUACCCAAUGUGGCGCCGACUGCGACAAGGCAUGCAUUGAUCCUACUUGCACCGACCACUGCUACGUCGACUGCCCAUACAUGGCUGCAAGAUUUUCCUACAUCAUGGCCACCCCCGCCAAUAAUAAAGCCAUAGAGAAAGACAUGGAUUUCUUCAAGCAUUGCGCAAAGGGAAAGGAUAGCUCAGAUAACAAGUGUCGCGAUACAUGCAAGCUGAUUUCUUCUACCCCUACACCCGCCCCGGCCAAAGCCGCUUGAAAAUGCAUCUAUUUAUUCCUUCUUUUGGCGAAUUGAAAAUGCUUCUAUUCUAUCAUGGUAAUUUAUUCAUGUUCGGCAUGUAUUCAUCUUUUUGUUUUGUUUUUGCUAUUCUAAAUCAAUAAAUAAAAGGACGGUACUCGGAAUAUUUUUCUCUAUAAGUCUCAAAUGUCAUGUUUGAAUGGCACUAGAACAUCGCCCUCGCAUAAUAAAA